UUUUUUUUUUUUUUUUUUUUUUGUUUAUUAAGCUACAUAAAAAUGCAUGGAGUAAAAUAUACUCACACUAUAGAUUAAGCAAUAUUUAUUUUCUGUUUUUUAAAAAAAACUAUGUAUGCUAGGAAAAAAAGAACAAAAAAUCUCAGUGACGGGUGGGUUAUACUUGCAGAAAAAAUCCCUUAAUUUUCAGGCUUAGGAAUGAUAAAUCAUAAUACCAUAAACCUGUAACUAAAUAAAAAUCUAUAGAAUAGAAGAGAGGGAGAGUGACCCUAAUUCAAUUACAUCCAAGCGAUCUUAAUAAAUAAAUGCGUACCACUACUCUUAAAAAUGAGACAUAUCUAAGCGCAAAAACACCAUGCCAACUAAUCUCAACUUUCAACAUAUAAAAGAUAGUUGCGCAAAAGCAAAUUCAGUCAGGACUAACAUCGCCAUUAAGCUUUUUUAAGUGCUGUACUAUAAUAAGCAACCUAGCAGGGAAGGCAUCCAAAUUCUACAACAAGGCUUACUUCCUACAACGUUUAGGUCCAACACCUCAGGAAAAAAAAAAAUUUAAAUGGGUAGGCAUGGUUGAUUUUGCAAGUUAAACAAGAACAUGAGAUGCAUCCUGUUUAAUCACUGUGCCCCUGCCCCUUGGUCGAGCAUUCCGUUUCUGCAGCUCUCCCACAAAAUCAACAGCAUUCCCCACAGUUGGAAGCAACAACAAAAAGGACAGGACCUCCAAUUAUAGAUACUGAACCUCGUUACUCAUUACUCAUUACUCCUUAAUCAUUGAAGUGAGUAUUCCAUUUGUAUCCACAUGCAUUCCUUCAUUGAAUAUGAAAUCCUUCUUUCCCUGCAUUUCAUAGAAAAGACCAAACGCUGUAGCCAAAAACCGUGAUGGACCAAAAGGGGCGUCUGUCAUGUCAAUCUUUCUGAUGUAACACUUAUAAUAAGACCAGUAAUACUAGAGUUGCUUAUGUUUAAGACUGAUUUUGAACUUUGAUAGCCUUAUCUUGAAAUAAGAAAUUCAACAUGUGCUCUGAUUUUCAUUUUCACUAGAUAACGUAAUAUGGCUAGGAAAAUAUAUGAAUUAUAGUUACUAAUUUCUAACUCAUAAACAAUUGAAAACAAACUAGUUUCUAACUGAUUAACAGAGAAACAAACAUGUUAAAGAGAAAAGCAAAAUCAAAAAGUAUUGGCACACAGGAUCACAACUUAAGCAUAUUUGAAUUUGGCUUUGAAGAAAUUUGAACAGAUUAUAGUUUAUGAACUUCAAAUUCUUAGUUUGUUGCAAUUUGUAAGAUCAUGGAAUAAGCAUCUAGAACUGAAAUCAGUAAUUGUCAAAAUCUCAUGCAGGCAUGACUAUUAGGUCAAUUGUAAUGUGAUAAGAUUUUCUAUGCAGGAGAAAUUUAAUAUCGUGUUGUUUUGAUAUUUAGGUGGCAGAUGAGAAAAAAAUAAAGGAGAGCAGAGGGACAAGAGAAAAUCUGUCUUUUCGUUUUUCUGUAAGGGAUAGUAAAACAAAAGAUGAGAAGGUGAAUAGUCAGUUAAAGUCCAAACCCACCUGUAAAAAUCUGAUCAAAGCGCACCUAUUAGAAAAAGUUCCAAAGGAUCAAAGAAGAUUAGCAUUUCCCCAUGUUUCUCAUUCUUAUCUUUAUAAGUUUCAAACCAUACAAUGGAGAAAAAUUUUCCUUUUUAAAAUCCCUUCCAUUCUUCCCUUUCUUUCCAGCAAAAGAUUGGAGAAGAAUUCUUCUUUCCCCUUACCCCAGCAUCUAUUGACUAAUUGGUACGUGCUAUACUGUCAGACAAAGUAAAGAAUGCUACUAGAAGAUUUCAGAUGUAGAAACAUAUACAUCAGAUAAGUUUCCAUAGAUGCAUUUACAGUUCUCAAAGAUUGAUUUAAACUUUAAGGGUAGCAGCAUAAAAAAAAUAUCACUGGAUAAAGGAAUAAACAAUCUCCAAAGCACUAUUGCCAUUAGUUAAUAUCCCAAUUCUUUUCCAUCAAUUCAUUUAAUCAGGCAAGUGCCAGAAUAACAUAAACACGAAUGCCUACUUUGCUAAAGGCAGCAAUACCUAUUGGGUCGCAUCUUCAGAAAACCGAGCAUCAAAAGGAGCAGAAGGAUGAGCAUGCCCAAAACCACUAGCUGCUCCGGAACCCUGCUGCAACUCAAUAACAAGCCAUCGCACAGCUUUACUCAUCUGUUCUAGCCGAACAGCACUAAUAGGUGGCAGACCAGUUGUUGACUUCCCAGUCAUAGAACCAGUGGCCUCAUCAACUAAGCACUCAGAUCCAAUCCUUUGCUUCACUGACUCCACAAACUCCUCAGCUUGAUCACAUGCUACCCUAAACAACUCCCACUUCUGCUUGAAAUUUUCUAAUGCAGCAUCUGUUGAUGCUGUUUUUGUGCACCAGCUACCUCUUUGGCUUCAGUACAUUAGCUGCUGCAGCUACAAAUUCUUGAUAUGCGUUGUUUAAAGAGUCUACGAUACUGUCCAUUACAAACCCACCACUCGUGCUUCUAUUCCACCGAAAAAAACUGUUAACAAAUGACAGUAACCGCAAGAACAGAGAUCCAAUGAUGCGCACCAAAGUAAAAGAUGCUUAAAAAAAGAAGCGCAUUCACGUGAGACAUGUCAUGGCUCCAAACUGAACAAAGUAACAAAAAUCCCCAAUUUAAAUCUCCAAAUUCAAAACAAGAUUAUUCCCCUUUAUUCAAAACUUUCAGGUUCAAACCAAAAAGUGGAAAGAAAAGAAAAUGAUUCAGUCUUCAAAGCGUUUAAUCUAUGGAAUCAUUUAGCAGAAUUCUUGCAAAAUCAUGUCAAUUUUGAGACGAUUUCACUUUUUUUUUUUUUAAAUGCCUUCCUUAUUCAAAAAUAAAUUUAAGCAACUAAGUAUUUUUCCACAGUUUGAGAGUUCAACUAAAUAGAAUUGAAUUGCAUUAAUUCUUGCAAUGUGAGAGUUCAAAAGUAAAAUCAGGACUAUAAGAAUUCGCAAACAAAAUCAGAAAGUAACAACUAAUGAGUUAAGAUAAGCAAGCAAAAGCUAUCGAAAAAAAACAUUGAAGUAAAAUAAUUUCAAUAAACAAGAGGCUAAAUACAAAACCUAGAAAUUGCCUAAAGCAGCAAACGUUGGCACAGCAAAAAGCUAGUUUCCACUGAAAAGAAUAUCAGAAGAAAGAAGGUGAAGGAGAGAGACAAACCUCGAUUUUCGACGGAUUUAUUAUUUAAUUCAGUUUCUCCGUCUGCAGCAUGUUUUUAAAAACUUUGGGCCUCCACUCAUUUUCUGUUUAAGUUUGCUAAUCACAGAUUAGGCCUUCGAGCUUAAACUGAUAUCAGGCUGGUCCGUUCUCAUGCUUUUGCCUUGGGCCGCUGUGCUGCUUUCUCCAUUUUAUUUUAACUUUACCAGUAUUAAAUAAAACAAAAAUUGAAAAAUACUUUAAAAUUAAUAAAAAAAAUAUCAUUUUUAUUAUAUUUUUUUAAAAAUACUGUUUUUCUAGUUUUUUUAUUUUAAGAAAACAGUAUAAUUUUUUAAUAAUUUUUUAUUUUAAAAUUAUUUCUUAGUUAUUAUUUAGUUAUAAAAAAAAAACAACCAAAACCUUAAUUUUGAGAAAUACAAUUAAAAAACCGUAGUUUUAUAUUUUGUAUAGUAAAGAUAAAAAAAAUACUUAACACCGUAAAUUUAAUAUAAAAAUAAAAAAAUGUGGAUAUUUUUAUUAUUUUUCUAUUAACAUGCAUAUUUAAAUUUCUAAAUUUGUAUUAAUUAAUUAAUUUAAUAUUUUAAAUCUUAUUUAGUUUAAUAGAUAUUAAAAUAUUUUUAAAUUUUAAUUUGAUUAAAAUAUACAUCUAAAUUUACUUUUUGGUAAUAUUUAAACACUCUUAUAUAAUAUUUAAAGACGUAUAAAAUAAAAAAUAUAUCAAAAUAUCAUUAAAAAUAUCAAAUAUUUAUUAAAUUAUAUCAAAAAUUAAAAUGAUCAAAAUUUAUAAAAAUAAAUAUGCAUUUUAGCUCAAAUUAAAGAAAUACUCCAUAAAACUUGAAAAUACAACUAUAUGAAAAUGGCUAGUUCUAAUAAGAUUUCAAACUCAAAUUGGCUCUUCGAGUCCCAAAUUUAAAUUUAACCUAAAAGUAAUUCUCUUUAAAAUCGCUUCAAUCAUAAUUUGAUAUUUAUAUAAUUUUACAUUUAGUAUUAAGUAGAUAGAUACUAAAAUACUGUAAAAAUGUGAUAAAAAUUUAUUUUAAGGAAAAUAUAUUUUAAUAUUAAUCAGGGUCUAAUUUUAUAAUAAGUAUUUCAAAAAUUUUCAAAAACACCAAAUCGAUGUGGAGGAGUUGCACUCUUAAAAUUAUUGAGGAAUUGAACAAUGAGAUGAAAAAAGAACAAUAAAGUGUCAACUUGUGAAUAACUUUAUCAACUAAUAAAGAAAUUGAUAAAUUUCGGGUUUUUUUUUUUAAAAUUCAAAUCGGUUUUUUUCCUGCAACAAACUAUGAAAGGAUUUGACUGUUUUGUUAUUAGUGAUAGAGUUUACUCAACCUCCUUGGUAUGAAAAUAAAAAUAAACUAAAACAAGCUGCAAUACUCUUAAUUUGUGUGUAUGAAACAGACAGGCCAUACAAUUAAGGUCUUACUAAGUGAUUACACAGUCAUUCCUUGCAUUAAAGAAAGGUUAAUUAGGAUUCUCAUUGUAAUCAUGAAAAAUCAACUAAUCUCAAGUUUUCAUGUCCAAUUCCACUCCCUCAGUCUCAUUUUUGUUCAAUCUAUAUAUAUUCAUUUAAUUCUUGCCCCUUUCCAACACCGAACUUUUCUUCAUUUCCUUCUUGGUCAUAACUAAUAUUAACUUCUUAUGGUAAUUCAAGUUCCACUCAAAAAUUUUCUUUACAGAGAAUAAUGAUGAAUUAAAAUUUUGACCAACACCCACCAAUUAGUUUGGAUGAACACAGGGAUCGGUGUGGCGCUCAGUGAGACGGAUAUACAUGCAGGACAUGUUCAUGCUAGAAAUGUUCUAGCUACUGAAGAAGAAGAUCUGCUUCAGGCAGGCUGUCCAUAUUUGCAGCAGACAACAGCUACCAAUGUUGUGUUUUUUAGUAUGAUAAUCCCUUUUUCAUCCACAUUGAAAAUUCUUUUUUUUUUUAGUUACGAAUAAGAAGAGAUUACUCAAAUUGAGAUAUGGACCUACGGUCAGGCUAAUUUUUGGGGUACAACGGCACUGAGAAUUGUGAUUCUAGCUCUUUAGAUAUUAGAAAUUGAGGCCUUACCUACUAACUUGCAUACUAUCUCUACUUUUUUUAAUGUAAAAAAAAAAAAAAAAGCUUCAUUACAGUCCAUGAUUAAUUUGAUGUUAAUUUCCAAAUAUUGAGAGUCAGAUUUCAUAAAGACAAAACAUAUAUACCAAUGCGUUCUAAUAAGUUAAGGAAGAUCAUAACCAUUUAAUUUUUGACUUGGUACGAGGCUAUUUAUUUAUUUAUUGUCUGGGGGGUGUAUGAUUUAGGGCUUUUAUGUGCAGGGUCACACAUGUUUGCCUGCUUUUGGACACUAUAUGGAAUUCUAAGAUAUUUUUACAACCUUCUUCCUGGAAACUCUUUUUUCCUUUUUUCUUUUUCUAUCAUUGGUAAGAGAUUGAAAAAUAAACAGAGAUAGACUAGAGAGAUAAGACUCUUAUCCCUCAAUUAGUUACUACUCCCGAUCAACAACUUUCUGGAAAAUCGAAUCAGUUUUAUUUCUUGAACCUUAAAUCACGUUCUCUGCCCUUUUGAUCCUGAUGCUCCAUUUUCAUCAAGCGGUCAAAAACCGAAAUACAUGCAUCAGAACUAGACAUGCACACACUGUAUUCGUAGCCUAAGAGACGCAAUUUACAAUCCGGAAGAAUAACAGAGAGAGAGAGAGACCCAGGCGGGUAGAGCAAACAGUAACAUAUACAACAGGAACAGUUCCUCCUUUUUUUCUUUCAAAAAAUUUGAAAGAGAACUCUAAUCCAUCCCAAAUUCCUAUAUAUUCUCUGUUUCAGAUCUAAUAAAGUCCAUUUCUGUUGUGUGUCCUCUUUCAAACCUAUCUCUCAAUUUUCAUCUCCUCCGUUAACCCAAAUACCCAUUCUUUUCUUUUUACCUUUUCUCCCUCCUCCUUCUCCCAUUAUUCUUCCCCACCAAAACCCUAACUCUCUCUCUCUCUGCUGCUACCAUGAAGAAUCACGAACUCAAUGACCAAGAAAUCUCAACAAAGAAAAAAAACGCCGCAACGAAAAGAAGACAUGACAAUAUUGUUAACAAUAACAAUAACAAUGAUCAAGAAGCCGAUGACAAAGAUUUCCUUACUCUUUCUUUAACUUGGGGCGAACCAAAACCACCCAAAAGAACUACUCCUAAUACAAAUAAUACCCAGCAUCAACAUCAGUUCCCACCACUAAUCUUACCUCCACAUCAAGUUUUCCAAAACCCAUCUCCACAGCAAACCCUAACCAAUUCUUCACACCCAUUAUUCACACCACCAGUGUUACCGAUAUCAGCAUCUAAUAAUCUUGACCCAUAUAACAAUGCUGCUUCUAGUAGUACUGCUACUGCUGCUGCUGCUGCUAAUGUUGGUCCUUCUCGUGCUCCUCCACGUGCCCGCCGCAACCCUACACAAACACCCCGUGAUCAUGGUAAGAGUGAAAACAUUCUUGCACCAUUCCCUUGGGCAACAAAUCAUCGAGCCAGAGUGCAUAAUCUCGAUUACUUGUUGUCAAGAAAGAUUGAUAAUGUUACUGGAUUGGUUCAGUGCAAAAGAUGUGAGAAACAAUAUGAGUUAGGGUUUAAUCUAAGAGAAAAGUUUGUCGAGGUGGGUACAUUUAUUGCUGAAAAUAAGAAUUCAAUGCAUGAUAGAGCUCCUGGUGUUUGGAUGACUCCUGCUCUACCAACUUGCAAGUAUUGUGAUCAAGAAAAUAGUGUAAAGCCAGUGAUUUGUGAUAAGAAGAAAGGGAUCAAUUGGUUGUUUUUGCUAUUGGGUCAGAUGCUUGGAUGCUGCACUCUUGAACAACUCAAGUAUUUUUGCAAGCAUACAAAGAAUCAUCGCACGGGGGCUAAAGAUCGUGUUCUUUAUCUUACUUAUCUUGGUUUAUGUAAACAGCUUGAUCCUAAUGGUCCCUUUGAUCGCUGAUUGAAGAGGUAGGGCAAAAUGUGUUUGGUUUGGAUUGUUGAUUUUGAACUUUUUUGUUGGUGUGAAAUAGGCUGUUCAUUGCAGUAUAUGCAUUUAGUAGUAGUUCAAGGGAUAUUUUCAAUGGCAUUUGUUUGGAUAUUAAUUGUUUAGGUUUUUAAUGUUUGAGCUAGAUAUGCAAUCUGGAAGGAAAUUCUAUAAUUUCAAACUUCUGAUUUCUUGUUUGUUUGCAUGCGAGUUUUCUCUUUAUGUGUUGUAAUGGGAAUUAAACAUGGCAUCUUGAUUGUUUAAUUAAUAAUUAGUUUUAUUUUUAUAUGAAGUUAUGACUAAUGAAACAGUGUUAUGAAUUUUGGCAGAUAGUCUUUUUAAAUAAAAGAUUUUAUAUCCUUUUCUCUGAGAAAGCUUUUAGACCAUUUUUUUUAGGAAACUUUAUGAAGAAGAAGUCCAGGUGUUUGUUGUUUUUCCAGAACUACGUACUUUGAUUCUUAUAGCUUUUGAAAAUGUUCUCUUUUAUUUUCUUUUGUACUCAUUUUAACGGAAAGUUUUUGUACGUUUUCUCAGGAAAAAACCUAUGCUUGAAAUGUUUGGGCAGUAAUAUGUAUAUACUUAGCCGCUCAACUUUAUAAGUGUAGUAGCAUGGAAGAUAGCAUUAUAGCAUAUCAGGAAGCUCCUAUAAGUGAUUGCCUUGACAAAGCCCUUUGUAGUAGUUGUGCAAUUCUUUCACGAGACAGCUUGAAAUGAAAUGCGGGUUUAGCUCUUUUUUUCUCUUCUUUUCUUUUUUUCCAUUGUAAGAGCGAUUUGCAUCUGAAUCCUAUGUAAUGCAAUGCAAGUCAUUGAUCUAGGAUUGGAGGAAUCAGAUUUCUCUUUAUAAUGGAAGGAAUCGCAAGUCAUUAGCUCAGUUCUUUUUUUUUUUUUUCUCUUUGAUCCAUGUCGCUCAGGUGAAUCCAAAACCAUAUAUAUAUAAACCCUAAUUAAUGGAAAUAUUCCUCUUAUAGAUAUGAGUUUUUUUUUUAAAUCUUCCUGGUUCCAUAGUUUAAUGGAGCAUCAGCAAAAAGAGAAAGGUGUGGUCCAAGUUAAGUUUGUCCAAAUCAAGUAACUCUACUCCGUAGUAUGGAUCCGAUUGUAAUGGCUUUGCCGUGUCCACGACCCGAGGUAAUGGGUCCUCUACUUUUAAAACCUCCUUUGCCUGCCUCUAAAGCAGCCAUCAUUUGUUGAUUCCGUUACUUAUACUUUAAGUCUAUCAAAAUAUGCAAUGCGACAAAAUGAACAUGUCACAUACUCCUAUGUCAUACAUACAUUGUAACUUUGCUUUCAUGCUGGACUUGCGACAUGCAUCAGAGAUAAUAGGCAUCAUCCCCAUUUUGUCUUAAAUAAAAAAAAAUAAUAAUAUAGAUAUUCUAUUAAUAAACAUAAAAAUAUAUAUCUUAAUAUAAAUAAUAAAUUUAAAUAUUAAACAUUAAGAAUUCUUUACCUAAUCUCACAAAACUGCCAAAAUGACUUUACUUGUAUAAAAAUUAAUUAACAGAUUAUCAACUGCUAAUAAAAUAUUUUUCUUUUAAAAAAUAAUUUAUAAUUAUUAUUAUUUGUCAAAUAGCUAUCAAUCAAUUAUUAUUGAAAGAAAUAUUAAAAUUACUUUUGAUAUAAAUUUAAAAUAUACAGAUUCUAAAAUGUAGAUCUUUCAAUAAUUUUUUAUUAGAAGAUAAUUGAUAUUUUUUAUUUUUUAUUGAUAAAAAGUGAUAAUUUUAUUAAAAUAUUUCAAACGCGAUCACAAUAGAAAUUUUAUAAAACUUUUGUAUAUAAUCUAGUUAACAAUAAUAAAUAAAUUACUUUUUAGAAAAGAAUAAUUAUCCACAAAAUAAAUGGUAAAAACUAACCGAGAAAAGUUAGAUUGGAAACAUAAUUAAUUUAUGGGUUCAGGUUCUAUACCUGGACCAGGGGAACCAUAAUUCAACUAUCAGUACAGGUUUUAACAAUUAAUUUUUAAAUAUUUUAUUCAAACCGGCCAAAAAUGAGAUACAAUUGAAAGUAGGACUAGUGAAAUAAAAACCAAAACUAGAACGGAUCAAUUUCAAAAUUAAAGCUAAAAUGGUUGAUUACAAACUGAUUCCAAACUAAAAUUAGACCUCAGUUCAUUAUAAUGCAGCGUAAGAAAAAUUUAGAUUUUUUUUUUAUUUUUGUAAUAAUUCUCGUAAAUGGUGAUUAAACCUAAAUUCAGGAAAUUAAGAGAUGAUCAUAAAAAAUGUCACUAAUUUUCUUUAAUUUUCAAUUAUAAUGAUAUUUCAAAUAAAUAGUUAUAUCAUGAGAAUCAUCCAGUCAUUAGCUUGUCGACUAAAAAUGCCUUCUAGAUCGCAUUGCUUUGCCAGAUAAAAUUUCAAGGUGUUGGCUACAUGUUACUAAUGUAAAUUUUCUUUUUUCUAAAUUUUAAAAUUAAGAUAAAACAAUGAAAAAAUAAAAGGGUCACUUCGCAUCUUCAUUUCACACCCUUCUUUUCUUAUUUAAAUUAAAAACGUCUUUCCAAUUCAACAUCUUCUUAGUUGUCUUUUUUUUCUUUCUGCAAUUUGAUUCACAUUCUUUUUUCUUUUAAAUUAUAAUUUCUAGUAAUAGUUCUAUAAUUGGACUGAACCACCUAGUUUAAUCAAAACUCAUUAUCAGUUUGGUCCAAUUUUAUAUAAUAAUUGAAUUAUAUGAUCCAACUAUAUUAAAUAAUAUAAUUUAGAAAACAAUCGGUGCCUAUUGAUCUGUUUAAACAGUAAAAAGGAAUUAAAAAAAUAAAUUAUAACAUCCAAAACUGAAUGGUCUUGCAUUACUCCAUUAAUAUUUACAAUUUAUUUCCUUUCAGAUUAUAUAUUUUACUUAAAUAUUAUGACCAUAUAUAUACGUAUAUUUAAAUUUGUUAUAUAAUAAUUAUUUCCGCAUCUAUUCUAAAAUUUAUAAAUUUAAACAAAAUCAAUUAGUUUAAAAUUUAUAUAGAUUUUAUAAAUUUUAAUAUUUGGAUUCAACAUAAAAUUAAUACAUUCCUAUUUAAUCUUAAUAAUAUUUUAGCAUAAUAUAAAUUUAUUGAAAGUAAUAUUAAAUUUUAAAAAUAUUAUAACAAUCUGAUGGUAAAUUUUGAAGAAUGAGUAACAUAGAUUUAGACUAUUUUUUGUUUAUCACAUUAGAAAAUUUAAGUUAAAUUCUUAUUAAAAUCUCUUCAGAUUUUAAUAACAUUUAAUAAUUUAUUAUAACCCUAUUAUAUUUAUCAUUUUCAAAUAAUAAUAAAUAAAUAAUUUUUAUUAAACCGAUAGACUAACAGUUUAACUGAUCCAAUCAGUUAAACCAAUAAAUAACAUUUAACCGGUUCACUGACCCAUCCGGUUUUCAAAACAUUGAUUCCAAGAGAAUCCAAGCAUGAGGGAGUGACAAAUUAAAGAAUAAAAAGGAGAAAAGAGGAUCCAAGACAGGCGCGACAACUGUUACUCUAACAAGAAACCCACAAAAAAAAAAAAAAAAAAAAAAGAGGUCAAAAACCAAAACAGAGCAGAAAAAUUCACAAAUACAAAAUGGCAACAACUAAAACAGCUACCAACAGCGACCUUACCAUCGCCAUUAACAUGCCUCCAUUUCCAUUCUGUAAACCCUAAAUCGCACCCUUCUACACACCACAUUUCCCAAAUUAACCUCUCUAGAUUCAACAAAAUGGAGGCAUUGAUCGAACUCUGUGACCUAAUCUCGCAAAACCCUGCGCAAUUCACCGACAAACUCACCUGGAUUUGCAACCGCUGUCCACAACCCGAUUUUUUCUUAAUCGGAUCAUCGACAUCAUCAUCACCUAGGGUUUCACGUUCUCAACUCAACGCAAUCCUCGCCGUUUCUAGGUUCCUCUCAAAAUGCUCUAACAACAACACCGAUCACAGACCUGAAGCAAUUAUCCUCGAGUUUUUCCGCUCCAUUCCGACGUCGUUUUCACAAUCCUUUUGGCCUCAAUCUUUCACUCUCGACUCGAUCUCAUCUUUUUUCGUUGAUUUUUUAGGUUACGUGUCGACGGCAGCGCAAUCAUCGCCUGAUUUCGCUACUGAGAUGGAAAGUUCCGUCGGCGACGUCGUUUUAGCAGCGAUGAAUAUUUACAACGACAAUUAUAAUGCCACUGACAAUUUUGCUAUUUCCAAGGCUUUUUUGCUCGCCUUAACUCAGAAUUUCCCGCCAAUUUUACAGUCUGAUGCUGAGAAACUAAUCACUUCUCUUCUUGAUCAGUUUGAUGUGUCCGUACAACAACAACAACAACAGCAACAUCAAAUUGGUAUUAUCAACUCUGAAACGACGUCCUCUCAGAGCUCCCCAUUAAAUGUUAUUAAUCAAAGCAAUGAAGUUUCAAUUUCAAUGUCAAGUCCAGGGAAUGAUUUGAGCCACGUGUCAGGGUCAAGUAGUAAUGCUAGUAGUAUGAUGUCAUCAGCAACGUUAAAUGGGAAUCCUAAUCAUACUAAUAAUAACAGUGUAAUGUGGAAAAGUGGGUUUGUUGAAUCUAUGGGAAUAAUGAAUUUUGGUGGGUUUAAUGACGGGUUUAGGCAUCAGGUUGCUACUUUUGAAGAAGAGACUGUUGAGGGAUUAGAGAAGCAAGUUAUUGCUUUUAAGUUAAUUGCACAUGUUUUGGAUCAUGUUAAGAUUAAUAAUGCUCUUUUAAUGAGGUUAAGGUCUAUUGCAAAGAAGCAGCUUCAAUCUCUCUCUGCAUUUCUAAAGGUAAAUGGUAAUGUUUGUAUCAUCAUAUUAUUGAUUAGAUAAUCUAACUGCAUUAGUGUAAUAAAAGUAGAUAGUCGGAAUUAGGUUAUUGGUAAUAGGUUGGUGUUAUCUCUAGGAAAAUCUCAAAGUUCAGUUUUUUGUUUACAGUUUCUAUGUUCAUAUAUACACAUAGGUGAAACGUUGUUCCAUUUGAUAUGAGUAGUAUAUUUAACUUCUUGUGGAAUUUUGGUUUUUGCAUUAAUGAUUGUUUAUAUGUAUACUUCUUAGUGCUAUAGGCAAAGGUAGGUAAUAUAAAAUUCUUGAGUUUAAUGAUUGAUAAGGGAAACUGGUGGCAGAUAAGGAAGCGGGACUGGACCGAACAGGGGCAGCUUUUAAAAUCUAGAGUCAAUGCUAAACUGUCUGUUUAUCAAGCCGCAGCUAGGAUGAAACUUAAGAGUCUUGCAUCUAUUGAUGCGGAUGGGAAAACCUCCAAGAGGUUGGUACUUGAGACUCUUGCAUUAAUGAUAGAUGCCGCAGAAGCCUGUCUGCUAUCUGUGUGGCGAAAGUUGAGAAUUUGUGAAGAGCUGUUCAGUUCCCUUCUUACUGGCUCUGCACAUAUUGCUGUAACUAAAGGAGGUCAGCCAUUGCGUGUUCUGCUUAUUCGCCUCAAACCUCUUGUGCUGACUGCCUGUGCGCAGGUAUCUGUUAUGAGUGGGUUUUAAAUCUGUAUCUUAGAUACUCAAUCCAGAUAUCCAACAUGAUCUUUAUUAUUCAAAUCCUGAUUGUAACAGGCCGAAACAUGGGGAGGCGGUCAGGGAGCCAUGUUUGAAAGUGUCAAGAAUACAAGUUGUCAGAUAAUUGAAUCUGGCUGGAUCAAGGACAGGUCUCCUGUUGACACAUUUAUCAUGGGACUAGCCACAAGNNNNNNNNNNNNNNNNNNNNNNNNNNNNNNNNNNNNNNNNNNNNNNNNNNNNNNNNNNNNNNNNNNNNNNNNNNNNNNNNNNNNNNNNNNNNNNNNNNNNNNNNNNNNNNNNNNNNNNNNNNNNNNNNNNNNNNNNNNNNNNNNNNNNNNNNNNNNNNNNNNNNNNNNNNNNNNNNNNNNNNNNNNNNNNNNNNNNNNNNNNNNNNNNNNNNNNNNNNNNNNNNNNNNNNNNNNNNNNNNNNNNNNNNNNNNNNNNNNNNNNNNNNNNAAGCAGGGAGUUCCUGGUGUCCAGCUGAAUGUUAUACGUCUGCUAGCUGAUCUAACUGUUGCUGUUAGCAAGUCUGAAGUGGUAGACAUGAUACUGCCACUUUUUAUUGAAAGCUUAGAAGAGGGUGAUGCUUCUGCUCCUGGUUUAUUGCGCCUCCGAGUAUGGAAUCUUUGCCUUAAGAGCUUGCAAUAACUGAAUAUAGACUCCAUGUCCUUAAGUUCUUUUCUUUUUUUCUUCUUUGAGACGUUGGCAAUCUUCCACCAUAGCUUAUUUAAUUUGGUGGCUUAGUUUUCUGACUUCUUUUGCCCUAAUGAAUUGCAGCUUCUUGAUGCUGUAUCUCGCAUAGCAAGUUUAGGUUUUGAGAAGUCUUAUCGUGAGACUGUUGUUCUGAUGACAAGAAGUUACUUGAGUAAACUAUCUGCUGUAGGAUCUGCUGAAAGCAAAACAUUGGCACCAGAAGCCACUACAGAACGUGUUGAGGUAUGUGAUCUCUCUGAGUAUGAGUUAUUCGUGGACUCUUGUUUGACAAUUUAUGUUAUACAUAAAGCUUUUGCUAAACAGUUUAUCUUACUAAAUGAUUGCUCACUGUUUCAAUCAUAUUCUAGACUCUUCCUGCAGGAUUUCAUUUGAUUGGUAAGGGCCUUACAAAUAUGAGAUUGCGUUCAGACUACCGUCAUCGUUUGCUUUCUUUGUGCUCAGAUGUAGGCUUGGCUGCUGAAUCUAAAAGUGGAAGGUAAAGAUUAUUUCCAUUAUAUGGAUCUUUAGUUUUAUUGCUCAUCAGAGCUUUUUUGAUUUCACUGUUGCAUUUUUUAUUCAGAGAUGACCUGUCUGAUACUCCAAUUGUGCAGGAGUGGAGCAGAUUUUUUGGGACCAUUACUGCCUGCAGUUGCUGAAAUAUGUUCUGAUUUUGACCCUACUGUAGAUGUGGAACCAUCACUCUUGAAGCUAUUUCGAAAUUUAUGGUUCUAUGUUGCUCUUUUUGGGUUAGCACCUCCUAUACAGAAAAUUCAACUACCAGUAAAGUCAGUUUCAACUACUUUGAACAGUGUGGGAAGCAUGGGUGCAAUUGCUCUUCAAGCAGUGGGUGGACCAUACAUGUGGAAUGCACAGUGGUCUUCUGCUGUUCAGCGUAUUGCACAAGGGACUCCUCCUCUUGUAAGUUGUUUGUCGAAUGGUUAUUCCAUAAUACUCUUACGGUGUCUUAUCAAAGUAUUUCUUCCUUUUUGCCCAAUAUUUUAUUGAAUGCAGAAUUUUCUAUAUGGAUCAUAUUCUUUCAAAAGCUGCUCCAGCAGAUUUUCUUGGAAUGCAUAUCAUAUUUUAAUAGGCAGUAGGUCUAUUAGAAUAUGCCUUUUUAUGUCUUACGCCUGUCAUCAUUUUACUUCAUCUCUUGCUUCAAGCCACAAUGUUGCUGUCCUGGAAUGAAGUAUUGCGUUGCUUAUUGUAAUUGUUCUGUUAGAAUAUGGUUCUUUCAUUGUGUGCCUAACAUUGUUCUUAAUAUUGACAUGGGAAAAUUGGAACUCUUGAAUAAUGCGAUGUUGCUAGAACAUGCUUUGCACUGUUGUUCUUGCGAUGUUGCUUUAAUAUAACGUUUUUAUAUUAGAGCAAACUGCAUUUGAUUUGUUUCUAGCAAGUCAUUUGUUUACAACUAAUUGGAGCAGAAGGAAUCGGAUUUAUUAAAUUUUUUGUUUAUUUUAAUUUUGAUCCUUGAUAAAAUAAAAAGGAAAAAGGUAACAACUAGGUAGUAGCAAUUUUUUUAUUCUAAAACCAGGUCACUUAAAAGUGAUUUCAGUUGAAUUGCUGAUGCUUUUUGAGGAUUACACAAUGUCUAUGCAUUUCAAUUGAGUUACUUUUGGCUCCAAACAUGUGAAACAAAAAGGAAACUGAAUUCUAUUUAUUUUAGUUAACCCAUGGUACCCCCAGCUGAGUGUAAGCCGACAUAAUGCUUUGGUAAAAAAAGUGCUGUCUGAUUGAUCACCUUUUCUUUUUGUUUGCCCUUUUGGUUACACAUGGUAUUCUGAACUCUGCUUGACAUGUUCCACAGGGUAAUCUGAAAUCUUUAUGAUGCCUUUUCAUACCAUUCAGACUGAAAUUAGACAUAAUAAUGCUACUGGAAAUAUUUCCAGCGAGUAGUACUAAGUUUUAUUGAAAAUUUUCAACUCAAAUAUGAUUAGAGAGUCCAAUGUUGAGAGUGGAGUGAAUGAGUUUGAGCAGAAUGUCCAACAUGACAUUGAUUGGAUUGCGCAACAAAAAUAAAUUUGACAUGAUGUUGCCGGGACAAUUUGGUUGGUUUAGUGUGAAAAGGUUUAAGCAAUUUGCAUGCUACAAUUUCAAGGGCAGUUUAUUUUGUUGAAAGGAUGUUAUAGGGUAUCCAGAAAUUUCUACAUUUUGCAAAUUCUUAUUUUCUAAAGGAAUUGGAGCUUUAUGCAUUGGGAUUUCUUGCAAAAGAAAGAUGGUUAGGCGAAAUGAUGGAAGCCUUUCUUGCAUAAACAAAGAGCAGUGAAAGCAAGAAAACAGCUGAGGAAGUGACAUCUGCAAAAGAGUACCCAACCUAAACCUGAAAGAUCUGUGAUCUUAGAUCUAUAUAAAGAUAUAUGAUUCCUAGAGAAGGAUCCAUAUUGCUGAAACCCGGUAGAAUAUCAACCGUGAGAAGAGAUCAUCUCGAUUUGGGUAGCAGUAACUGAUAUUUAUAGUAUGUUGGGUCCCCACUGGUGAUAUAGCUAUGUGUGAAAAAUGAGUUGGUCCUGGACAGUUUCAUCGUUUAAUAUGCUCAUGGUCAUAGAUUUGAAGUACGUUGCCUGUUUACUAUUGGAAAGUGGAACUUCUUUGUGAAUAUGGAGAUGCUUGUCAUUUAAUUCUUAUUCUACAACUGAAUUACAUUGUUACUGUUGAAAAUUGGAUCUUCUAUUUGAAUGGAUGGAUACUGUACUAUGCUCCAAAAUGUUCAUGUGCCCUGGACAUUUAAUUGUCAUUUAAUUCUUAUUAAUUUAUUGUAAUUGGCUGACGCGAAUUGUAUCAAAUACAAUUUGGUUCUUAUUAAUUUAUUGCAAAUGGGCUAACACAAUUGUAUCAAAUAUAAUUUGUUGUUAAUUUUUUAAAAUUGGCAUUUUCAGCUUGUGUUACUUUUGCAACUAAGUUAAUACCUAUCUUUCUGCAGUUAUUGCAAUGAACAAUUUUAACAAUUAAAAUAUAUCUAAAUAUCCAAACUUUUGACAUUAAAACAUUUCUAAAGGUUGUCAGCUCAGUUAAAUGGCUUGAAGAUGAAUUGGAACUCAAUGCUUUACACAACCCUGGAAGCCGUCGGGGCAGUGGCAAUGAGAAAGCGGCUGUGACCCAAAGAGCUGCUCUUUCAGCUGCCUUAGGAGGGCGACUUGAUGUUGCUGCUAUGAGCACAAUUUCAGGUUAGACAAGCCCCUUCUGAUGUUUGUCAUCUCAAAUAUGUAAUCUUUCUUUUCUUCUCUUAGUAUGUUUCGUCUUCUAUUCUCAAUAGAACUUCUGAUUUCUAAAAUGCCAUUUUCCUUUUCCCAUCAAUUGAUGGCUUGUGCUCUUCUUUGCUUUAGCUAUCUAGAAAACUUGUUCUUCUAGGCCUUAUUUUGUGCUGGAUGUCUCCUUUAUUAAUGAUCUUGAAACCAGAUUUUUGUUGUUUCCCCAGUAUAUUUGAUGCCUGCAGCAUGCUUCUUGUCAAUUUUGUCUUACAGGUGUGAAAGCAACCUAUCUUCUUGCUGUUUCCUUCUUGGAGAUUAUUCGUUUUAGCAGCAAUGGUGGCAUCCUCAAUGGUGGCAGUGAUCUGACAGCUUCCAGAAGUGCAUUUAGUUGUGUCUUUGAGUACCUAAAAACUCCAAACCUUACGCCAGCUGUCUUUCAAUGUUUGACGGCAAUUGUUCACAGGGCAUUUGAAGCAGCAGUACUGUGGCUGGUAUCAAGCAAUCUUCUCCUUUUCUUGUGUUCUUCACAUGCAGUGAACAUUGAGUUAUUAUUCUUACACAAAGGCAGCCACUGUUUUCACAAACAUAUUUAAUUAUGUUCUCCCUAAAAUGUCAAUUUUUGAAUAAGUUGAUUGCACCUUCCUAUUUGAAAUUAGUUGUAGUCUUGUUUGUUUCCUUUUUCCCACAUUUAAAUCUGGUUUAUAACUCUUGUUUCCUUUUGGGGUUUGAGUUUGAAAUCUGGUAGAAAAUCUGCCUUGUUUCUUUUCCUCUCACGCACCUCCGCACUAUUACUGGUUCCAAUAAUUGAGCAGUAUUACUUGUACCUCUAUAUGGAUGUUUUGUACAUUUAUUUGUGCCCUCAUGCCUCUGCUUGCCAUUUUAGGGUGCCUAAAGGUUAAGAUGUUUCUAGAAUGCUUCAGGGAUCAACAUAAUUGUCACUAACUGUUAUGUGCCGCUGCCUGGUGCAAUGAUAGAAGUUCUGAUUGCCAAGUGCAAGAGAUAUAUUUAGACUUUAAGAAUGUCCAUUCAUGCAUUAGCUUUGAAGGCUUAGAUGUUCACCUCUUAUACGUUUGCUAGCAAUGUUGGUAAAUGGUUACACUUCUGUCUAAAUUAGCAUACAUGCUGUGUUUAUCUAAUUAACUUCAGCAAAUUCUUUCCCUCAUUAAAUGAUUCAUACAUGUUCCUCUAUUUAUUUGAUGGACUAAUACAAUUUUACAGUCUUACACUAGCAACAAAUGAAUACAAGAUUGAUGGUUGAAGAUAAUUUUAGAAUGUGAAUUGACUGAUGUUUUAUCUCCUUUAUAUUAGAAAAUGAAAUGAUAAAACUGAAUUGCUUCCCUUUGAUGUAGGAGAGAUUUAGAUAACCUGUUCUAUAUUGAUUUUUGCUGAAAAUAAAGGGUUUAAAAUUGAAUCCCAGGUCUGCUUUGGCAUAAGCUCAGAUCUGAAACAUAGGAUUAGGAAAGGAAAGAUAAGAAAUCUUCUAAUAGUCACACCUAGAAGCUCUUGAGAAUAAAAUUAAAGACUUCUAAAAUAAAUUUUAAUUAUUGUUCCAGCAAAUCUGGAAAUUAGAUAAAUUACCCUUUGGGCGUUGGAAUACUAAAUAUUUAGACCAAAAUUCUGAAUCUCUUGAUUCUUUGAAUUCUGUUUUUCUUGAUGUUUUCCUUAUCUGCCUCACCCCUGCAGCAUGAUGUUUAGUUCGUUCCCCCCUGAUCAUUCUCUUCCCUCCCCUUAUUGCUGUCUAAACUACAUUGAUGUGUUUGUAUGACUUCAGGAAGAUCGCAUAAGUGAAACAGGCAAAGAAGCUGAGAUCAGAGAAUCUACACUUUUUGCUCAUACUUGUUUUCUUGUUAAAAGCAUGUCGCAGAGAGAGGAACACAUCCGGGAUAUUACUGUAAACUUGUUGACUCAGCUUAGAGAUAAGUUUCCUCAGGUAAAGUCACUUGAUAAUGCAACUAUCUGUGAUUGAACUAUUUAUCAAUAUUCAAAUAUAUUACUGGUGCAGAAUUGUUUGUUUUAUUUGAACUAACUGGCUAUUUGUGCAGGUUUUGUGGAAUUCAUCUUGCUUAGGCUCUCUGCUAUUUUCAGUGCAUAAUGACUCACCUUCUGCUGUUGUAAAUGAUCCAGCUUGGGUAGUGACAGUGCGUUCUUUGUACCAAAAGAUUCUGCGAGAAUGGAUCAGCAUAUCACUUUCAUAUGCACCAUGCACUAGCCAGGGUCUGCUUCAGGUUGUUCUCAUUAUUAGUUACUAAUUAAAAGCAAGCAUCAAUUUACAUGUAUGUUUUACGUUUGCUUUAAUUGGUGAAUAGAUCAGCAGUUCUCCUGUACUAUUAGUAAAUUUAAAUAUUUUCAUUGAUCUGUUGAAAAAUGCAUUUGCACUCAUCAAUGGUGAUGGUUUUCUUUCCUGUUAUAGUUGGAUUAACAUUGACAGCAUUUAGAAAUACUCUUUUUAUUGUCUUGAUGGAUUUUACUUUCUGUAAUUUUGCAUAUAAUAGGAGAAGCUUUGCAAAGCAAACACAUGGCAGAGUGCACAACCUACAGCUGAUGUUGUUUCUCUUUUAACUGAGAUACGGAUUGGCACUGGUAAAAAUGAUUGGACAGGCAUACGGACAGCUAAUAUACCUGCAGUCAUGGCUGCAGCAGCCGCUGCAUCAGGAGCAAACAUGAAACUGACAGAUGCAUUUAAUUUGGAGGUUCUCAGUACUGGAAUAGUUAGUGCAACAGUUAAGUGCAAUCAUGCUGGAGAAAUUGCUGGCAUGAGAAGGUUAUAUAACAGCAUUGGUGGAUUUCAACCUGGUAGCAUGCCGAGUUUUGGUAGUGGUCUCCAGAGAUUGAUAUCUGGAGCUUUUUCUCAACUGCCAAAACCUGAGGAUGAUUCAUUUAAUGAGAUUUUACUAAAUAAGUUUGUGCAUCUUCUUCAACAAUUUGUUAGUAUUGCAGAAAAAGGAGGGGAAGUGGACAAGUCACAGUUUCGUGGUACUUGUUCUCAGGCGACUGCAUUACUUCUCUCGAAUCUGGUAAAAGAGUGCUUCUUUAUUCUUAUCCCCAUACCUACUGGCUAAUUUAAAAGAAUUUUUUGGAGAUAAUUCUUCUUUCCUCUGAUUUUUCUUUUUGAUCAGGUUUCUCAGUCAAAAUCUAACGUAGAGGGCUUUGCUCAACUUCUACGUCUUCUAUGCUGGUGUCCAGCAUAUAUUUCUACACCAGAUGCAAUGGAGACGGGUGUUUUCAUCUGGACUUGGUUGGUUUCUGCUGCACCUCAAUUGGGGUCUCUUGUUCUUGCUGAGCUUGUUGAUGCUUGGUUAUGGACUAUUGAUACGAAACGAGGCCUCUUUGCUUCUGAGCUGAAGUGCUCUGGACCUGCUGCAAAAUUGAGGCCUCACCUUGCUCCUGGGGAACCAGAACUGCUGCCUGAAAUUGAUCCCGUUGAACAAAUAAUGGCACAUAGACUAUGGCUGGGAUUUUUCAUUGACCGUUUUGAGGUUAGGAUUAAUUGAAGUAUUAGCAGUAACUAAUUUUUAACUACAUGUUCCGGUUUUGCUUUUUGACCAUGUUAUACUUUCUUCAUUUACUGUUAUUGGUAAAUAUUUUGUGCUAGUGAUUCUUUAUUUGGAAUGUUUCAAUUGCAUUGUAUCAGUGGAUGAAAACUGUAAAGUCACUGGAAAUCCUGAUGAAGGUUCUAAAUAAUUCUACAGAAAAUUGAAAUCUAAGAAAACGGAAUAAUGUUUUUCUUGGAGGCUUCUGAAGUACAUGCAUUUGAGUUUUUAAGGGGUCCCUUUAUUUCCUUACUCUAAAACUCUAUAUGGGUUAAUGGAUCCCAAAGAAAAACAUUGGGUGAUGUCUUGGAAUAUUUUCUAGCAUCUGUCCGAAAGAGAGACACAGGAAGAAGAAUUGAGAGUGGGGGUGUUUGCAAAAUGGAUUUGAUCUAUUUGCUACAAUAUUAUGGAUAUAUGGCACAACAUGGAUCUAUUUAGAUUGCUUUGAACUCUAAAUUUGUGGUGACAGAAGGAUGGCAGUGUGGAAUUGCAAUGGUUACCAUGAAUAUAUCCUCCUGUCCUAGAUACGAUGAGAGAUGUAAUUGAUGAGAAAGCUGUCCUCAUUGUGAGUUUGUUCUUGGACUCAAUUCUACUUUUUAGGUGCAUGUAAAUUCAGCAAAGUUUUGCAUACAUGAGCUGUCCAUUUAAAAACAAGGGAAAAAGAAGAGAGGUUUACCUGGGUUAUUGGGCCAUUUGGUUCUUAUGAAGCAUUUGGUAGAGUAUGGGAAAGUUGAUUGCCUGGAGAUUUUUGCAUUGCACAAUGUGCUCAUGGGUUGGGGGGAGGGGUCUUGCAUGGGGAGACAAAUUUAUCUGUUCAGAUACUGCUGCUUUGACUUGUAGUUCCCAGCACCUUCAUAAGUAGAUAAUAUGUGUGUGCUUGUGGUUGUUAUCUGAUUCACUAAAUAUUUAUAGUUUUCUUUACAUUGCUGUUGGGCUGUAUAGGUAAUUCAUCACAAUAGUGUUGAGCAACUCUUGCUCCUUGGUCGGCUGUUACAAGGGACUAUGAAAUUGCCAUGGAACUUUUCACGCCACCCUGCAGCUACUGGCACAUUUUUUACUUGCAUGCUUCUUGGGCUUAAGUUCUGCUCAUGUCAAGGCCAGGGGAAUUUGCAGGGUUUCAAAUCAGGGCUUCAACUACUUGAAGACCGGAUCUAUAGGUGACUCAAUUGACUAUGAAUCUAUUCCUUUUCUUGCUGCAUUCUGUUUUCACAACUUGUUGGAUUUUCUUUUUUAUCAUGUAUAGCAAGCUUUAGUGCAACUGGUAUAGUUGUUCUUUCGGUGACCUAUAGGUCACAAGUUUGAGUCAUGAAAACAGCCUCUUUGCAAAAUGUAAAGGGAAGGCAGCAUACUAUUUCUGCCAACCUCCUCUUACCCCUGCAUUAGCCAGGGAGCACUUUGUGCACUGGGUGUCCCUUUAUCAUGUAUGGAUUGCUGGCAAGUGAAAGAACAAUGCUCUGUAGUAUUUUUGUUAUGAAGGAUGAUCAGAGAAUACAAUAAUAGGAAAAAAUUAAAAGAUAAAGAGGAGAUUGCCUUGACAAUCAUUUGUUGGAUAGGGAGAGAGAUGUUGAAGCUUGUUAGCAUAACUACUUGCAAUAUUGGUGUAAUGAAUGUACCUUCAGUUUUCUUACCAUAGUGUUCAGUCGACCUUCAUGUCUUCGUUCUUUUUUUUCUUAAUCGUCUUUGUUCCUUUUUUCUUAAACAUUUUUUUUCUCUGCCUUCAAGGGAAGGUGCAGAAAGCCCUUCAUUUCAUGUGAUGAGUCCUGUAGUGUAAUUUUGCAUUUGAGAAUUGAGAGCUUGUCUGGUGCAUGUUUCAGGACCUGUUUGGGCUGGUUUGCUUUUGAACCUGAAUGGUACGACAUUAACAAUAUGAAUUUUGCACAAAGUGAGGCCCAGUCUGUCUCUAUUUUUCUCCACUAUCUUUCUAAUGAGCGAACAGAUGCGCAAUCUGAUGCAAAAGGACGGGGACAAGAGAAUGGAAAUUCACUGGCUGAUACAGUAAGAGAAUUAUUUUUGCAUCACAUACAUUGAUAAUUAUUUCGCAUCAUAUGCAUUUAUAGCCAUUAAUCAGUUCGAGACUUUAUUCUUCCAUAUGACAAUAUUGCUCCAUUCUUCCCCAGAUUUUUCUGACCAGUGAUACAACUUGCUUAAUGGAAAAUGUAGUGCUGCAAAUUACAUUUAUCAACAACAGGGAUCUCUUCACUUGCUGAAGACGCUUCUAUUUUCAUUUUUAUUACAUUUAUUAUUGCAAUCUUAUGAAGUCAUGAGAUGCUCCCAUGUCAUUUCUUCAAAUGAACAUAAUAGAGAAUACUUCAGUUAAUUUUAGUAGGGGGAAGGUGCAGAAAUUAUUUAUUAUGGAUGGGGUUAUUGGUUUCUAUUGUUGUAUGAAGUUUGUUGGUUGUAUUGCAGUUCACAAAUGAAUUAAAUAAUUGCAGACUGAUCAAUAUCAUCCGGUUUGGGGCCAAAUGGAGAACUUUGUUGUUGGAAGAGAAAAACGGAAGCAGCUGCUUCUGAUGUUAUGCCAACAUGAGGCUGACAGGCUUGAAGUUUGGGCGCAACCUACUAACUCAAAGUAACUUCCUGUGUACUAUUGACAACUUCAUAUUUCUUUCAAUGACAACAGUUUCAUUGGGUGUUUGCUUUCUGCACAGACCCAUUAAGAUAUUAAUGAGCUGUCUCAAUAUAUUUUCAAAUGGGUUCAUAUGAAUGCAAGGGAAAGUUCUUUUUGGCGGGGGUGGGGGGGUUGUUUGCAGCCCAAGACAAAAACAUCUUGUCAAUGUAAAGUAUUUACAGAUCUUGAAAAUCUUUGUAUGUUGGCAUUUAUUUCCAGGGAAAGUACAUCUCGGCCUAAAAUAAGCUCAGAGAAGUGGAUUGAAUAUGCUAGGAUUGCUUUCGCCGUGGACCCUCGGAUUGCAAUGUCUUUAGUCUCAAGGUUCCCCACUAAUGUUUCUCUAAAGGCUGAAGUUACUCAUCUUGUUCAGGUAUGUUUGCAAUUGCUAAUAACAUCAAUUAAAAGGGGAGACAAUUGAUAAUGUUUUGCGUAAGGAUGAGUAGUUAUAUAUUAUUUGAAGUAAGGAUGAGUAGUUAUAUAUUACUUGCUGAUCAGUAGAUACUUCCAUUGAGGAACAUGAUCUUUCAUAAGACACUUUUAUUUCGGAAAAUGAUCUUUGUUAUUUUUAACUGUUAGUCAUUUUAACUGAAAUCACGAAAGCUAUAAGAGGAUACCUAUUUGAAAUUGGUCAUAGGAACUAUGAUCACAUGAAAUUGGAAAGCAUUUUGCUGCAAAAUUGUCUGCAAUCAUUGUUUCAAGCACUAAUGUGGGAAAUUACGGACUAUUAUAGUACUAUUGAUUGGAUAAAGUUUGUACCUCAUCCUUUUCAUAAAAGACCAAAAAAAGAAGGUGAAAAUAUUCUAUCAGAGAUGUCAUAAUUCAAGCAUGAUAUGUGCAAAACUUUGGAGUUUCAUUGAACUUAGCUUCCAUUUCCUAAUGUGCAAAAUUAGGUCUAAUCAGCGCAUGUUAUUGAAGCAAAAUCCAGCUUGUAAGAAAGCAACAACCCAAUGGAUGGAGCAUCUUUUUUAAAUAAGGAAAUUCAUAAACAUGCGAGGAGAUGUUAUUGGAAACAAAGAUUGGACAACACCAUUAGGCUCUAUUCACUAAUUAAGACAGAGUUUCAAGUUUUAUAAAGCACCAGGACUUGACUAACGGGGAACAAGCACUAGAACUUGAUGGGAUGGGAUAAAAAGUAUCAGGACUUGAAUAAAAAACACCUGAUGACAACUAAAAGACUAAAUAUAUUUUCCUGUUAAAUCCAUUUCGCUUUAAAUUAUCAGUAGUUACCAAGAAACACUAAAGUAUGAUUCAAGAUUAGCUAUAAUUUAUCUCUUGAAAAGGGAAAUCAGCCUUCUAUUGAAUUUUUAUAGUAAUUGCUAACUUCUCUUUUUAUUCUUUUUUAUUUGAGCUUCCAAUUGGCUCAAUUUGCAUUUAUGAUCAGUAUCGUGGACCUUCCAUCUUUGUUUGGUAGUUAUAUACCAUUACUGCUACCUCUACAGAAGCCUUAUCUUGCCUUUUCUAAUCUCUCUCUACCUACCUCUGUCUAUUUAUCCAUAUAUCUACCUCAUGUGGGCAUGCGAUACAGGGAGAUGUCGAUGUCUAAUGAUAAUCUAUUCAUUUAAGUGGAAAUGGCCAUUUCAUCAUUUUGUUUCAGUUGAGAUUAGCAUUGGAGAAGAUCUUGCUAUUUGUACUAGAUGCUUCACUAUUACAUUAACUGAUAUAGUAUAAGAAAGAAUGAUAAUGUCUUGUAAACUUACAAUUUGGGACAGCAUUUUCUUGCUAUGCUAAAAAAUUUAAUGGAAUUAGCAUUGUUUUGUGAUGCUAGCCCCACAUUUCUUAUUUUAUGAAUUAGUUCAUGUAUCUUACUUGAUUUACCACUUUAAUUUUACUGGUUGUUUCCUUGCAGUCUCGUAUUGUGGACAUCCGCUGCAUACCCGAAGCAUUGCCAUAUUUUGUCACCCCGAAGGCUGUUGAUGAAAAUUCAGUGCUUUUGCAACAGCUGCCACACUGGGCUGCUUGUUCAAUUACACAAGCUCUUGAGUUCCUCACUCCUGCAUAUAAGGGUCAUCCACGUGUCAUGGCAUAUGUUCUCAGGGUUUUGGAAUCCUACCCUCCAGAGCGAGUGACCUUCUUCAUGCCUCAGUUAGUGCAGUCCCUGAGAUAUGACGAAGGGGUGGGUUACUUGAUGAAAAUGCUAAUGCAGAUGUCACUCAUCGUUCAUUUUACUUAAAAUGCAUGCUGUUGAGUUCAACCUGCUGGUUGGCUGGUUAUGUUAGACGAUUGCCUACUUGGUAGGGGCUUCAUUGGAUUUUGCCUAAAUAUUUAGGGGUUCAGUUAGGUGUUGUGCAAUUCUAAUUAACUUUGACCUGACUUUCUUUUCCUUGAUAUAUCUCACCAAAAGAAAAAUCCGUAUUUGUUAUUUUUAAUGUUAAUUUCUUUUUCUUCUUGGUUCACCAUAAAUGAAACUUAAAUUUGCACAGGCUAGUAUGACAUCAGUAGGUUAAUACUGGUAUAAUUUCGGAAACUUAGAUUAAUUAUCAUUAUAUUCUUUAGGUUUUUGGGUUAAUCAAACUUGCUAUAAUAGAUGGAAGUCACAUCAUUUUUCAUGCCAUAUGCUAAAAUAAAGUACAAGUGUAUUCUUAUGUAUUGAACUUUUACUGAAAUGGUUUUGCAGAGGUUAGUUGAAGGAUAUUUGCUCAGAGCGGCUCAAAGAAGUGACAUAUUUGCCCAUAUCCUGAUAUGGCAUUUACAGGUGUUGAAGCCUUCAUAAUUUUACAUGACUAAAAUGGCUAUACUCUUAACUGUUUUCUAAGGCUAUACGAGGAAAUACAACCACUCUCUUUCAUUUUUCUUAAGAGCGUGUCUAUGAAUUGCAGGGUGAGACUUUUGUGCCGGAAUCAGGAAAAGAUGCUGCCUCUGGAAAGGUAUGUCUUUAUGGUCUUUAUGGUUAAAUUUAUACUGUCAGAACUAUUCAUACAUAAACAAAACUUAAACGCUUAAACAUCGACCAUAUAGUUCUUAAUUUGUAAUCGAAGCUUAACAUUUUUCUUUUAAAUGUAUUUAUUUAAUGAUCUAAUUGUCUAAUUCAUUAGUGUGACAAUUACAAGUAGUAAUGUUUAUUCUCAUUUCAAUAAAUUGCCAUUUUUGGUGUUCGAAGCAUAUAUGAUGCAUAUUGAAUUCGUGUUAAACGAGGAAUUCAAGUAUUUUUUUUUUUUUUUUAAGGACUAUCAUUAAAAAUGAGUAUAACCUACUCUGUCUAAUAACACUGCAGUUCCGAAUUCGAUUUGCUAGUUUUACUUGCAAUCAAGUUGUCUUCCUGCAUUUGCAUCUGAUAUUCAUUAGUUUAUUAGAUAUUGGUGCAUGUGUAGUAUUUAAGUAUCUAUAUAUAUAUAUUGAUAAAUUAUCAUGUCUAAAAUGUAUCCAAUGCCUAGUAACCAAACAUAUACUUGAUGUUAUUUCAGAAUAAUUCCUUCCAAUCGUUGUUGCCUAUUGUGCGGCAACAUAUUAUUGAUGGUUUUACUCCAAAGGCCCUUGACGUUUUUCAAAGGGAAUUUGACUUCUUUGACAAAGUCACAUCCAUUUCUGGUGUUCUCUUUCCACUUCCUAAGGAAGAACGUCGAGCUGGAAUUCGGAGGUAUGGUUCUAGUUUAGUUUGCUCAUGCAUUAGAUUUUCAAUUUUGAUGUUUUAUAUCUUGCUGCUGAAGUUUAUUUGGACUUCUGGCAACAGGGAAUUGGAGAAAAUUGAAAUGGAGGGCGAGGAUCUUUAUUUACCUACUGCUCCUAACAAGCUUGUCAGGGGUAUUCGAGUGGACAGUGGAAUACCAUUGCAAUCAGCAGCAAAAGUUCCUAUAAUGGUAACAUUUGAUGUGGUUGACCGGGAUGGGGAUCAGAAUGAUAUAAAGCCCCAAGCUUGCAUUUUCAAGGUACACUUGUGAGUUUGUUAAUAAAAACUUUGGAUUAGCCAGACAGUCAACAAUUGAGAAUCCCCAUGACGGAAUAUGAUUCUUCUGUCAAAUUUAUUCUGUCAAAUAUUUGAUACUUGACGAGCCAUUUAUCGUAUUUCUUGAACAUGAUAUUUCGGUGAUGCUCAACAUGUAAAUUUUCUUUUAAAUACGUAACUAAAAACUCGUUUUUCUUCUUUUACUCGUUGGAAGAAAUCUGAACGAUAACCUAUAUAUCAAGUUAUGGAGUAAACUAAUUAAGAGCAGUUAGAAUUAGAUGAACAUCGCUUGAUUAUUCUCAAAGUCUGUGUAUGAAGUUCGAGUGCAAACAGUUUUGUGAAAUAUGAAAUUUAUCAUUAUAAAUGCAGUUAGCUAUAUGAAAAUAUAGUAUAAGCAAUCACUUAACUUGCUACAUUUAGCUGGUUACUAUCCUCCAUAGGGAAAUAUACAGUAUUUGCACUAGGUUUAUUCUUGAACGGUAAUUUUUGUUUCCACCAAAGAUUUCAUUUUAUAUGGUUUACUUCACACAACUCUUAUCACAAUGGUGCUUGUGAUAUAUCUUCUCCAUGAUGUGCAUCCAAUGCCAACUUCGCUGAUGUUUUCUAAACUGUUGCUGAAUCUCAAUGGUUGUACGUGGGAGAAUAUUAUUUCUUUGAUUUAAUUGCGUCAAUCACCUAUUUUAUAAACCAAGAUCCGAAUUUAGAUUACUGACUCUAAUUGAAGCUGCAUUCACAUAAUCGAUGCUUCCAUUUUUUAAAGGUUGGAGAUGAUUGUCGACAAGAUGUUCUUGCACUUCAAGUGAUAUCACUUCUUAGAGACAUAUUUGAAGCAGUUGGAAUUAAUCUAUAUUUGUUUCCUUAUGGAGUUCUUCCAACUGGCCCAGAGAGAGGUAUUAUAGAGGUAACAUUUCUAUACACUGCCUUGUGUUGCCAUUAUGACAAAAUAUACCAAAUUAAUGAGAUAUGUACUAUUUCUGGAUGAUCAUGAAAUGAUUCAAGUUUCAUAUCUCUGGUCGUCAGUUGAUUCCUGUAAUGCCCAAUUAUUCAUUUUACUAAACUGGUUAUUAGAUUGGUCUAACAAAAAUUAAUUUACUUUUGAUUUGCACUUCAGGGAUUUAUAUACUUGUGCUUUCUUUGAAGGAUGAGGCUGCAUUUAGAAUAGUUGCAUGUACUUUUGAUUUGCACUUCAGUGAUUUUAUUCCAUUUUGAAUAUGUUGCAUGUAUUAAAAGUUGUUUCUAUAUCAUAACUCUGGUAUGGAAUAUAUGCAUUUUGUGUAUGUUCCCACGAUCUGCCUUCUGUUAUAUUGCCAGAUUACAUUGCAUCUUGCGAUCUAUGAUCAAGCAGUAGAUUUAUUUCUUGAGUUCUUUAGAUUUUGAAGGGAGUAUUGGAGAAGAACUAGGAAGAAAUUGCAAAUUUUCUGGUUGAAUUUUUCUUGAAAUUAAUUAAAUUUAUUGCUUACUUUACAAUGUCAGCAUAUCAAUGGAGUAAUAUUUGAUUGGUUGGACUUAUUGUUCUUCUGUUUGAUGCCUUCAUUAGGAAACUUUGUAUAAUCAAUGUAUGAUUUGAUUUGAUACUUGAUGCCAGAUGUUCAUGGAAUCUUGAUCAGUAAUAAUUUAUGUGGCUAGGUUUAAAUAAUUGCCAAUCUGGGAUUUUAUAUGCUGAAAAUAGGCCCUGUCCUUGUUGGUGGUGAAUAGUUUUCAGUCUUCUUCUGGGUGCAUGCUAUGCUAAACAUGAGUCAUCUAGUAUACACUCUUCACAUCUGAAAUGAAACAAGUUGCUCACUGAAUAUGAUAGGCUUCUCUUUUGAUUUAUGAAAUGAUAAUGCUACUGUCUGGAACAAUCUCUUUUUGCAAAUGAAAUAUCUAUAGUAAUUAAAUGUUCCUGUUCCUUUUCUUAGUACCUAUUUCUAAUCAUACAGGUUGUGCCUAAUUCCCGAAGCAGAAGUCAGAUGGGGGAAACAACAGAUGGUGGAUUGUAUGAGAUUUUUCAACAGGAUUUUGGGCCUGUAGGCUCUCCUAGUUUUGAAGCUGCUCGUGAGAACUUUAUUAUUAGCAGUGCUGGUUAUGCAGUUGCCAGUCUUUUGCUCCAGCCGAAGGAUAGACAUAAUGGGAAUCUUCUCUUUGACAAGUAUGAGAUCUUUUUCUUUUUCCAUUUUUUUUUUUUUCGGUUCUACAAUAUUUUUGAUUUUAAUGGCCAGAUAAUCGAGUUAUUACAAUCACAUCUAUAAUCGUGCCAGAUAAUCUUAUUUAAAAAGGAAGAUGGUAUACCUAACACCAGUGGGUUUAAUCAAUUACUUAGUUCAUGUUAUUUUUUAGUGAAAUUCGACUAAUUCUUGUUGUAACAUGCAAGUUGUGGGAGACUUGAAAGGAAUUUAGAGAGAAAAAAAAGAAAAGAGAAGAAAAGAUGACCAGUAUAAUAUUAAUUGACAACAUAUAUCGAUGCAGUGUGGGAAGGCUUGUUCAUAUUGAUUUUGGUUUCAUCUUGGAAACAUCGCCUGGUGGGAAUAUGCGCUUCGAGAGUGCACACUUCAAGCUGAGUCAUGAGAUGACUCAGUUACUAGAUCCAUCUGGUAUUAUGAAGAGUGAAACCUGGUUCCAAUUUGUAAGGUAUCGUGCAUAUAUUUUCUUGGAUUUUCCAUGCAUGUUUUAAUGAAUAAAUAUUGCUGGAAACUGAGUGCUUGAUUGUCUCUAUGGUCCGCAGCUUGUGUGUCAAGGGAUACCUCGCAGCCCGUCGUUACAUGGACGGGAUAAUCAAUACUGUGUUGUUGAUGUUGGAUAGUGGAUUACCUUGCUUCAGUAGGGGUGACCCAAUUGGAAAUCUUCGCAAGAGAUUUCAUCCUGAGAUGAGUGACCGUGAAGCUGCCAAUUUCAUGAUCCGCGUAUGCACAGACGCCUACAACAAGUGGACAACUGCUGGCUAUGACUUGAUACAAUAUCUGCAGCAAGGCAUUGAGAAGUAAAGGGAAAUCAUACAGCUCAAAGUAAAUUGUACAUGAUCGCUUGUAAUUUUGUAAUUUUUUUUUUUCUUUUCUUCUUUUUAGUCUUGCAGCUGUAAUUCUUUUCAGGGGAUUUCCACCUUAGAAUGCUGAGGUAAAAGAUUGUAGAAACAGGAUUUCUUUGUAGCUUAGUGGUGGGAUUCCCAUUGAGGUUUGUAAAAGUACAGAAUUAUUUUUAUCUAUUUGUUAAUGAAAUUUGUAGUGCCUCAAGAAGAUGAAACAGGUUGAACAGCUUGGCUAAAAACUGCAGCAGCCUAUUUUUGUCUUCUCCUCUCCAGGUACAUCACAUGUCAACAGACUGGAAAGAGGCUAAUUUGGAGUUCCUGACUUAAAAUUGUUAGUGAAUGAUGAAAUUUUCAAAAGUAAAUAGUUAGUAUAUGAGAUGCUUUGACGUCCACUUGGAAGAUACAUGUGACCUCUCGGUGCUUAAUGCUAGCUGGAUGUCCAACUUGCACUUUUGGGUAUUGUAAUGUGGGUUCCUAGACAUACGGGAAUAACCCACUUGCUGCCGAAUGCUCAGUCCAUUUCAAAUGAACUUGAACGUCAUCCUCUUAUAUUUGUCCAGGUUCAUAUUUUAUUCAAAUUGGAUUAUAACACCAAAAAAAGCUUACCCCAAGUUAACUUGACUCUUCAAUUAUAUGAUUACUGAUAAUUGUACUUUUGGGGUCAAAAUGAGAAGUAGAGAAUAUAGAAGUAUGUUCUAUUCGGGAUAAUUCUCCAUUGUGUGGUAUUGAUGUUUGGAUUAGGCAUAAGAAGGGUGGAGGAAGUUGGACAAGCUCGAUCCAAUUGCAUAAGUACCCGCCCUAUACUUCCCGUUAGUGCAUUAUAAUAGCAUUGGGUCCCCUUAGGCCUUAGGUGCGAUCUCAAUGGAAUCAAGUAUAAGAGAAAGAGCUGUCAGAUUCCUGUACAUAAUAUUUAAUUAUGCAUGGACCAUAUCUCCUUGAUUCAAGACAAGAAUCACAUGCUUCCUCUCUGCCCAUCACCUUCACGUCCCAUUUCUUUUUUCGUAGAAACUUCACCGUGGAACUAUGCAAUGUGGGUUGUGAUCUAUUUUUAUUUUUUCUUAACAACGACAUCCAUGUUUUUGAGUUCAUUGUUCAAGUAUCAGAUCAAUGAGACCAUUUUCCAUUGCUUCUCUACUAUGGCCUGUGCCUCUUUUAUUCAAUGCGUACCUAUGAGCAUGCUUGCCAUUGGACUGAAUGAUGUGUCUCAAAAUCUAAAGAAACUAGAGCAAGUUAUGACGAGCACAGAAAAUAAGUAAGCUAACCUUCUUCCUCGACAAUGACUCAUUCUUUUGCAAUUUUCAUUAGAUGGUACAAGUUAAUUUAACAUAUUAAUUUUUAAAGAAGUAUAGUAGAAGCAAACAUAUGAAAUAACUUUUUCAUAACCAAAAUUGAGAUAUUGACAAACAAAGCUUGUGUACCACUCACCACAAUGGGAUGGGAGGGUACUAAUGGAUCCACCUCUUUCCUCCUUGUCACUCUCACUAUACUACACAAUAAUUUUAAAAUACAACCAAGAGAAAUUCUCAAACCAAAAUCAAGAAAAAGAAAUUACAAGAAUAAGAGUUGCAAUGACCCUUUAGGCUUGACUUUUGAUUACUUUAGUUCAUAAUAGCCACCCGAUAACCAAAACAAAAACAAAAAACAGACCACUCAUUUCAACAAGCAAUCCACCCACACACAUGAUAAACCAUCUCCUCUGGUCAUACAAGAAAAGAAAAUGGGGAAAAAGUAGAGAAAGAAAAUGAUGUAUUUGUUACCAAAUAGAAAACAAUCAAUUAUAAAGAAACAAAACCCUUUUGUCCACAGACCUAAAUGCUUGUUCUUUCUUGAAAGUCCAGUCCAUGCGCUGUGCUAUGGCGUGCAAAUUAAUCCACCAAAUUACUUAGCAAUUAAAACCUAACGGGCCACCAAAUACGCAUUUGUGGUCAACUUUUCCCUCCCUAAUAAUUGGAGUUUGUCAUUACUAUUUUCAUGGAUGUGUGAUUAUUCCACAUCAUUUUUAUCUUUAUUUUUAUUACUAUUGCCUCGUGAAAUAUUUUCUACAUUCUCGCUCAUAAUCAUCCCAUUUCUUUUCAAUCAAAUUCAGAAAAGACAACUAUUAAUGAUAAUUAAACACGUUCCUUAGCUGAUCACAGAAAUAAAGUAAUAUGCUAAUCCUUCAUGAAUUAAGUACUUGCCUAUUUAGAAAAUUGUCAAUGGAAAACUAACAAAUAUUUUUCAGAAUACUAUCUCCUUUGUUUCCCUUCAUUUAUAUAUAUAUUUUGGUUAAUUUUUUUGGGAUUUUCCUUGCAUACAAAGCUUUCAAUUUCCAUCUCAAGCAUGAACCUGACCAACUUCAAAACGAAGGGGCUUUUGGGAAAAAAAAAAAAAAAAAAAAAAAAAAAAAAAAAAAACUAAUCUAACAUUUCGAGUAGGUUGAUUUACUAAAUUACCCUUCGCCUAAUUAAGCUGUAUUAGUAUUAUUAGCAACACUAGUAGCAGUACCCAUCUGGAUUUGACCAUUAGUUUCACCAUGGAAUUCCGCCUUAUUCAAUUUUUCAUCUUUUGCAGCAGACCUCCAUUUGAUAAAAUGACCAAAAAGGACCUCCAUAUCCUCCAAUGUUCUUCCUUGUGUCUCGGGCAAACAUGUAAAAAAGAAAGUCCAUGCCACUGAAGCUAUCGCCGCAAAUAAGAAAAACGCGCCGCCAAUCGUUAUCCCUUUAUACAACGAAAUAAAAGUAGUGGAUAUUACCCCACUCGUUACUCUGUUCACUGCCACCCCCAUACUCGCACCUUGAGCGCGUAGCCUCAACGGAAAGAUCUCAGAGCUGUAAACCCAUGUUAUGGGUCCCAUACCAAUCGAGAAAAACGCUACGUACGCUAAUAUCAUGGCUAUGCAUAAUGCAACAGCCCACGUUAGCUUCUCGUGCGAAUGAUCGAUAACGGUCAACGAAAAUCCGAGGGUUGCCAAUGAAAAGAUCAUCCCGGCUACACUACUUAAAAGCAAUGGCCGUCGUCCGAUCCUGUCCAGUAAAAACGUAGCCACUAAGAUGAAAAUAGUCUUCACAAAUCCGACGGCCACGGUUGCAAGUAAUUUAUCAUUGUCUGAUCUGAUACCAGCCUUUUCAAAGAUACGUGGGCUGUAUAAAACGACAGCGUCAAUGCCUGAAGCUUGUUGAAAGAAGUGAAUGCCAAUAGCACAAACUAAGAUGUGACGAACGGACGGUGUAGGAUUUAGCAGCAGUUCUCUCCAUACACCUUCACCGUGCGACUGUCUUUGCACUUGGACGACGUCGUCAUUGCAAUCUUGGGGAAUGCCAGCAGCUUGUUUGAUGUCAGCCAGUCUUGCUUGAGAUUCUUCCAUGGAGUCUGAGGUCCUGUCUAGAACUCGUUUGGCAUCGCCUAGUCGACCUUGGAGAACUAGCCAACGUGGUGACUCCGGCAUGGCUAGAACUAUUACAGCAAGGAUAACUGAUGGAACUGCACCUACUCCGAGCAUGAAUCUCCAUCCCAAGUGAGUUGGGAGCUUGGAAAAUGCAAAGUUUGAUACAUAGCCGAGCAAGAUGCCUGCGUUAAUAAACACCUGCAAUUUUAUUUUAUUUUUUGAAAAAAAGUUAGUCAAAUCUAACAUGAUACACACAGCUAAUUGAAAUUCUGUCAUUUUAGCAUACAGGAUAACACGCUUAAUUAAUGAAAAUUGCAUGUUAUAUGUAAAUAGUAGGCUUGCUAAAUGACACUUUAUGGAUGAACUUGUAUAUUUCAUUAUUAGUAUGUUUCUUUUUGUCAUUUUUUUUGUUUCAGUAAGGGAACAGUUUGCAAUUGAAAUAUAACCUCUUUAUAGCAGUAAUUAAUUCUUUCAAGAGAAGAACUAUAUAUAUACAUAUAUAUGUUUAUAAACACGUACUUCAGGGAAUGAUGUCAGGAAUCCACGAGAUGAUGCUGGAGACACCUCCGCGGUGUAGACCGGAGCAAUCAUAAGGGCGUACCCGACUCCAAUUCCGGCCACGAAGCGUCCGACCAUGAGGAAAGCGUAGCUGGUAGCGAAUCCCAUAAGAAGAGCUCCGACAAAGAAAAUAGCCCCAGCUACCACGAUGGUGUACCGGCGGCCAAUCCAGUCAGAGGUUCGGCCAGCUGCGGCUGAGCCAACAAGUGAGUACAGGUUAAGUGUACCCACCAGGAUUUCUACUUGAAGAUCAGAGAGUCUGAAUUCAUCUUUGAUGUAGAUUGCAGCUCCACUCAUUACACCAAUAUCUACCAACAAACAAUAAAACAACACUUCAAGUUUACCAAACUUAUCUAAACAAGAAAACAUGUCAAAGAGAAAGUUUGCAUAGAAAAUGAAUCUGUAUGGUGGAAGACAUGUAAUAUGCAAUACAUGAUUAAAAAGAAUGAUUUAAAGGGUUGUUAAACUGGCCAGUAACUCAGCACUGAUCGAAUAUUCUUAUGCAGACGGUCAGAGUUCAAAUCUUGAAGGUUCUUUUGCUCUUUGAAAUUUUUGAGAUACUAAAAGAAGUAAAGAAAAAGUAGACAAGGGGAGAGAGAGAGAGAGAGAGAAGACACUCACCAUAACCAAGUAAGAUAGAGGUCAUGGAAGCCAAUAUAGCACAAGCAAGAGCAAACUUGUUUCUCUUAGGUUUCUUUGGAGGAUCAAAAUCUGCAAUUGUUUUAUUACUAAUUGGAGCAGGUUGGGUGCUGCUGUCUGCGUUUACACCAGCCAUCACUCUUUAGCUCUAGUGUCAGAGAAGGAAAGAUGAUAGAAUAUACAGAGAGAGAGAGAGAGAGAGAUUGGAUGAAGUAAUGUUAUAAUGCUUAGGAGUUAGGAUAAACUCAAACAGCCAUGAAGAGCAGAGCUUGGGGAUGCAGCUCCAAAGGAAACCCGGUGUUGCUUAAAUAGACCAUAAAAGGGCUUGAUGUCAUUAUCUUGUAAUAAUUCUUUUUCUAAAAAAAAAAAUGAAAACUGUAAGAAUGUCAUGAAUUUUUGUGACCUGCUGAUCCGCUUCACAGGGAUGGUUUAUUUCAACUGUUAAGAGAUUACAGCUUGUAAUAAUACAUAUUUUCUAUAGGAUUUUCCUUUUUCAUACUCUUCCAUUCUCAAUAUACAAGUUUCUGAUUCAGUUGUUUAUGGGUUACUUAAAAGAGUAAUAAUAAUUCAAUAAUUUUAUAAUUAGGGUGAUGUUAGCAUACUGAUUUUUGGUCAAAAGUUACGGGUUCAAAUUUUUGAAUUGCAUUUAUAGAAAGGAAUUUUACCAUUUAUAGCUCUCUAUGCCGAAUAGGAUCAAUCUUAGUUUUCUAUGGAUAAUAUUAUCAUUCCAAUUACUUCUAUUUAUUUAAUUAGUCAUAUAUUAUCUGUACAAGGAAGUCAAUAAGUCAAAUCCAACGAUUUCGCAUGGUAAUUCUAUCCUAUGUUACGGUAUUUUCAGCCAUUGUACCUGAAAAUCAAAAGGAAAUUUAUGGGGUAACAAUAUUUUUUAAUUUGCUUUACCUGAACUCACUCGUUGCUUAGCAGAAAAACAAAAGCUUGUGAUAAUAAUAACUAUGAUUAUCAUUUUAACUGAGUGGUAAAAUCAGGGGUAAUACGACAGUAUUCCAUAUAUGACUGGUGUAACGUCAGGUUCACUGCUAUUAUAUAUAUCGCAUAAUGCAAAAAGUAAAUAGGUGCUUAAAUUCGAAGGAGAUAAAAGGUAUAUAUAUAAAUAUAUAAGACUCUUACUUAAAACAAACCUAUGUAACUAUUCUUGUGUCUCACUUGCUACUUCACUUUUUCUAUUACAAGAAAUACACACAAAUUCAACAUGUUCUGUCGGCAAUGGAUAAUCCUAAUGAACUCCCUAAUAUGUUGCAAUGGAUAAUCCUAACCUUUUCAAUUGCCUUAAUUAUACAACAACCUCGUUGGCAACAUAUACUUUGUUUUGCAGUCUUAGUUUCUUUUUCUUACAUAUUCAUUUCAUUAAGCCGGAUAGCUCACAGAUGAUGAAUUGAUGCAUGCCAGGGAAAUUAUAUUGUAUUUUUCAAACAUUGCAAUUGCGAUGCCCUGAUUUUGUGAAAAGUUAAUUUAGAAUCUAAAUGAUAAUGACGGACUUAAGAAUAUUUAUUUAGAUAUUAUACUGUCAAAUAAAAAUUAACUUAUAUAAUCAACCAGAGGAUUGACGUGAUCUAUCUGAGUUAAUUGUGACCGUUUUCAAAUUAAUUAGUUAUGGGUUAAUGAUCAAUCAUGAGGUCCAUAAAUUAAUGGUACAUUGAGUUCUUAGCCUCCAAGAUAUCAGGGCAAUUAGCCCUAGCCCGUUGCCCCGGCAAUAUGACAAUGUUAUGGAUUAUAUUGUUUUGGUAUCUCCUUUAUGAUAUUAAAAAUGCAAAAUCAUAUCAUCUACGUAAUCUGAUCUUCCACUAUUCUUAUAAAUAUGUUCUUACCUUUAAAUUUUAAUUUUUUAAUUUAUUGUCUUUAUAUCUUUUACUAAAUUUAUUCAAGCUUAUUUAAAUUUAUAUUUUUAGUGAUGUGAAAUACAAACAUGUUUUAUUUUUUACCAAUAUAAAAUUCAACAUUGACCAAAAUCUUUCUAUCUAUCUUGACUUUUGAUUAUUUUCGUAAAUAUACCUUUAUUAAUUUCUUUUGGAAAAAAAUUAUAAAAAAAAAAAAGAAGAAGGUGGAAACAACAUCAUUAUUUUUUGACAAAUCCUUUUCAUAAAUAUACUUUCAUCAAUUUUUUUUUAGAAAAUGUAAAAACAACAUUGUUACUCUUUUAACAAAGAGAUUUUAGAGCGAGAACGAGAAAGCUAAGAGAAAUUUGUAUUUAUAGAGAGAGAAAGAGAAAAGAAGCGAGUAAUGACUAUUACAAACACACAAAAAUAAGAGAUACGAAAUAAUAUUCUCAAGAGUUUUCUCAUCACUAUUUGCUAAAAUAUUUGGCAAAAGUAAAGAACAAAACAACAAACAAAAAUAAAAUCAAAUAGUGUCAAAAGCUGUUGUUCCUGUCAACACCUUAACUAUAUAAUAAAUAUAUAUGUGCCUUUGGAGUUUUAUUUUUAAUUCUUUUGCUAGUUUAUUUAAUUUUAUUUGUUUGUUGCGGGUAUAUUUUUUUAUUUAAUUGUUGCAUAGUAAUUGUUUCUUUCCUAGCAUAUUUUUUAACUUUUUGUUUAGUCUAGUAUACAAUAAUGUGAGAUUUAUUAUUUUAAUUUUUUUCCUUUUGUGAUAUAGAUUAAUUUUUAUUAAUUUUAUAUGGACCAUGCAAAUAGUUUGAUUGAGUUUGUAUUUUAUUUUAUAGUUUUGCUCUUUCUAUAAAUACAAACAUCUAUUUGUUUUCUCUCUUUAAUUAAAAUCUCUCUCUAUAAACAUACCGUUUAAUUUAAAAUAUUUUUAUAAAGAAAAAGAGAUAGAAAUAGUGUCAUUUCUAUUUUUCUUUUUAACUUGAUGAUAGCAUAUUUAUAAAAAUGGCCAAAAGUCAUGGUAGAUAUGAUAGUUUUAGUCAGAGUUGGAUUUCAUGUUAACAAAACAUAAAACAUGCAUAUAUGUCACAUUAUUAAAGAUAUACUUCUAAAUGAGUUUGAAUAAAUUUUAUAAAACACACAAAGAUAAUGGAUCAAAAUGUUAAAAUUUGAAAGUAAAAAUAUAUCUACAAAAAUGAUUAAAAAAAAUCAGGAUAGAUGAAAAAAAUUUAUUUAUUAAAGAUGGAAAGUCCGAAUUAAUUUCUUAAGAAGUGUAAUUAAAUAGGAAAAAUAUACAUUAUAGCACGCACUCAUUAUUUGAACUUCAAAUGAGGUUUAUAGAAGAGUAUCUGAACUCCCAUUAAUAAUGUUAAGAGUAAAUUCAUUUUUCAACUAAACUUGUCUUAGUUAUAAUACUAAGGCUAAUGGCUUCAUUUAUCUUGAAUUUUUAAUGACUUUAAGUCAUAAAUUUAAUAACUUAAAAUACUAUUAUAUACAGGAAAAAUGUAAAAAAAAAGUACAUCUCUAUGCGUAUUUUUUUAUUAAGGAUUUGUGUUCUUUAGGUAUAUGACUUUAUUUUACUUUCUAAUUUUAAUACUCUAUACUAACUACUGAUAUGCUCCUUUUAUUUUCUUAAUCAAAUCAAUAAAUAAAUUAACUUAUUUUUAUGAGUUAGUUAUAAUUAGGUUUACUUUAUAUCACUUAAUAGAUAAUUUUAUUACUGAAUUACAUAAUUAAGAAAACAGCCCAGCGCAAUAAAAAAAAGCGUAAUAUAUAUAUAUAUGAACUACAAAGCACAUAUUCAAAUUUUGUUUUCUCUUUCCCUAUAAUUAUUAGCAAAGUAUAAUAUACUAGUUGUUUAUCUGUGCGUUGUAUGAUCAUUAUUAUUAUUUUUAUUAUAAAGUUAAGUUAAUAGAUACAAGUUAAUAAAACUUCUAAUAUUUGAUAUUGAUUUAUAAAAAUUUAAAAAAGAUAGUAAACUAACUAUUUUUAAAUGUCUUUGUAAAAUUUUAAAAUUUUAUUAAUAUAAUAAUGUAAAAAUUAUUUGUUAAUUGAUUUCAAUAUUAUAUAAAUAUCAAUAUAAUUGAUAUUAUUAAUUUUUUGAAAAAAAUCUAUUAUAUAAUUAAAAAAUUAAUUUAUUAUUAAAUAUAAUACUACAAAUAUUAUUUAAUUAUAAAAUUAAUUUAUUAGUUAAUAUAAUAUUAAAAUUUAAUUAAUAUACUAUUUUUUAGAAUAGAAUUAAUAUCAUCAUCUGAUUAAUAAACUAUUUAUUAGUUAAUAUAAUAUUACAAUAUGAUUAAUGUGCUAUUUUUAGGAUUAGAGUUAGUGUUUAAUUAGAAAUGUAACUUAUAAAUCAAUAAAUUAAUAGAAAAAGUUAUAAAAUUAAACGUAAGUUCGAAUCUCAUGUGUCAAAGUAAGUACACAUGUCAAAAUAAAAACUUUAUGUGUCAAAAAUUAAACAUACAUAUUGAAAAAAAUUUAAAUUUUAAAAAUUAAUAUAUAGUAGUCGUUUACCUGUGCAUUGCACGACCGUUAUUAUCAUUUUAAUUAUAAAAUUAAGUUGAUAGAUAUAAUUUAAUAAAAUUUUAAUAUUUAAUAUUAAUUUAUAAUAUUUUUAAAAAUAAUACCAAACUAACUCUUUUUAAAUAUUUUUAUUUUUAAAAAUUUAAAAAUUUUAUUAGUGUAAUAAUAUAAAAAUUAUUUUAAAUAUAUUUAUUAAUUAAUUUUAGCAUUACAUAACUUAAUAAUAUAAUUGAUAUUACUAUUUUAGAAUUAAAAAUUUAUUAUAUAAUUAAAAAUUAAUUUAUUAUUAAUAUUGAAAAUAUAAUUUAAAAUGUUAUUUUUUAGAAUUAAAAUUAUUUAUUAGUUAAUAUAAUAUUAAAAUAUAAUUAAUAUGCUAUUUUUUGGAUAGGAUUAGUAUCAUUAUUUGAUUAGAAAACUAUUUAUUAGUUAACGUAAUAUUUAAAUAUAAUAAGUAUAAUAUUUUUUAGUACUAGAGUCAGUAUUUAAUUAGAAAUAUAACUUAUUAAUCAAUAAAUUAAUAAAAAAUAUAAAAGUACAUAUAAAUUUAAAUUUUAUGUAUUAAGAAUAGUACAUAUAUUAAAAUAAAAAUUAUACGUGUCAAAAAAUAAAUAUAUAUAUGUAAAAAAAAUUUAAAUUUUAGAAAUAAUAUAUAUAUAUAUAUAUAUAUAUAUAUAUAUAUAUAUAUAUAUAUAUAUAUAUAUAUAUAUAUAUAUAUAGAGAGAGAGAGAGAGAGAGAGAGAGAGAGAGAGAGAGGGAUAGAUAGAUAGACAGAUUAACUCAAUAGCUAUAUUGACAACACUUUUUCCUGUUGGUGUCGACUAUUAAUAUUAUUACUAUUUUAUCAAUUAUUAUAUUACACAUAUUCUCCUCAUGUUUAAGAUGAGAGCUAAAUAAAUAUUAAUGGACCGAAAGCAGCUACGUGGAUUCUCCUUAUUAGUAAUUAUCUUGAAAUAAAUUAAUAAUCAUUCCACUGGAUUUUGUACAUUCUAUUUAAUUUCAUUCAGCCAAUAUCGUCAAAUCUCACAUUAUUCACUUAUGAAACAACUUUUCAAUAAAAAUAAAUAAUAGUUAUAUACUAUUUUAAGUGGACGAUUUAAGAUAAUCAACAAUUAAAAUCAGUUGUGCAAAAAGGUAAUUAAAAUUAGCACUUUUAAUAAUUUUGUUUACUUGUGGGGAAGGGGAUAAUUUUAAGGUUGCACUUUACUGCUUUAUUACUUAGGAGUAGUCCAUGAAGAUUUAAUUAAACAAUUCCUUAUAGCUAGUUUUUUCCUAUACCAUCUUAAUAUUUGUUAGAUAUGAAUCUGUGUGUUUCUUAUGCAUAUGUUGUCCUUUAAGUAGAAUGGAGGGUUUAUAAUAUAAUUGUUCAAGACCAAAAUACGAAAAGCUUAAGAACUAAAGUGUAUAAUGGAUGAUUUUUAUUUAUUUUAUAAAAAUAUUCAUUGGAAAAUACUGGGAUAAAAUUACUAAUUUGAAAUGAUAAAUAUAUUUAUAUCUUAGAUCAAUUCUAGACAAUUAUAAUCAACCCUAAUGUUUUUUUUUUUUUUUUUCAAAAAAGAAUAUGGAGUAUUUGAAAAAUCAAUGUCUAAGAAUUAGAAUUACAGAAGGAUUAUAAUUACAUUAAUAUAUGUAAAGUUUAAAUACCUUGUACAUGGUUUAAUGUAAUAUAUGAUUAAAGCAACAAUGUUGAUAUUUAGCUUUUCUUGAGGUCAUGACCCAUGAGCACAAUGUGAACAUAAUCAGAUAAAGAUGAGAUGAAAUUAGAAAAUAUCACUUUUAGGUCAAUGAAGUCAACAUGGGUGUUUAAUAUUUGUUUAUUUAAUGAUCCCAUUUGUCCAAAAGUGGCUCUCAGAGUCUUUUCAAUUUUGUUUGGGUCAAUAAUGACGGUCUGACAUAUCAAAUCUACCAUAUUGCCCUCUUUCUCUUCUUUUUGUUUUAUUUUACUCCAACUCUUCCUGCCAACUUGCAAAGUUUCUUCUCUUUCGUUUCAAUAAUUGCUUAUUGCUUCAAACUAAUAAAUUAUGUAUUUCUUACUUAUAUUAUUCACUAAUUCUAAGUGAUAUCUUUUCUAUAAGAAAAUAAUGAGUGAGCCAUAUACUUAAUUAGUUAUGUAUGGUUAUAUAUGUUUGUUAGUGAAUAUUUAUUUUGUAUUAUUUUUGAAAAAUUAUAUUUGAGUUGAUUGACUUAAUCCGUAUUCCAUUUUGAUAUUCAAAUUUAUUCAUUUGAUGUCAUACAUAAUAUACCUUAUAAACUAAACUUUUUAAAUUUUGAUGUUAUCAUUCUUAAUUAGAUACUGAAUAUUUAUCUCAAAUUUAUUUUUUAUUCGAUUUUUUUAGAAGUAAUUAAAUCAAAUAAAUUUGAUACAUAUGACUCUUUAUAAUAGGUAACGUAACCAUCUUUCUCACUACUUUAUUUCUUAAUUUUACGUUUUCCAUCUCUUUAAUAUCAAAUAAAAUAAAAUAAAAUCUGUCGAUUUAUUUCAGUAUCUUUAAUUUGACACAAUUAGAGUUUAUGGACCAAAGGUGAAAAUCAUGCAAAAUGUUUGAAAAACUAGUGUUAGUCAUUGACAUGGAAGUGUUGAGAAGAUACAUAUAAUUUGUUUUUGGACUGAAUGGAGUAUGCAAUUUGACUAUGGAGAGCUAAGAAAUUCAAAAGAUAGCAUCAGCACAGUACAAAGAAGGGAUCACAGAAGAAAAUUUACGUCUUCGUUUUUUCUUUUGGAAUAAAGAAUUGAUAUGAUUGACUUAGAAGGGUACUCAAUAAUUUCACAAGAGACACAGAGGUGUGUGGUCACUAAUGGAUGGACAGCUUGGCUCUCUUCAACUUACGACUAAUCUCAAAUAAUAUCUUCAACUCUAUAUAAUAAUUUAAUAAUAAUAAUAACACUAGCACACAUUUUUAACAUAAAAUUUAAGCUAAAAAACUGAAGAUAAGGACACCUCAAUUCAAAUUUGAAUAGAAUUGCCAGUAUAAGAACAAAAUAUACAGUGAUAUUAAAAUGUAUCUUCAGGCAGAUUCUGUUUACUUCCUUUGUUUGUUUUAUAAAUAUUUCUUUACUAUUUAUUUUGGUCAUCGAUAGCAAUCUUUUGGCAGAUUCAUUGGAUUCUCAAACUAUUACAUUGGGGUUACGUCUUUGAUGGCAGAUCUCUAAAUUACAUUUUAAAUUUUUGUUAGAUAUUAAUUAGGGUUUUUCUUUCUGUUUUCUACAAGUAGUUGGAGGGUGGAAGAAGUAAUUAGUUCUAAAAGAAAAAGAAAAGGGAGGAAAAGCUACAAUUUAUAUUUAUAGUCAAAGACAUAAUAUUUUAUUUUUGUUUUUAUUUUAUGUAUUGGGGAGAGGGGUUGUUAAUAUUUUAAAGAACUCCAACAUUUGAUGUCAAUUAUUAAAUGAGUACGUUAAAAGGAUGGUAAUCAUAUUAUAUGUAUAGUUUUAUUUAAGCUAAUUAAAUGUUUGUUAAAUACUGGCAUCUGAUCUGAUGUGUAAACAAUUGUCAUGUCAAAAUUAGGAUUCACUUCGUCUGUAUAUAUUUUGAUUUAAACAAAAAAAGAAAAAAAGAGUUAGGGCUGCCGUCAACAGUAGGAAAAUCGUUGGCGGUCCAAGUUUGUGUUUUGUUAUUAUUAAUUAGGGUUUUAGUUGGGUAGAAGAACCAUGUAUCCAGUUAGUUAAUAAUACUAAUAUAACUCGUUUGAUUCCUUGCCAAGUAAUCAAAAAAAACAAAUUAAAAAUAUGGACAUUGACCCGAAAAACAGGUGGUGCUGGCGCAGGUUAGAAUUAGGUUAGCAUUGUAGAUCAGAAUUGGUCAACUUAAUUGGUGACUAGGAACAAUGAGCAUGAAUUACAUUCAUAAACAAAGUGAUUAACUAGGUUGAGCUGUACCUCAAUUUGCGGGUCAUUAUAUCCAUCUCUGGCUGCAAGCGGGUCAAUAAUCAUUAUUUAUUCUAACACACCCAAAUUAUGCAUCUUUUCUUAAUCCUGACGAAUUAAGUAAAAAUUGUUUGCUAAUUCCUAUGCUUUUGGGUUGAUAUUAGAUAUUUUGAAAAAAUAGAUUUUAAUAAUAGUCUAAAUAAUUCAAUUUUUAUAAAAUUUUACUAUUAUAAUUAAUUUUUAAAAAAUUAUUAAUUUAAGCAUAUGAUUUAACUAAUAGAGUAUAAUUUCAUCUCGAUUGAAUUAUUUAUCAAAAUAAUUAGUGGGUUAUAAUAUAUAUACACAUUGUUUAAUUUCAAAUUCUUAUAUAUAUAUUUAUAGUUAUCAAAAUAAUUGUAGUUGGAUAGAUAAUAAAUAAUUAUUAAAAAGCAAAAGUGCAAAGCGGGAGUCUCUUUCAAUUAGACAUCAACCUCGCGUUUAAUACAAUAAAAAGAUUUUGUUAUAUAUUACAUACUCUAGAAAAGUAAUUGAGUUUAACGAGUUUUGACUGCUACUCUUUCACUUCAUUAUUUUUCUGCAAUCCCUCUGUUAUUCAAAGCUUGUCGGCUUUUUCUUGUUUUUCUUAAAGGAAAACAAAGAAGUGCUGAAAUCUGUAGAAGCAACACAGCUACAUGAUACUUCACCAAAAUAAUACCGACACAUAUAGUUUUUCUUUUUUUUUAAAAAGUCAUUUAUUGAAAAAUUAAAUAAAGUAUCAUAAAGGGUUUAUCACUGAUGAGAAGGAUUCUUGGCUGCUCUAAAUUUUGUAAACAGAAAGAGGCGGCUGGGAUUAGGGGAGAAAAAAAGAACACGCGUUCAAAAAUAUUAUUAAUGUUGGAAUUUUGAAUCCUCUGCAUUGAGGUUUCUAUCCGAAAUGACUCAGUUUUAGAGUAACAAUGGUAACGACAAAAGUGAUAGUCCGAGUCUGAAUUAUAGUUCUAAACUAAUUACCACUUUACGUGAACUCCCAAACACUGACAAGCAACAUUUAAUGUAAACAAAACCAUAUCACAUUGUCAUUGCAAAUUGCCACUAUUGUCCAAAACUGAGUAAAAGAAGACAACCCAAAUCUGUCAACCUAUCUUUGCUUGAUAGGAAGAAAUGCCUUAAAAAGGACCGGAUAUUCCAACUCUUUCAAUCAUUAUAGUAAAUUAUUUUCUUUUUUAUUUUAAUUAGUAAAUGUGUUUUUUUUUUUUUCUAUUAAUUCAUAUUUUACUGUGCUAAUGAUAUUUUAAUACAUAAAAAGAUUCAAAAUGUUUAAUAGGAACUAAGAUAUACAGCAUUCAAAUUUAAAUUUUCUAUUAAUUCUAUUAUUUGAAUAUGGAAUUUGUCUAUACUUGUUAGUUAAAAUUAUGCAGAAUCUUUUCUUUUAACUUAGAUUGCAGUUAAAUUUCUAAUUAUCUUAUAAUUAAAUUUCUCAAUUCAUAUAAUUAAAAAAUAUAUAUAUCUUGGAGGUUUGGGUUUUGGGAGUCAGAAAUAGAAGCUUGAGGGAGGGGUAUAAGGAAAACAAGUGUCCCCACGUGCAUUUAAAGGAGUUAGAAAGCUUAGCGAAACUUAGUCUACUCACGUGCCUUUGAAUUCUGGCUGUGAAAUAAUUGAUACAGAAAUGCAGCACAAGUGGCAGCAGCAGCGCCUGCAAAUUCUCCUGCAAGGUAUUUACAACCAACUUUUAUAUAAUUGUCAUAUUCAUCCAUCCUUUACCCAUGAUUUCGGGGUCUUGAUUUAGACUGCCUUUAUUGUAAUUUUUGUCACUAUCUUUUUAUAUGGCUGUAGUAUUUCACAUUUGAGCCGUAGCUUUUAAUUGCAGCAUAUUUAGAAACCCUUCUCCUUCAUUUAUAAUUUGAAUUUUGCAUAUUAUGAUCUCAUAACAGGAUUCAUUUGUAAUUUAUUCUCUCCAAGAACAUUGCUUGCCGCAGAACCCAACCCCAUAACACAACUCUUUCACUUCAUUAUUUCAGGUUUGGCAAACAAAUGCAUGCCAUUCCCUUUCAAGUGCCAUUGGAGGACUUCUGAAAGGGAUGCCUCACUAGGAAAAGACUGCCAUAUUCGUCAGAGAUGGAUCAUGUGCCUCACAAAUCAGGACACCCGAUGAAUCAGUGUCCUUUUUAACUCCUUCCUUUAACAUCAAAGCCUCAUAACUUUUCCGACACGUGUCCAUUCCAUGCCCAACUAAAUUCCAAACUGUUAGGGGACAUUGUUAAAGCCUACUUCUCCACUUUCUUCUUUUUUCUUUCUCCUUAUAUUAUGGUUUAGAAGGCGAAUUAAUCCUACACCCAGAGUACACACUCCAACUGUCACUCGAAUACUAAAAGGAAAAAUGAAUUACGAAACAUAUUUGGAUGUUACUGAGUGAUACAACAGAAUAUUAUUGGAAUUUAGAUAUAAGUUUUGUAGAAUGUUGAUUUAUUUUGUUGGAGCAGAAAAUGUACAUUGGGUUCCAAUUUCCAAGUAGCUGACAAUUAGAAGAAAUGUGUGGUGCGGUUGGAAGGUGGAAUUGUUAGAAUAGACACAAUAAUGUGAAAAUUACAACACUGGGAUAUAGAAUCCAAUAAAAAUCUUGGAUUUUAUAGUGACAAAAAAAAUAUGUGGCCAAUCUAUAAAAGUAGAAAGGACCAAUCCAUUUCAAUCAUUACCAUUCCUCAACUGACUUUAGAUACAAUGAAACAAUGCAAAGCUCACUGAACCAUCACAACAUUCACAUUUCUAUCCCUGUUUCUUACCAUUGAAAUUCAUGAAAUUUAUAUAAUUAAAUUAAAUUAUAACAAAAUAACUAGAAUUUUCAGAUAAAUUCUAGAUUAAUAAUUCAAUAUAUUUUAAUUUUCUUAUUUUAUUUUUAAUUUUUCUCUCAAAUAAAUCAAACAUAACGGAAUACUUAAUUAGAAAAAAAAAAAAAAGAAAUUCAUGGACGCAUUUUAAUUAUAAUGUCAUUACUACUUCACCCGUGCUGUCAGAUGAAAUUAUUAGAUAGGAUCUGGUCUUGCUAUGAAUUAAUAUCAACUAGUCCAAGGUCAUAUAUCACAGAGGAUCCCAAUUUUCUUGGCAAUUUUUUUUUGUCUAGUUUAAAUAAAUGUCCCGUCAAAUCAAUUAAAUUGAUUGUAAUUAAUAUAUAUUUAUUAAUUUUAAAUAAUUAUAUAAAAAUUAUCAAUUUUCUUUUAUUAUGAAAAACUAUUAUCUUGAUGAAAUUGUACAGUCCAAGCGUGCUGUACCCCAUUUGGUUUUGGAUAAGUAUUCAGCACAUGCUUGUGACCAUACCAUUAAACAAUUUCUUGAUUCACUUAUGGUUGGCCUUAAAUUUUAAUUUUUGAGCGGAUCAAUUAAAAUUAUUUAAAAUAUAUUUUAAAAUUUUGACAUGCUCAUAUAUUCACACAUGGCGCCUCUGAGAAAUCGAGUCACCAGCUAAUACACCAUCUGUAGCACUGAGAAAUCAAAACUUAUACAAAUUAGUGUGAGCUCUGUUGACUUGGUUCAUCUAUAAUUAUUCAUAAAAGUGGGAGUCGUCAUGGAUUUAAGAUUCGGACUCUGCUUUACAAACAUUUUCAAAACAAAAUAACAUAAUAAAGGAGAAAGGCACUCAAACUGAAAAUUAAUGAAUGUAUGGAUUAAUUGGAAUUUGAAAGUUAAUUUGGAAUUGGAUAACAAAGAAUGAUCAUUUGGCAGUUUAAGCAAGUACCAUUUUAUUUCGUGUAAGAAUGGGCCAUGCUAAAACUUUAAAGUUUGCUUUCAGGUUUCUUUUCAAUUGUUUGGGCUUUGCACAUUACACCAGCCCAUAACGCCAGACAGUGGACAGUAAUUCUGUUCUUUUUGUGGCAAGUGCUGAUUGCUGAACCAAUUUCAUAACCCAUUUGAUUCUGAGAUACCAAGGGAUUGAAGACAUGGAGAGCAGUGUGCAGAGGAGGUUGGAUUAUAUUUCUCGUCAUCUUUUACUGCUACCUGAAGUUGAUACUCUUGCUUUGUACCCGGUAUAAUAUCUCACUGUUCCUUUGUCUUUUUCAACAAUUUAAUUUACAGUUGAGUAGUGACACUUGUGAACUGUUUUCUUAUUAUUGACUAAGGUUUUAGUAAAAGGUGAGGAAAUUAAACAUAAUGAGGAGGCAGACCCAGUUGUUAUAGGAGGGAUGGUGUUGGAUAUUCAUGCCACUCCUUCAAUCCCUCCCUAUCCUAGAACCACUACUCCUGGCAAGGUAUAUAUAUAUAUUUGGGUUUUCUUCUAUAUUCUGUUAAACCUUGUAAUCCUCAAUGAAUGUGCUUGGUUGUGGAAAGAAAGAAUCAAAACCCAUUAGAUAUAUGUUCUUAGUUGAAUUUUGUUCUUAGAAUGAUCAAUGAUGUGAUAGUGUUCUAUAUAUAUAACUACUAGCGGUGCUUCCUUUGCUUUAUUAUAAGCUUGAAUAUAUGUGCUGUGAUCAAUGCUUCAGACAUUGUAUCAUGGCCUCAGGGUUGAUUUGGCUUGAAUGUAUCUAAGUGCAAUUUGUGUUUGCAUCAAAAUCGGUAAAUGUCAUAAAUAGUUUAUGAAAGAUAUCUUUCUUUCUUUGUUUAGUCUUUUUUUAGUACUUAGAUAAAGGAACUAACUGUAUUCAGGUCCAAUAUGCACUUGGGGGUGUAGCAAGGAAUAUUGCUGAAUGCAUGUCGAAACUUGGAACUAAGCCUUACAUGAUUAGUGCUCUGGGCAAUGACAUGGCUGGUAAUUUAGUUUUUCUUUCUACUUUUUUUCCCUUCCAUCUUCUAAGUUGGGAACUCUUUUACAGCAUUGCUUUCUACUCUUUACCUUUGUUGGUGGCACAUCAGAUAAUUACAAGGACAAUCCAUGUAAUUAAGCAGAAAAUCAGAUGAACUUUACUACACUUAUUUGAAAUAGAUUGUCUGCAGAAAUCCAUUCUGGUUACCAGGUGAAUAUAUUUGGUAAAUGGCAAUGAACCAGAUAUAAGGAAAUCAAUAAGGAUCUAAAAGCAUAUUAGGUUUACAAAGCGGUUAAUGCAGCUUCUGGAAUUUAGAUUUUCUUUUUCUUGCUUGUGAUAGGGAACUUGCUUUUGGAGCACUGGAAUUCUGCUGGGUUAUCCACAGAAGGUAACUCUCGUGUUUUCAACUAAAUUCAUCAAUGGUGACUAUAGCUUGUUAUAUAUUUGGUUUCUAUUUUGUGCUCCUAUGUAUGUAUCCUAGCCCUGUAUAUUAUAUGUUAAUGUCUCAAUUGGCUUGGCAUUUUAUAGUAAGAGCCUCAUUUAUGUUAUGAUGUUUGGCAUGAAUAGCCAGCUGGUAUGCACCUGUUUUUCCUGUGAUUUGAGUCCCAGCAGAUAUAGGAUUUAUUUAAUUUUAGAUCAUUGUUAUUCCUUGAGUAUCUUUGUUAGAAAGAUUGCUGGUGAAUGUGGUACACUGAGGAAUAUUCAGUCUGCCUCAAAAUCAUUUAGAGUUAAACGAAAGAGAGAAUAUUAUGUGCGAGUUAGGAAAUUGUAGGUGAUGAAUCAUCUCAAAAUGAUAUUUAAAACUUGGAACUAUUUUGCCCUCUCCACUGUUAUUUGGAGAGUUUUUCGCUUGGGAGAAUAUUUUGAGACUUUUAACAUAUAGCAACUUCCAGAUGGAGGGGAGUGGGAGGGUCAUCUUGGUGAAUAGACAAUUUGCCAUUCAGUACAGAAACAGUGAGUUUCUUACUUAUCUUUUUCUUAUAUUUUUUUAUUUAAAAAAAUAAAUUAAUUCAGUUGUCAUUGUAGCUCUAAUAAGUGUUGUCAUCUCCAGGUUAUAACUGAUUCAGUGAGGAAUAAUUAUGUGCUUGUAGGCUUUUUCUUUUCUUCACUGUACAGGAAAUUAGAAAGCUCCCAAGUUGAUAGUUUUGCUAUUUUAUGGUUUUAAAUGAGAGAAAAAGCCUCCCUAUUCUUAUUGACAGGGAUUAAAAUUAUCAAUUAUUUGGGAAAAAUAGCAUAUGGAGAGGAAGUUUGGUCCAAUUACAUGAAAAGUAUUUAGUCUUUUCAUUCUUUUUGCUUUUUACACCUUUUGGCAAGGCAUUCAAAAACAUCAAAAGAUCAGAACUGCUGUCAUAUCCAACAUAUUUGAUGCCCAUGGCGAGGUGGCUGCUGGUGUUGCUGAUGUGGAAGCAGUUGUAAGUUUAUUUGAAUGGUUUUAGUCAAUUUACUUUUUAUUUCACUGCUGACCUGCAUAGGCCUCGAGGUUCAAGAGUUUCAGGAUGUUGAUUUUUACAUGCUGACCUUGUCCCAGGAAAAGUUCCUGACACCUGAGUGGAUUCUGCAAUGUAAAUGCAAAAUUUCUUCUGCUUCAGUCUUGCUGGUUGAUGCAAAUCUGACUCCUCCUGCUUUAGAAGCUUCGUGUCAAGGUACUUUUAACAUGUAAAUGAAGCCUCUCUCUCUCUCUUCAUUUGUGCACGUAUAUCUUGUAUGAUGGAUUAUGAACUUGAUGCUGUUCGUAAUCCCUUCCUUCACCCUCCUUUCUUUUUUUGUUUUUGUUUUAAUUGGUCAAUUAACUUCUGUGUUUUACUCAGUGGCAGCAGAAUAUAACAUCCCAGUUUGGUUUGAGCCCGUUUCAGUAGCAAAAUCCACGAGAAUUGCCUCAAUUGUCAGUGAUGUGAGUGCUUUGGUUUCUUCUUUUUUUGUUUUUUGUUCUUUUUCAAUUUUUAUUUUUUGUACAUAUCAGGUGAUUUUGACGAGUAUGUUUGUGGAAUACCAUUAUACAUCCAUUAUUUGUAUCCAUUGGUCAUAAAUCUUGCUCAGCUUCCAUUUCUGUGGCAAGUUUUCUGUUUAACUUCCAACAGAAGUUGUAGGAUUUGAACCUUUUAUUUUGAGUAUGGCCAAUUAAAUAAAUUUUUGGCAUUGCAAAAUCAUAUUAACUUACACAUUUCUGCUGGUCAGCUUCUAAAUUAUUACACAGUGGUUUAAGCUCACUUGAUUUGCAUUUGAUCCUACACAUGUCAUUCGAAUCAGAAGUUAACUUGGUUUUAAGCUCCAAACUGGAAUUUAGUGCCUGUACUUACAAUCAAUAGUUAGAGAUUACUUCUUUGAAUUAGGAACAAUGCCUUGGUUUAACUAUUAUUAUACAACAGUUUAACGGUAGAAAUUUCUACAGGUAACUUUUGCCUCACCCAAUGAAGAUGAGCUUAUUGCCAUGGCAAAUGCUUUGUCUUGUGCAAGUAUAUUUCAUCCUAUUGACAGGGAUAGCAGCAAAAAGUAUUCAACAGAGUCUUUAUUCCAAAUGUUAAAACCUGCCAUCUUGGUUUUGCUAGAGAAGGGUAUCAAGACAGUUGCUGUGACUCUUGGUGCUAAUGGAGUGUUCUUAUGUUCUACUGAGCCAAACUUCACAAGGACUAGGUUGGAGAGAACCAAAAAGUACGGAUAUAAUGGAUCGCUAUAUGAUAUUAUAGAAUCAAGCUGUCCUUCAAGUAAAUUCUCUGAUGCAUUGCAGACUCAGGGAAGCUCUCAUUUAUUAGCUGUACAUUUUCCUACCCUUCCUGCGUCAGUUGUAAGGCUUACAGGGGCUGGUGACUGCUUGGUUGGUGGGACACUUGCUUCUCUUUGUUCAGGCUUAGAUAUUAUGCAGAGUAUGGCUGUUGGUAUUGUAGUUGCCAAAACUGCUGUUGAGACAGAGGGUAAUGUGCCUUCAGCAUUUAGUUUGGCCUCUAUCUCAGGUAUGCAUAUAAGCAGUGUUUUCACCUUUUGAAUUUAUCACAAAUUAUCAUAAGCCGAUAACCAAAAUCCAUUUAAUCUACAUAGCCAUAUAAAAGGUUAUCCAGAUAAUAAAUUAUGAAUAAUAUUCUGCCCUAUUUUUUCAGGUGUCCAUUUGUCUUACAGAUAUUAUCUUUAUCAACCUAGAGUCCUUUGUGGUUUUCUGGAGAAUAGCAGCAACUUACUUUCAACAAGACUGAUUUUAGAGCAUUAUGUGUUUUUGUAUUAUGCAGAUGAUGCAAGGCUGGUAUACUCUGCUGCCAGAGUGCUAUUCCAUCAAUCAAUGCUAUAAUUUAUUCAUCAUGUAAGUGAUGCUGAAAAUACAAGUUGAAAUGUUGACCUGGUCAUGAUCUGGGAAAUCAAGUGGGAUUGGGAGACUCUCGAGAUCCAAGUCAAAGUUCUCUUUACACCAAUGAUUUCUGGUUUCAAGGUGAAAGGUCUGCUCCAUCUCCUUCAAGAAUUAAUAAGAACUGGUGCUUGAUUGCUGUAACAUGGUUCAGUUUAUAGGUUUUUGAUUCUAGUAGUUCUCUUUUUGGUACUCUACCAAGAAUUCACGGACCAAUUUCCUUGGAGGCUCAACUCUGACCUGAGCGGAUAAAUACAGUGUUCUGUCUCACUUCUCAUGAGAGCAGGGAGUGAAGAUUUUCUUGUACAGUGGCAUUGAUGCCAUGCCUCACAGUCUUGCAACUGAUCAGAAAUGUACUCACUGAGAGGCUGAAAUUCUGAGGGGGUGUGGGAAAUUGCGUUUGGCAAACACUUUUUUCGAGAGAAGAUUUUAUUUUUGAUUUUUUGAGUUUUAAACUGCAUUUACAAAAGAAUAUAACAAAAUAAAUAAAUCAAUGCUCUACUCAAAAGUAAAUUUAACAAAAACAGCUUAUAAAAAUUUAAAAAUUAAUAAAUUAUUAAAUGAAAUUUUUUCUAAACCUGCUUCUUUUUAUAACGCCGAAUAGUUGCUCCGCGGCCGGACCUCUAUCACGCCUCAAAUAUGCGAGGGAAACUUUUCAUGGCGGCUGUUGCUAUUGACUUUUUUAUUCCCCCUCCACUUGGAAACAUAUUAGUAAGAGAUGGAGUAGAAAACUGUCCAUCAGGAACUUUGUUCUCUUUCGUGAUAUUAGGUAAGAGGAAAAAGAACAGUUUGUUCUCUUUCUAAUUCUUGACAAAAAGAAUAAAAGAAAAAGGAAUUUCCACAAGAGAAACGAGAUGUCCUUUGUUCCUUUGGGAAACGACAUGUUUUAUUUGAAAAAACAACUUACCUGAUCCUUUUGAAAAGGCAUCAUGUCGCGCAUUUUAAAAUGGCUGCAUGCUAAUACCUCUGCUGCAGUGUCUCGAAACUAGAAAAAUUGAAUCAUAUAUAUAAUAUGCCUGUAAAUGAAUUCCCUCAAAGAUGGUUUCAGAGUUCAAGUCCACUCCAUAAAAUCAGGUUGUAUAUUACCCGUCUUCACCUCCAAUAAACUCAUUCACUUAUACUCCAAACAUGGUCUCGCACGAGAAGCACGAAAUCUGUUCGAUGAAAUGCCGGAGAAAAACGUUUUCUCUUGGAAUGCUAUAAUCUCCGCGCACAUUAGAACCCAUAAUUUAACACAAGCAAAGGCUAUAUUUGACUCUGCUUCUGUUAGAGAUUUGGUUACCUAUAAUUUAAUGUUAUCGGGUUAUGUAAGGGUUGAUGGGUGUGAAUCAUAUGCCCUUGAUUUGUUUAAAGAAAUGCCACGUAACCGUUCUAAGGUUGGAAUCGAUGAGUUUAGUCUUACAACAAUGGUUAAAUUGUUCGCUAAGCUAUCUAUGUUGUGUCACGGAAGGCAGGUACAUUCAUAUAUGGUUAAAACAGCUAAUGAUAAAAGUGGGUUUGCUGUUAGUUCUUUGAUUGACAUGUAUUCAAAAUGUGGGUGUUUUAAAGCCGCUCUUGAGGUUUUUAAAGGAUGUGAAAGAGUUGUAGAUUUGGUUUCGAAGAAUGCUAUGGUGGCAGCUUGUUGUAGAGAAGGUGAAAUGGAUUUAGCUUUGAAGCUGUUUUGGAGAGAGAAUGAGUUGAAUGAUACAGUUUCUUGGAAUACUUUGAUUUCAGGUUAUGUUCAAAACGGAUACGCGGUAGAAUCAUUCAAAUCAUUUGUUCGCAUGAUGGAUAAUGGUGUUAUGUGGAACGAACAUACUUUUGCUAGCCUUUUGAGUGCCUGUUCUGGUUUAAGGAACUUGAAGCUUGGAAAGGAAAUCCAUGCUUGUGUAUUAAAAAAUGGGAUGGAUUCAAAUCCUUAUAUAGAAAGUGGAAUUAUUGAUGUUUAUUGCAAGUGUGGGAAUGUGAAAUAUGCCGAAUCGAUAUAUUUAGGUAGUAGGAUUGGAAGUCCAUUUUCAACAAGUUCUAUGAUUGUGGGGUAUUCCUUACAAGGGAAUAUGGCGGAAGCUCGUAGGCUUUUUGAUUCUUUGGAAGAGAAAAAUGCUAUUGUUUGGACGGCUUUGUUUACUGGGUAUGUCAAGUUACAGCACUGUGAAGCUAUUUUUGAACUUUUCAGUGAGUUUAGGUCCAAGGAAGCAAUGGUUCCUGACAGUUUGAUUCUUAUCAGUGUGCUUGGAGCCUGUGCAUUGGAAGCUGCACUUAGUCCAGGAAAGCAAAUUCAUGGUUAUGUAUUUAGAAUGGGGAUUACAAUGGAUAAAAAAAUGAGCACUGCUAUGGUCGAUAUGUAUUCAAAAAGUGGGAGUACAGCAUAUGCAGAAAAAGUUUUCCAAAAUGUUAAUGAAAGAGAUUCUAUCCUUUACAAUGUAAUGAUGGCUGGUUAUGCUCAUAACGGACAUGAGAUUGAAGCUAUCCAGUUGUUUCAGGAAAUGCUGGAGAAAGGAGUCAGACCAAAUGUAGUUACUUUUGUUGCGCUUCUAUCUGCUUGCCGUCACUGUGGACUGGUAGAUUUAGGUGAAAAAUUCUUUUAUUCCAUGACUGAAGAAUAUAAUAUACUGCCUGAAAUUGAUCAUUACACAUGUAUGAUUGAUCUUUACGGACGGGCUAAUCAACUAGAAAAAGCAGUAUCACUAAUGAACAGAAUCCCCAUAGAACAACAGGAUGCUGUAAUCCUGGGGGCAUUCUUAAAUGGCUGUAGGCUAAAUAGGAACGCAGUAUUAGCAAAAGAAGCAGAGGAGAAACUGUUAAAGAUGGUGGGAGAUAAUGGCGCACGUUAUGUGCAGCUGGCUAAUGUUUAUGCAGCAGAAGGGGAUUGGGUUGAGAUGGGAAGAAUAAGGAAGCAGAUGAGAGAAAAGGAGGCCAAGAAGUUUGCUGGUUGCAGUUGGGUAUACCUUGAUAACAGAGUUCAUAUAUUUACCUCUGGUGACAGAACUCACAAGAAAGUAAGCUCUAUAUAUUUGAUGUUAGCUUGCUUGACUGCAGAACUAUAUCAAGUUUCUGGGGACACACUGCUGAGAAAGGCAGCAUUGUUCUGACUGUUAAACAUCCCAAAAGCAUAUUGUAGAGGAUGGAUUUCAUCAAUUAUGUUCAGGAGGUAGGUGGAAAUUUUAUACAAGUCCAUUAUGACAAUGCCGACGGAUUUGUUAUCCCAUUCUUUACCUGCUGUUUCUUGGCGUAUCUAUUCUGUUAAUUUAUGGACUGCAAAUUCAUGAACACAAGCAUAAGCGUUUGUUUUUCUUUUCCAAAAAAAAAAAACAAAAAAAACAAAGGCUAAAAAAUGUUAUAACUAACACUUGUAACUGUUCCGGUUGUUGAUCAAUGAAUCUUUUUAACUUUUGGCAAAAAAGGAAAAAGAAAAAAAAAAGAACUUUAUUUUGAUAUUUCUAAAUACUUGAAUAUUUUAAAUAUUUUAUUAAACAGUAAUUAUAAUUCUCGUUAUAUUAGUCAAGAAGAAAAACAUUAAUUGAUGAGAAAUUUCAAUUUUUAAGAAUGAAUAAAUAAAAGAUUAUUUAAUUGACAAUUAAAAUAUAUAGAAUAAUUUAUCUCUGAUUAGUUCAAAUUCAUUCCUAAAAAAAAAGAUUAAAUAUUAAACUUGUUUACAUGAUAAUACUAAUGCUAAUAUCUGAAAUGUUUUACCCAAACCCACACAUGAAACACUGAAACUUACUCAAUCCUCUCUACUCAAAUACGCUUUUCAGUUUUCUCAAAAACAAAAAUAAAAAAAACGCUUUGCAUUUAUUUUUAUUCUACUGUCUUCCUCUUCUCUCUGUAAAAUUCGAUUCCCAACAUUUUUGAAUGGAGGUCAGUGUCACAGUAUCUCUCUCUCUCUGAUUUUUCAUUUUCUUUGUCUUUUGGAAAAAAAAAAUUCUGAUUCUUGUUCGCAUGAUAAUUUUUCUUUUUGGACGUUGGAUAUUAUUUCAAGAUUUUUUUCUCUCCUGUUAUAAUUUGGAGUUUUGAAUUGAGAUAUUUGUAUCUGUGUUUGGAGGUUGGAUUGCAACUGCUGCUUUCUCCGCUCAAUACCAACAUUGUUGUCCGUACUGCUUGGUAUUAUUUGUAAUCUGUGCCCUAAUCUUUCUCUUUUUAUUUAACUAUUGUGUUUGGAUAUGCAUAUUGGUGCUCCAGUUCAAUUCUUUUUCAACUGUUAUUUUUAAUAAAUAAACAAAUAACAGUUCGAAAGAAAUAAAAUCAUGCAAAAGAGUUGACAUGACUGUACUAGAAUUCAAUUCGUGUUUGAUGUUUGUAAGCUUUUAGGAGACGUGGGACUUGUUGAAACUGUUCUAUAAUUUGAGAAAAACAUGAUGAGUCAGUAUCUGGUUAUGGAUGCACUGCUGAUGAAAAAGCUUAUAUAUGCAGCUGCACCGCGGGGGUUGUUUUACCUGUGUACUCGACUUUCAAGGCUAUCGAGAACAGAGAUUUGAUUGACCAACAAAAAUGGCUUCUCUAUUGGGCUGGUUAGUUAGCAUUUCUCUUGCUUGUCUGCUUAAAUAUCCUAUUACAAUUAAUACAGUUUCUCGUUGUUACUAUGUUAUUGACUUUCAACAUUUCGGGGCAUGAGCCUUUUUCGCCCUUCCAUUUUACCUAGAAAGAUAUAUAGAUUUGAGCUAUGUUUUUACAAUUAGUUGUGUGAGAUUGGAAAGCUGCAAAACUGUUUUAGAUUGGCUUUUAUGAAUACAUGUGCAUUUAUUGUUAGGAGGACAAGAUGGAGGGCGGGGAGUUUUGCAUGCCUUGUAUCAUUCCAUGCUUCUCUAUAGCUUCAUAGGCUUUCAGUUGCAUAAUGUUAAUUCACUCGUGCCCCUUUCUUCAUACGAGUGUGCAUCUGCAUGUGUUUUGGCAUUGAGUAAAUCUUCUUGAUUGAUCAUCGUAUUGGAACCUCAUUAACCAUAUUUUCGGCAAAUAAAUGAUACUUAUGUUUUUCUUACAAUUCUCAAUUUUCUUUGCACUGACUAGCUGAGUGUUUAUGUUAUCUGCAGCUUAUGGAACCUUCAGUGUUGCAGAAGUGUUUGCAGAUAAAGUACUGUCCUGGUAUGGUAUAUGCCCUUUCUUUUUCAUUCUUUUAGGAGAUAAAGGUUUCCACUGACUUUGAAAUCACACUUUGGGAUAACUAGCUCAUGUCCUUUAAUCUGUAAACAAUUAAUCUGGCGAUUAGGCAUAAGUUAAAAUAAUAGCUUGUUUUCUAUUUUUUCACUGUUCGUAUGUUAUCAUCUGUUAAAAUGCCAAGUUAUACUUCCUAUAUCUAACUUUUUUUCUGAUUUCUAUGUUAUUUGAUUACUAUUUACUAGAUUAGUAUGGGAUGUCUUAAGUGCCAUUUCCUUAUUAUCUUCCAUCUGAUUAUGCGUGAUGGCAUGAUAAUUGCGUCGAAUUUGCUGGAAAAGCCAAAAGAUAAAUACAUCCAUAAGAAACAAAACCUUUUUAAUCAUCGGUAGCAGAGAAUAAAAUUCAAUGGUAGUGCUAAGAAAUAGAGGUUCUGAUUUGCUAAUUGGUCGUCUUUGAUGAAAUAUUCAAGCCUACAGUAGGCUUGUAAGGUUGCUGAUUGUUUACUUGCAUGUCCAUCGAGUUACUGAUUAUUGACUGGCAUGUGGACUGAGUGUUGUUAAUCUAUUACUGUCAAUAGUACUCUUUCCUCUUUCUGAUGAAACAUUUCUUUUACUUUUUUCUUUAACGAAACAUCAUAGUUUAAGGAAGCUUCUUUGUUUUGCUUUAUCAGGUUUCCUCUUUACUAUCAUGUGAAGUUUGCCUUUCUUGUUUGGUUACAGCUUCCGUCAGUCAAUGUAAGCUUCUAUGUUAUGAAUUUGCUUUUCCCCUGUUAUUAAUCCUUGUGUUUUGCAUUUCAAUUAUUGAGGGUUGGCAGAAUUUGCAUCCUGCAUGAAAUUGACAUGUUUACUGAGUAUACCAGUAGAAUAUCUGUAUUAAAAACUUAAUCAAACAGGAUCCUGUUGACCAUUAGUCUUGGAUGGUAUUACCAUCUGCAAAAAGAAGUAGGAAAAAAAUUAAAAUUAAGCUAGCUGAGCUACCCACUGGAUAACAGGGAGCCAGGCAGUUGUACAUGAGCCAUCUACGGCCAUUUCUAUUGAGGCAUCAAGCUAGAUUGGAUCAAGUUACAGGGCUUGUAUAUCGUGAAAUGGUAAGAACUUGACUUGACGCAAAUGUAAUUACUUCACCCAUCAGAUUUGCAUUUGAGAUUGUAUGAUAGAACUAAUGAAUAUGCAGGAUAAGUUUGUGAUUACACAUCAAGCAGAAUUCAAGUUUGUAAAGGCACUUUUCCUGAAAGUUCUAGCAUCAGGUAUGGAUUUGGGGAAAUCCGUUUCCCCACAUAAAUGCCUUUAAUUUAUUAAAAACUUAAUUUCAGAUCUGUACUGCGUUCGUAAAUGAAUUUGAAACAUCAUGGUAGCUCAAUUCACAUAUAUUAAGAACUGAUAUGGUUUCCUGCAACCUGUUAUAAUUUUUUUAUUCUGUAUUUCUGGUCAGUGCACCAUAUGGUUCAGCAUCCUGCUGAUCAAGGGCGAAGACCAGCAAAUAAUUCUGUUGAAGGCUCGCCAGUUAUACGGGACUCAGAAUAGCAUUGUGGAGAUUAGGUCAUUCUUCAUGAUCAGUAACUAGCUUAGUGUCUACAUAUUUCAUUGAUUAUUAAUCCUAUCUUAGACGUGCUUAAAAAAAGGAAGAAGAAGAAGAUGUUGAGCUCUUAGUUGCUUGAGGGAUAAGCAGAUGAGAAGCUUCAGGCUUCAGCUGUAACCAUUUACCUGUGUAAAGUUAGAAAGAGAAGCUAGAAUUAUGAUCUGGAAUUGCAAAAUUAUGAGGAUUAAGUGGACUUGUAUAGCUCUUCAAGCAUAUUGCGGUCUCAUGGAGAUGGAAUGGUAAUAUAGAAGUUGAGGGAUUUAUUUGCAAUUAUCUAUAGUUGAAGUUACAAGUUGUUGGAAAUUUAUAAGAGCUUGAAGUGGUAAAAAAAAAACAAGGGUAGUUGAUUUAUUUUAAGUUAAUUGUUAAUGCGUAUAACAAAAGAAUAGGCGAAAAUGUAUUAUAACUUUAUCUUGCAAUUAAAUCAGAAGAAUAAUAAUUUUGAACUAUUUGAUGACUGUCUGUCAUCACAUUCUUAACCAAUAUCUAAUGGUAAAUGUUACUUUUACAAUAUAUAACUUGUGGGGAUAUGUUGACUUUAUUUAAUUCCUUUAUUGAGCUUCUUUCUUUCCUUUUAGUAUUAGGUGAACUAAAUUUUUUUAUUUUACUGGAAACUGGCCUUGUUUUAUCAAUUAGUAGUUCUAAUUCAAUUAUCUUUUUGUCUGUGCUUUGAACGGUUGGGAUUAUUAUAAAUUUAAUAUCUAAAUGAAAUGUAUAAUUGACUAUAUGCCAUAAAAGAUUAGAAUUUUUUUUGUUAAUUUAUUAUUAAUUAUACUGAAAGACACUAAUAUUAAAAAUAAAGACACUAAUAUUAGUUAAAAAAACUUUUAGGUGAAAUCAUUUAACUGUUUGUUUGCAUGUCCUUAACAAUCAGGAACCACCGAAAGAGAAAACAGUGUUAGGACCAAGUCAAUAAUUAAGUAAGGACCAGAUGCCUUAUUAUUUAUUUUUUUGGGAAGGGAUCAGUAGAUGCCUAAUUAAUUAAUUAAAUAAAAAGCCACCAUUUAAUCUCCAAUGCUGCUUCUUCCUAUUUACAAAACUGAAGCAGCCAACUUGAGAGUCAACACAGGAAUAUAUACAUUGUUAUGUAUCAGUAUCCCAAGAAAACAUGAGUUUCUUUAUCUGUAAUUGAUAAAGAAAGAAAGAAAUCAAAAUACAAUAUUUGGGCUAAAGAAGAAAGAUGAUUGGACGCAGAGAAGGAGCUUUAAUGAGAAACAGCAACAGCUCGCAGUCACUUCGCAAAUCAAGAAUCGCAAUUGCCAUUGCAAUUGGAAUAUUACUUGGAUGUGUUUUCGCUUUCUUUUUCCCUAACGGUAUUUUCACUUCCCAUCCUCACUUUAAUUCUCGCCAUCUCUCCAACUCUAUUAACCAGGUAAAUCCCAUUUCUUUCAUUCUUUUCCUAUUAGGUUUUGUUUCUUUGGUUGAAUUGUAAUGACCCAGAAUUUUAAUUUCCAUCGUCUUUUAAAUUGUGAUUUGUGUUUUGUGUUGUGAGUUCAUCAUUAUUAUUAGUAGCAGUAGUAGUAGUAAUGUGAUCUGUGGAGAUUUGUUUAUAACUUUGCUAAUUGUGUCUUCAAUCCAUUCAUUUUAGUUACUCCAUCGUUUUCAGCAUCAGAUAUAAUAAUUUUAAUAGUAUGCAAGAAUUCAGUCUUUUUGGCUAACUUUUUCAUUUCUGAAAAGUAUGUAAAUUUUUCAAAAUAAAUUCUAUCAACACAUUCUAGUAUUGUUUGGACUAAUUCCUUUGCAAAAUUGAAUCCUUGGGUAUUAUGUCACUUGUUGUAUGAUUUUAUUUCUUCCAAAAUAUCUUCUUCUAAGUCAAAAGAAUUUAACUCUAGCUUUAUGAUCUUUCCAAACAAAGAAUUGACUAAAUAGAAUUUAAUUCAAUUAAAUUCUUGCAUAUUUAGAUUUUCAAAAUACUAUGAUAGGUUGCUUUGGAAGAAACGAAACCAUUUUCGUCAUAAAGAUAUACUGUAGAAUUAUUUCAAAUUGAAGUUUUUAAUCAAAAUUAAUUGAAUUCUAGCAUCAUUUCAAACAUGUGGAUUUAUGUUUUAUGGUUAUUUGCUAUUAGGUUGUAUCGACAUCAUCAUGUGAAUCAUCUGAGAAGCUAAACGUGUUGAGAAAAGAGUUUGCAGCAGCAUCAGAGAAAAAUGCUGAACUAAAGAAACAGGUUAAGGAGCUCACUGAAAAGCUUAGAUUUGCUGAAAGGGGUAAAGGUCAAGCACAAGAGCAAGUAGCUGUGUUGGGUGACCAGCAUAAAGCUGGACCUUUUGGGACUGUUAAGGGUUUGAGAACAAACCCAACAGUUGUCCAAGAUGUAUCAGUAAACCCGAGAUUAGCACAAAUAUUAGAGGAAGUUGCGGUUCAGAGAGAAAUUAUAGUUGCUUUAGCUAAUUCAAAUGUGAAGGAAAUGUUGGAGAUUUGGUUUAAUAGCAUCAAGAAAGUUGGUAUACCCAAUUAUUUGGUUGUUGCAUUGGAUGAUGAGAUUGCUGAUUUUUGCGAAUCAAAUGAUGUUCCAGUGUAUAAGAGAGACCCAGAUGAGGGAAUCGAUUCCAUAGGAAAGACUGGUGGCAACCAUGCUGUUUCAGGAUUGAAAUUUCAUAUCUUGAGGGAGUUCUUGCAGCUGGGAUAUAGUGUUCUUCUCUCAGAUGUUGAUAUCGUGUAUUUGCAAAACCCUUUUGAUUACCUUUAUCGGGAUUCAGAUGUGGAGUCUAUGACUGAUGGGCACAACAAUUUAACAGCCUAUGGUUAUGAUGAUGUCUUUGAUGAGCCUGCUAUGGGUUGGGCUCGAUAUGCUCAUACGAUGAGGAUAUGGGUCUUCAACUCCGGCUUUUUCUAUAUUAGGCCAACAAUUCCUUCGAUCGAGCUGUUGGAUCGUGUAGCCAAUCGGCUUGCUCAUGAGAAGGUUUGGGAUCAGGCUGUUUUCAACGAGGAACUCUUUUACCCUUCGCAUCCUGGGUAUGAUGGACUUUAUGCUUCUAGGAGAACUAUGGAUUUCUAUCUCUUCAUGAACAGCAAAGUCCUCUUCAAGACUGUGAGGAAAGAUGCUAACUUGAGCAAGCUUAAGCCUGUAAUCAUUCAUGUAAAUUACCAUCCUGAUAAACUUCCAAGAAUGAAAGCAAUUGUAGAGUUGUAUAUUAAUGGCAAGCAAGAUGCGCUGAAACCUUUCCCUGAUGGAUCAGACUGGUAAAUUUGUUCUUGCUUAUUUGAUGAUGGCCUCCAGUUUUCCUGCUUAAUUGCUUCAAACAUGACAUGGACCUGUAGUGAAUGAUCCAAAAAAUAUGAUAAGACCAAAGGGAAUUGACGCAUUGUGAGACAAAUUUGAGUUAUGUCACGAAACGACCUCUAUCAAAUUCUGAUGUCAAAAAUUUUGCUUUUCUCUAAAGACAGAUUUUAUGUAUUAUUUCAGUUUGUAUUUUAGUAUUAUUUACUAGUCAUAUUUGCAAUUCGAUGUUUUUAACAGAAGCCUUUCUUUGUUUUCUGGUGCAAAGACAAUGGUGCUUUCUGGUAAUGGCAUUACAGAGGAUUACUAAUUGUUGUAAUGGCAUUACAGAGGAUUACUAAUUGUUGUAAUGGCAAUACUAAGGGAGAACAUUCUUUAUGGCAUGUAAAGAAAUGCAAGCACAACUUGAAGUAGCAUCCUAUGUUAGCCCUUGCUGAACAUGAAUGAAAGUUUGGUUUAUGGUCUUGAACCUUACAUUGAAAGAACUGGUAUAACUAAAUAAACAAGACCAUAUUGCAAUUUACAGGCCAUUUAUACUUUGAAGAGUGAUGUUUACUGGUUCAGACUCUUGUUGCCAUUUGUUUCUAUAAAACAAAGCGGAAAGAAAAAUGGUCUCAACUCUCGAUCAGAGUACCCGAUCAGAUAUGCGUGCAACAGCUCACGUUAUCAAUCAUACAGUGCUCAGACCUGAUCCCCAACCAAGACCUAUUAAAUAAGUUUUGGACUCCUCAGAAAAGAAAAGAGCGAUGAAGGAAGCAAAGCUAAGACCGAAAGACAGACUAACAAGUACCAAGAAACAACAAUCGGCUCAUCAAAAGUAUCAUAGAUCUCUAAAGAAGAGGAUUGAAGAAUCUAAUUUUGAAAGGGACUACUCAAAUUAACUUUAGCAGCGGCUGUUAUUUGAAUAUAAAUCUGUAAACGUCAUAAUUUAAGUUGGAGCAAUUACAACCGUUCUUUUGUAUGUAAUCAGACUUGGCCAUCAGUUCACAGCAAAUAAGCAAACUUAAGGAAACAGCACGCGCCCUUUUCCGGGACUAUUUUGAAUAUAUUUGCAGAUCCGUAGAUGGGUUGUGAUGUAAUGAAGGUUUCCAUUUUUAGUGCAAAUGGCAUUAGCAAAUAAGCUAGUCAUAGCUUCACAUCUUUAUGCUAUCCUGAAAGCUUCUGGACAGAAGCUCCAGUGCUUCAGUGCUAUAUCUAAUUGUCUAAACAUAACGCCAGUGUAACCAUGUAAGCUCAAAACAGAUGUCACAAGACAGUGCUCCAAAAUUAUUAAGAUUAGCAUAAAAUUGCAUUGCUUUACACCAUUAAAUUGAAGUAGUUUGAUUGACUAAAACUUCAAGCAUGUAGGUAAGGAAGUCUAAAGCCUAAGGCCUCAUAAAUAUUAAAUUAAAAAAAAAAUCCUAAUCUGCAGAAAAUGUUCUGUUUCUUGCUUCUGUUAAUGAAUCUUCUAUAUACUUGGCCUCAGUGUUGAUCUUAAUUGCUUGCUUCAGAAUUUAGCAGGAGUUGACGUCUAUCUUCAAAAUGCAGUAAUAAAAUCUCUAUAGUAACCUGGUCAGCGGUUAUAAUAUUGUUUUCCACUUAAAUUGAUUGUUCACUGCUUUCGCUCUCAGUAUCAACUUCAGGUUCUAUGGGUUUAAGAUCGCUCACUGCAUCUGGCCCAUGUAUCGCUUCAAUCUCUGCCUGUUUCAUCAACAAAUCAGAUUCUUGUAGUAGUAGCUUUCUUUUCCGUUGUAUAUUAAGCAGGUGAAAUAAAGAACCAAAUAAGCUUUCAGACUACGUCAUUGUGGGUUCUUGAGAUCCACACAGUAAUUCUCACGAUGAUAAGAAAAAUCUGGCUGCUCUUAUCCCUCAGUUUUAAGAAUAAAGAAAAGUUUCCACCCAAUUUAUUUGAACUCUCUAGAGUUUGAAAUGAACUCGGUGAUAAAAGAAUAUUUAGAAAAAAUAAAUCAAAUAUUCAACUUAGAGAGAAAUGAGGACAGUGCCGCUUAUCGGUGUUUCGUAUUUCAUGUUCAAUAUCCUGGGAUUUCAAGAAUUAGUCUACUUAUGUUAAUGAAGAGAAAGAUAACACCCUAGUCCCAGAGUAACUGUAAUUAAAUGGAAUACUAAGUUUACCUCAUAGGUUAAGAUAUGCGAGGUAAAAGAAUAAUUGAACAUCCAAACUAAAAAUUUGAAAUGCAAUGAUCAUUUGGACCAAAAAGAAAACAAGUAUAUGGUCAGAGAGGGGUUUAGACAGUGCACCUUUAUGGUUUUAUUUUCCUUCUCAAGUCUGAGACACUUGUCAGCAAGUCUCCGUAUUUUUUUUGUGAGCCUAGUACUCUUAGAUUUCAGCACUGCCAAUUCUGCUUUCAGUUCUUCAUAUUCUUCCUGAACGGAAAAGCAAUGUACAGUCAGAUAUUACAAAAUAGAUAUAAGUAAAAUUAAAUAAGGAUUUUUUACAUGAGAUACCACCAUUCAAGCAUGUAGUCGAAAUUUUUGAUCUAGAAGAGAAAGUAAUUCUCAAAAAUUUCUUCAAAAAACAUGUAAAUAUAUUAGAACAGAGGUAGAGACUUUUAUAUUCUUGCCAUCCUUCCAAAAGGGUUCUACUGUAAACAUCAUAUAAAGAGUUGCAUUAAUAGUACCAGUUGUACAAAGAAAACAGUUUCACUCGAGCUAAAGUUAGAAUGUACAAUCAGUUUCCCAUGAUUUCCUGCUUUUAACUGCAGGUCAUUUCUUGGAUUGCAUUCCGUUCCAAGGAGUCAGAAGACUUCACUGUUGCCAAUCCUUUCAAACGAUUAACAUAACUUAAAACACAAUAAUUUGCCAAUUCAACAGAAAGAAAUUUUAUUCCCUUAAUUUUCUGAUCCGUCAUUACAAUUGUUUUUUAUAGAUAAAAAAAAAAAAAAAGAUCUCGUGAAUAGGAAGAAUAAUAAGUAGGAGAGAGGCAAGCAGUUUUUGCUAGGAACAUGAAAAAACGCUACUUAUCAUUUAAUCCCAAAUGUAUAAGUUUGUCAGAAACUUGGAAAAAGAUGAGCAGAAAUGAAAAUACCAUGUUGUGUUUGUCCAACUGUUAAGUAAAGAAAUAUUCAAUAAUCACAUACAACAGAUUGGGAUAUAAAAUAAUGAAAGUUUAAGCGAGACUGAAUAGAAGUAAUUGCCCAUAUGAAUGCAUGUAUCCAUACAAAACGAAAUAUAUGUACCUGUUCAUGUAAACUUGAUUCAUUGACCGAUUCUUUAUCAAACUGUUUCCUCCUCCCCCUUUCAGGUUCACGCUCUUCCUGUCAGAACAACAUAUAGAGGUCAGCUAAGGACCUGAAUUCAAUGUGGAGUGGCAUAUGUAUUAUAUUAAUAUAUCGUCAGUCAGCUGCAUGUCAAAUUUUUAAACAAUGACAACUUCUGAUCACAAAAAUACAGACAUGGACAAUGUGGCACUUUUUGCUGAUCUCCUAUGGAAAUAUCUAAGCAAAUUAAGAGAAUGCUCACUUAAGUUUACCAACCCGAGAUAGAAGGUUUUUCUGAGGCAAGCAUGGUCAUUGAUAUAAUUUUUGUUUCUUUUGUAAAGGAACCAUAAGAACAAUUAAUAUUACAAUAAAUUUCAACAAAACUUGAAUAUGGAAAUAUGAUUAGUUAACUUUUUGGAUUUUAGUUUGAGCUAAAACGGCUUCCAUUCACAUCAAAUCUUCUACCAGAGGAACAUGACGGGGUAGAAAGUCUAGAUCUUUGCAGGUAACUUCAAACUAGAUAAAUCUUUGAUAGUAAUGGAUAACAUAGAGAAAAUACAGUAAUUGUAAAGUGUAGUUUCCAUGCCAAGUCCAUCUUUCAAGGCUAACUGCCCACACAACCAUCGACUAGAAAUGAUGCACCAAAUGCGCAAAGAUCUCACCUUCAUGAAUGCUGUUGCAACAUCAGAUGCAUUUUGCUUUAUCUCCAAAUUGAGAGUUGUUUCAGGCACUUCAAAUAAAGUAUGUGGUGCUUUAAUAUCUAGAUUUGUACUAUGCUGCUGGAUGGUGAUAUUGUUUUUUGUAGCGGCACCUGCGUGGUUUUAGAAGUAAAGUAAGCAAGUGUAUGCGAUGAAAACAAAACCUUUUUAACUUCAAAACAUACCAUCUGCGUUGAUCUGAGAGAAUCUUUGUCUCUUAAUUGUAUAGAAUUCCUGAACAAAAAAUCUCGAACAAUAUUAGCAAUAUUUUCAAAUUUCAACACCUUUUCCUAAUGUCUAGUUGCUUUAUAAAAAUAAAUAGCAAUUCCUCCUGUCGCUCAAGAUACUGAUUUUGUGGUCAACACAACCAGCCAAAACCAGUACCAAUAACAGGCCUUUGAGUAAUGAUGAAGCAGUUCAUAACCUUGGACUUUCAUAUUUUAAACGACAUUAAAUUAAUUACAGUUACAUACUUGGGCAGUGUCGUCCAGAGAACCCUUAGUUCCAAAUGCAGCACUAUGCACAUACAGAAAAAAAAGAAAAAAAAGAAAAGGGGAAUGAUCAAAAUAAAGCCUAAAAAGUUAUCAAGUAGUAAUCAAGUAGUACAAAAUACAAUAAUGAUCGAGAAAUAUAAAUAUGUCAAGUACCUUUUUGAAGCACCCUGAGCAAAACUUCCUUUACCUAAAAUUAUCUUCCCACUUCUGCUCGACUCAUUUGCUGGAAACCCCAUUUUGUCUGAAUUAUUGAUGCAAUUUCUCAAUUUAUUCAAGUCCUUGUCCUUGGAAAGCUUAGCUUCUUUUUUUUGAAUUGUCAAUUUGGUAUCCUGUCAACAUAUACAUGGAAAAUUGAGACCGUAUACGACUAUUAACUUGUAUUUAGACUGACAUUAGCUGCACACGAUUUUGUAUAAAUAAAAAGGGGGUCCAACUGUCACUAAUGAAUACUAGUAAUGAAUGAUUAAGAAAAUCUGUAGAAAUCAUGGCCUCCAUAAGGGGUAGGUGAUGCCACCCAACCAUAACUAGGUACUUGCGAGGCGCCUUUCAUAGUUGUGGAAUUGAGAUUCCCUCCCUGUUUUCCAAAAUUUAUUUGUCCUUAUUCUAAAAACUUAUAAGUUAAUAUUUGAUUUCAAUUCAACUUAUCUAGUUAGUUUACAACAAUGAGCAUAUUGUGUAUUUCCAUUUUGUGAUUAAAUGAUAAUACCGAACAAGGAAUUCAAUCUAAGAAGCUUGAAUCUUAUGAAAAUAGAUAGAAGUCAUGAUAUCUUGGAAAAUUAUUUUAACAACAAAUGAGGGGUAUGAUUAAACUCGAAAAAAGAAGAAGAAUCAAACGGAUAAAAUUAUCUACCAGAUAAAUAUUCUUCUUAGUAACAUGAAAAUAAUAAAAUUCAAGAAAUAGGGAGCAUUUGCAUAUAACAGAGAGAAAGAGAGACCUGACUAAAAAAGUUGAGCUGGAAGACUUAUCAGGAGUCCUGAAUUCCCAAGAAUUCAUCUUUUUUAUCUCAAGGUUCAGCUUAGCNNNNNNNNNNNNNNNNNNNNNNNNNNNNNNNNNNNNNNNNNNNNNNNNNNCCCCCCCCCCCCCCCCCCCCGAAAAAGAAACAAUUUGAUUUUCAACUUCUUUGAUUUAUAAUUUCUGAAACACAAAAAAAAAAAGAUCAAUAAAUGAAAAAACCUAUAUAUCAAAACCAGCUUCACAAUUAAUUGACUUAACAAUAAUUUCGAAAUGCUACUAGCAUAAAUACACAAGUCAAAAAGUAUCCACUAAAAAGAACUUAUUAACCAAUAGAGUUUUCGUUCUUAUUUCACCCUUAAAAACAAAGCUUUCUUCCAUAAAUUCAAACUCACCAAAUUCACAUAGCAUAGCGUUCUCUAAUUAAGAAUUGAUCAAAUCUCGAAUUUCACUAUCUACACCGUACAUCAUUAAGGUCCUUAAUCAGAAACAGUUAAAACAGCAACAAUAACAGAAACUUUAAGGCUAUCUGUACCCUCUUCAAAGUUAUUUGAGAGGACAUAAAAUUUAAAAUAAGACAGCAACCUUGCACAAACGAAGAGAGGAAAAAAAUAAAUAGAGAAAAGAAAACACAUAAACACAAAAGUUAUUUCUAUCAUUAAAUUGAAAAAUGAUUUGCAAGAACAACGUUAUAAUGUUACGAAUCGCAUAAAUCAAUAAGAGAGAAAGAGAGAGAGAGAGAGACCUGAGGAAGAGCGCGCGAAAGGAAGUUCCGUGAGAAUACAAAAAGCGGAAUUUUGAACCUAUAUAGUGUUAUCUACUGACGGUUCUGAUUAUCCAGUGACUAAAUCUACGGUUCACAAACUAUUAUUCACGUUACUCCUAUUUUAUUCAGGAUAAGAUGGUCAAGAAAUUAAUUGUUUAUUGAGAUCCUUUCUGAAAAUUAAUAAUAGAAGUAGUUUUAUAUUUAUCGGGCUCAAUUGUUCGUAUAAGCUUAAAUUGAGAGGAUUCGAAAUUAUAAUUUAAAUAUUAUAAAAUAUGUAUUUAUUAUCAAAUUAAAUUUGUAAACUUAUAGUUGUAAAAUUUAAGAUAUUUUUAUUAUUUAAGUUUUUAUUAUUGCACUAAAAAUAUAAUAUGUGUGUAUUAAAUCAAAAAAAAAUUAAAUUUGAAUAAGAUAAUUCAUUCAUUAUUUAUAUAGCUCCAUCACUGGAUAUAAUAUUAAAAUUUAUUUAGAAUGUUACGAUGAUAAUUCUAAUUGUUAUGAAAUAUACAGUUAUAUAAGUAUUUCUAGCAUAUUUUAUAUUUUUGUAGUUAUAAUAUAUAUUUAUCUUACCAUGGGAUUAUCGUUUAGAAUGUCAAUAUAAUGUUUAACAUCUUUAUUAAUUGACAAAAAAUGUUUUCAGGGAAGGAAUAUAUGCAAUAAAUACAUUUCAAAUUAUAAUUUUCAAAGUCAUAAGUUUGUUGCAUAUAUGUCAUUUUUUUUUUUUGUAAUAAAAAAAUACAGUACUCUUGUAUGUUUUAAAUUUUUUCUUUUUUUUUUUUGUCGAAAAAAAAAUGAUAAAUUCUAAACAUUAUAUAUUUAGAGUCAUGAACACAUUCAAAAUAAGAUUUGCGCUGGGCUCGGUUUAGCAUGAUAUUUUCAGAAAAGCCUGUAAUUAUAUAUUGUAAAUAAUUUUCAAUUUGAAAAUUAGACAUCCAUUAUAUAUUCUGAUAAUAAAUUCAAAUUAAUUAUUAACCUUGAUUUUUUUGUCAAAUAAUUAGAAUUAGAGAUUUGGAAAAUUUAGUUAUAAUUUUUUUAAAUAAAUAAUAUAUAUAUAUAUUUGAAUUCACACAAUUUCUUUUUUUAUUAUUGUCGUAGGAAUUCACGCAACGUUAGAAUUUUUUAUUGAUAAUUUCACUAGAUUUCAAUAAUACAUACUAGAUUUGAUAACAAGUGCAAAAUAUAUAAUUUUUUUUAACAAUUAAAUCUAUUAUAUUUUAAUACUCUCUAACUUUUUAUAAAAUCUAAAGAUAAAAGAAAAGUAAAAUAAUAGUUUUAUUUUUAUUUUAUUAUAUUAGUAUGUCGACAAACGUAUUUAUAAUAUACACAAUUUAUUUUUAGAUUAAUUAAGCACAUUUAGUUAUAAAUAUUCACAAAUAGAAAUGAGUCUACGUUGUUACGCUUAUAAUAAAUUUAAUUUAUAUACUGUGUAAAUAAAUAAUAAUAAUAGUAAUAAUAAUGAUAAAAAGUAUUAUUUCCAUUAACGAGUCUAGUUGUGACUCACGUCUCAAUGCUGACAUGGCAAGUUCCAAUUCGAUUUGAAAUAAUAAAAGAUAUUGACUCAAAGUAUCCAGAUUGGAAAAGAAUACUAUAUCAAUUUUCUAAGCAUACAAACAUGUGGGAAGAUCCCUGUUUUGUUGCAACUUGUACAUACGGCCAAAAGGCACACCAAAUAAUUUUAACAAAAUACUUUUAUUUAUUGCAAAAAUCAAGCCCAAAACUAUAUUACACGCAAAGACAAAACACAAAAUUUUCUAUAUACAAAGUAGUUUAAACUCUAAUUCAUGUUCUGAAUUUAUUUUAAGAAAACUAUAGCUAAUUGUUAGUAUUACAAUAUCAAUUGCUAUGAAAUUGAUUUUCUUGUGUAAAAGAUACUCAGGUUUUUGUAAUUAAUUAUAACUUUGAAAUAAAAUAACAUAUAUAACCAAAAUUCAAGCUGAAUGUUUAAUAUUAGGAUUUUCAGUAGACUUAAAUAGUUUUAUUUAUGAAAAUUAUGGAAGUCUCGAUUUCAAAUUUUAAAUUAUUAUUUAUUAAAAUUAAUAAUAGUUUUAUUAUUUUGUACUUUUAAGUAGUAAUGUAACAGACUAUCUAAGCUUCCAAAAGAUGGCAGAAUUAACUUGAAAUAUAUUAUACCUGAUAUCAAGUUCUAAUUAGUGAUUCAGUUGGAUUAUCUUCCUAAACAGUCACACUUUGUUUUUUUUUUUUUUUUUGGUAUUAACAAAAAUCGGAAAAGAAAGUCUGAAAGUGAAGGGAGGGAGGGAACACUGAAUAGUGAUUGUUAGUCCGAUUUUCCAAAAGCAAGUCAGUCAGUCAGUCAACAAUCUAUUAAUCCAAUCUUCUCUUUUACCUUUAUCAGUAAAUAUAAUAAUUAAAAAAAUAUGAUCUGUUCUGUUCUCAAUUCUUUAAUGAUUCUUCUCUUUCCUCAUUGGACUUCCGAGAAAGGACAGUAGUUUCUGUGCUCUUCCAGCUUUCAUUUUUUGUCAGUUGAAAGGACAGGGGAAUAGAAAAGAAACAAUGUGUGGGUUUCAGUCAUACCCCCACACUCUUCAUUCUCAGGAGCAGCUCCUCUAUUUGCUUUGAGAAAACACUUCCUUUUUUUUUUUUUUUUUUUGGAAAAAGGUGGCAUUUUUAUGGUGGCACCCCAUUCUCGGUUGCAAAUGGUUCUUGAAUAUUUUCUUUAACAAGGUUUGUGGGUGCCUUUGAUUUUCAGUUUUCCUUCAUGGAGGUUUGCUGUGGUUAUGUGAUUUUUGUUUAUUUUCUAGUUGUUCUUUUUAGGUUUAUGUUGUUUCCUGAUUUGUUUUGCUUUAUUUCUUUUCUUUCAAAAUGCCGUUUAAGUUCUUGGUGCUGUUUGUGUUGACUUUAUGCUGUAAUUGGCCAUGGGUGUUCCUUUUAGCUAGGGAAGUUUGUGUCUUUGAUUCUCAGUUCUAUAUAAUAGGUUCCCUUUGUGUCUAGCGUAUAGCUUUAAUUUCAUUCUGUUCUUUGUUGGGUUUGAAUUAUUUUCAACACCUGCAUCUCUUGAUUUUUUUUCCCAUGCAUCUCUUGAUCUGUCUUGCAUUUUUGUGACCAUUUUUAUUUAGUUAUUUGAUUGUUUUGUUGAGAACAGUAGUUUAUUGCCUUCUACUUGUUGGGUGUUUUAUUGCACCUGAUCUGCCUCCCUGAAAUUCUGAAGGGCCUUAACAGUGUAUUCUCUCCCUGACCUCAAAAUGCUCUUGUAGCUCUUAAGAAAGGGAACACUUCAAGAUUUCUUUUUGUGGGGUCUGGGACAUAAUUUGCUCGGUCAUCAAUAUUCUCAUCUUUGAGUCAUUGGUGAUUCCAGCAAUUAGGAUCGAGAAACAACAAUUUUGUCACACAGAAUGAAGUAACAUAAGCACUGGAGUUCCCAGCUCCCUUUUCCCUAGAUUCAUUUUUUCUCUCUAAGUUUAUACACUCGUCAAAACUAGAUUACCUAUUUAGGAGAUGCUAUAGGGCAUUCUUUUUUAAUUGAGAUUUAUAACAUUUAAAUCCUUUCCCUCUCUUACUGUGACAUUAUUUCAUGCUGCUCUAAUUUAUUUGUGAGUUGGCUUACUUGAUGAGUUUGCUCACUUAUGUGCAAAAGAAGCACAACUUGGAAAGGAUCCAUUAACAAUAAAGAAGUAAAUCUAAUAUAAGUAAAACAAAUGCAUUUGCAGAACAUAGUUGUGGCUUCAAUUGGUUAUGAAAUGAGGGAGAGUUGACUGAAAUUGAAAUAGAUGGUAGUGCGCAACCAAGCUCUACUGAUAUGGUAAGAAAGAGGGCAAAUAAUGCAAUUUUGAUAAUAUUGCUAGUAGAAUGGGAGGGGAAAAUAUUGUGUUUAAAGUAGUAGUAGGGAUAAUGGGGCCAACUAGGUCAUUCUUGUGGACCAUAAGGGCGGGUUAGAUUUUUUAUCUGGAUAUGUUAAUCUUUUGAUAGAUGAUUAUUUAUAUAAAAACUUCCAAAAAAGUUGUGCUAAAGAUGCUUGGUAUCUUGCACUUAAGAGAUAGAAAUGGUCAAAAGAAGUAAAGCUUCAGCAAUUCACUACUGCCGUACAUGGAAGCACUGUGUGCCACCCACAGUUUGUAAUGACUUGGCAAUUUGAAUUCUAUGCAUUUUGUCCUUAGCUUGAGGCAGUCAUAAGGUCUGGUUGAUAUGGCGUCCAACAAAUCACUACCUGGCAUUAUAGUGAAAAUUGCUUUGCAAUAUGACAGAAAUAAGACAUGUACAUCUGGUCAGAUUUAACUGUUUUAGGAUCCUAAUAAAAUGACCCCACCAGACAAGAUAAAGAUUGUUUCCCUACCAAUGUACAAUUUUAAAGUGGAAAGAUGCUAUCCAAUCCAAUCAAUCACAUGCAUACAGUCCCAUUUCGCCUCUUGAUUUCAAAUUAGUACACCUCAUACUACCUUGCAAAAUCCAAAUUUUAGCCUUCAGGGAGUUACCUAGUUCAUUUUUCUAAGGAGGAAAAAAAUGUCAGCAGUAGCAUGUCUCAGGUGGUAAACGAGUGGAUAUGAGUGAAGCAUGACUUAGAUUUAAAUUUGGCAUUGUAAAAGAUGUUAUUUCUUGAUCUUUUUAUGAAAACUUCUAGUUACUGUCCACACAGGUUACUCAGGGAAUAAUCUACACUACGGGGAGUUUAUUCAUAAGGACUAACUUGGUAGAUUAUUAUCUUGUGUCUGAUGUUAGUAGGAGAAGUUUUCUGAUCAGGCAGACCUGCCUUUUUCAAUGUGAUUCGUGUGCCAGUGUUCAAGCUACAAUCCAGGUUCUAUCAACUAAUUAGAGGAAAACUGUAUGCUUUGGUUAGAAACUGUGCUGAUACAUAAUCUUUACAUUUAAUUUAAUGUUAACGUUUGAAGCAUUUGUGAAUCACCUCUUUACUGAUGUAAGUAUCAUGUAGUCAGUGAUGAGUGUCAGUGUGCUGUUACAGAUCUAUGAGUUGUGCACUUAUACCAUAUUUAUGCCAUUUGGCUAUGUGAAAACAUUGGAAUGCUGAGAUGUUUUAUCUUCUAUUUGCAUUGAGAAAUUGUUUUUCCAUUAAUGGGUGUGUUCAAAGAGUAAAUGGCAGUGAACAGAAAUGACAAGGAUGUCCAAAAUGAACUACAUAUUUUAUAUAUAGAAUCAUAUUUGUAAUUGUACUGUUUUAGGAUUCUUAACAAGGUAUGAAUUGGUUGAUAUUGUGUUUUGUAUAUUUGCAGGUCAGAACUAGGUAGACUUACUUCUGCUUUCCCCCUUAAAACAUGAAAAGUGGACCAAAACAUGGGUGGCAUUCUGUUAUGCCUCUUCGUUUCAGGGGCAAAUCAGCCACUAGCUUUUGCAUUUUCCCAAAAGUUAAGUCACAAGGCUAUAACCCAGGCAACUCACCUGUCUAUCUGAAUGUGUACGAUUUAACAACCAUUAAUGGUUAUGUCUACUGGGCAGGCUUUGGAAUCUUUCAUUCUGGGGUGGAAGGUUAGAUUUAUUAUACAUUGCUCUUGAUCAUGAAUAGAACUUUUCGUUAUGGCAGACUGUUACAAACUGUAAUCUUCUAGGAUCAUUGAUCAUCUUAUGUUCUGCAUUGUCGUCAAAUCUCAAUUGAAACUCAUCCCUCUUGAAUAUGUAAAUGCGCAAUCUGCCAUUGUUGCUAUUUCUGUAAAUCAUGAUCUCAGGAUGAUGCAAGUGCUUUCCUGAUUGUCUGUGGAUGCUUACAGUUCAUGGAGUAGAAUAUGCCUUUGGAGCCCAUGACUAUCCAUCAACUGGUGUCUUUGAGGUUGAACCUCGACAGUGUCCUGGUUUCAAGUUUAGGAAAUCAAUAUUCAUGGGGACUACAUGCUUAGAUCCAUUCCAGAUUAGAGAGUUCAUGGAACGACAAUCUGCAAAUUAUAAUGGUGAUACCUAUCAUUUGAUUGUUAAGAAUUGCAACCAUUUCUCUGAGGAUAUAUGCUACAAGCUGACUGGGAACUCAGUACCAAAGUGGGUAAAUCGACUUGCAAGAAUAGGUAUUUGACAGUACUUCCCUUAACAGUAUAUAGUUAUUUUGAGUAUAAAUUCUUUAGUUCAAUAUACUGUAUGCACAUGAGCUUCAACUACUUCACAUCUGAAUUAUCAAAAAAAUGUAAAAGAUUAUGGUCAAGUUUCGUAGAUUUUGCCUAUCCUUCUUCUUAUUCUACUCCUGAACAUUGACUGAAGAUAUGUUACUUCUUUCCCUUGAUGGCUUCAAAUAGAAGUUCUAUUAUACUCAUUGUAGGGCUACAUUUCCAUCUUUAUCUUCUCCAUUUGAAAGUUACUGUAUUGGUAACUGCACUAAUUUUAAACUCAUACCAUCUUCCUUUAGGUUAUCUAUGCAAUUGCAUACUUCCAGAGACCCUUAAGGCUACCACUGUAGGACAUGAUCCUAAUUUCCAAGAAUCUGAUAAUGAAAAGAAGAGACUAAGAAGUGGCUUCAGCUGCUGGUCAUCAAUCUCAAUGCCUCAGAGGGAAGUAUCUUUGUCUUCAUUGUUUCUACACUCUCACUAUAAAGGAUGCCUGCCACCAUGGGAGUUAAAGAGAUCUAUAAAACGCUCAUUGAAGGAAGGGUAAUAAGGCAUCAUUAAUGUGUCCUUUCACUUAAUUGGAAGAUUUUCAGUUGCCUGUCUUGCAAUUUUCAGCAGUUGGGAAACAUCAACAAUUUUCUAUCAUCUGCAAUCCUAUUGGAAAGUAAAAAUUUGUACAAGUUUCUUCUUCUGCAAUGUCAAGCACCAGGGGUUUCACACUUCUCAUUGUGCUUCCGCUAAGCUGCAUCGUUGGCAAUUGCUUGCUGUUAUUGUGGAAUUGAAUUCUGAUGUGCAUUCAUAUUUUCCGUAGCUGGAGGAGAACCAAUAUAGAUUAUUCUAUUUUUCUAUUCGAAGUGGCCUAAGCUUUUAACAUUGCUGUGCUCUGACUACAUUUUGUAGAAAUGCCAUUUCUUUGGCUCAAAAAAGUACCUUCUUUCUUGCCUUGAUUUGCAUUUAUAUUUGUUGCUUAUUCUUAAAAUCUACUCUCAGUAUCUUAGCAAAGCAAGCCAAUUCAGUUGCAUUAUGUAACAAUUGCUCAAGAAAAAUGAAAGAAAAAUAUACUGAUGUUUGGUCGAUCUUUGUGGCCUUUAUUCAGUCGUACAGUUUUGUUGUUUGAGCUUGAUAUAUUUCUUUUGUUGAUAACCAAAAGAAGAAAGUUAUUGAACUUCUUCAUACUUCAAAACGUAGGCCCCUAACAGAAAACAAGAAGAAAUCAAGAGGGUCAAAAAAACUUCGCCUUCAGAUAGAUCCUUUAAUCUUAAUUGAUAAAAAAAGCUGUUGAUUUUGUCACCAGUUACUUCUGAAGUAAAGAUGAAAAUCAUCAAGCAAUUUGAUCAAUUUGUGCCUCUUGGUUUUAGAACUGAUAGAUGAGAAAUGAAAAGAUAAAAGUUGCAAGUUCGGCCAAAAUUAACCAUGUAAUAGUUACCUUUAAAUGAUUACAACUCCAUGCACGCACAAACACGCAGAGAUUAUCAAAAUUAAACUAGCAGUUACAUGUACUUCUAUACUUUUUUUUUUUUGAGCAAUAACUACUUGCAAUUUCAUGAUCUCUAAACCCGCUCUUUAUUAUCUACAAAACGGCAACGUUUAAGAAAGAGCAGUAUUUUAGAGACAAAAUGCCAGCAAGAACAGCUAAGAAGAAUAAAGUCAACAGCCUCAAAGCUCAGGUGCCUAAUUUUUGAUUUUCCAUGUCUGUCUGUUCCUCCUACUUCUUGUCAUUUCCAAGUUGUUUGACUGAUAUUGAACUCAACAUCUUUUGUCCAUUCUUGCAGUUGCAACAAUUCUUUAUUAGUUUUACAGUUCGAAAGCUUAUAGAAACCCAGAAUUCUUGUCCAAGAUUCUGACUUUUAGAAAGCCCAUAUAUAAUACUUGAUAUGGGUAAGGGUGGUGGAUGUGUACCUAGCAAGAAAAAGUUUCCAGUGUCUGAUCAAGAUCCUCCACUACCAGAAAGAAGCCCUCCUAUUCUUGCUCAAAACCAAACCCAAAUCACCAAUACAGCAAUCCCUUCUCAAAAUAGCACCAGCCAAACACUUAGUAAGCUUAAAAUUUUUAUCAUAUUUUAUUCAAUGUAUGGCCAUGUGGAGUUAUUGGCAAGAAGAAUGAAAAAAGGUGUGGAUUCUAUUGAUGGAGUUGAAGGAGUUUUGUACAGAGUACCAGAGACAUUGCCAUGGGAGAUUUUGGAGCAAAUGAAGGUGCCCCCUAAAGGAAGUGAAGUCCCGUUUAUAUCAGUUAAUGAGUUGGUCAAUGCUGAUGGAUUCUUGUUUGGAUUCCCAACAAGGUUUGGAUCUAUGGCAGCUCAGAUGAAGGCAUUUUUUGACUCCACUGCUGAAUUGUGGCUGGAGCAGAAGCUAGCAGGAGUUCCUGCUGGGUUCUUUGUUAGUACUGGCACGCAGGGGGGCGGACAAGAGACCACAGUGUAAGUAUAGGAGUACUAAUUUCUUAUGUUGUUGGCCGUUUGCUAGAUAUAUUGGUUUUUAUAUUUUCUGUUGAUGAUUUCUUUUGGUUGAAUUGGAUGUAGAUAGUUACUUAACUGAGAUAUUUUCUUUUCUCGAUGAACCAAAUUAUUUGAUUUUGUUUAGGAUUUGAAAAGAUUACAUCCUCUCCAUGCCCUAUAUUGGAUUAUAAUGGGAGAAAAUAGAAAAUGUAAAUGAGUGUGGACAUUAUUGUCAAGUGAAAAAAAAAUGUGUGUGAGCAUUUGUUUAUAUUGAAGUAAAUGUUAAGAGAAAUGGCAUAUGUUCUAAAGAUUGGAAAGACACUUUAGCAUAUUAGACAUGAAUCUUUAUGUCUAACAAAAACAAAGUGGAUUAAUCUUUAAAAUUGCUACAAAUGACCUAUGGGUAUGUGAGAGUAGAAUGAAGUAAUAUAUUUAUGUUCUCCGGAUAAUAGAUUGGUAGAAGUAUUAUUUGCUUAGUGUCCCAAAGAAAAAGUUCAAUUCCCUGUGGGUAUUAUUAAGCAAAUAGAAAGUAUAUUCACUUUUUAAUUUCUAGAAGUGACGUAUAUCAUUUUGAAGUAGGAAGUAUAUGUUUUCACCAACUGCUUUGCAAAAAAAAUAUCAUUCUAGUAUCAGGUGCAAAUCUCACCUUUUUCGUAUGAGAAUUGAGCAGUUUUGAUGAUAGUGUCUGGGUUUUACGCCCUGAUUUGGUUUAUGAUUCCUGAUAAAAUUCUUAUUUGGUGAAUAGAUAAAUGUUAUGGCAUUAUUUAGCUUUUUUUUUUUUUUUGUUUUUCAAAGUUAUCAUUUUCUCAAAAUGAUUUCCAUCAACAACAAAGGGGAUCCUCAUCAUGGAAAAGUAGCCUUUGACUGACUGUUAGCUUCUUGCUAAGCAUAGUAGUGAUCAAAUGACAUGAAGAUGUGCCGUGAAACUUUUUACCAUUAGGAUUCCUUGAAUUUUAUCGGGUCAGGGCACAAGAAUGGAUGCCUAAGCUGCUUCUAUCUGAAAGCAUACUGAGAAGCCAAAUAAUGGUUUAUGCUGUGAUUUUUUGCUGGAUUAAUCAUGUCACUAGUAUUGCUUUCUAGCAUGCUGGUCCUUUUUUUUCCAUUGAAGAUAUUACUUUCAAACUAUAAUGCUAUUAUACUAUUUUAGUACCUAGGCCUGCUACUUAAUGGACCCGAAGAAAAUCGUUGCUUAUUGUUGUUUAUUUUCUUUUGGAGCAUCCAAGUAAGCUGUGUCGCCAUUUGCAUUCGCAUUUCUCUUACUUUUCUUUUUUUAUCUAGUAAUUUAGAGUAAUCUAAAGAUGAAUUUUAAUGCAACUGCAUACCCAAGGUUCGAGCUCGAGACUUUUUAGUUAAUCUAGAAAAAUUCUUACCAUCUCAUCUACACGCUCUUGAUAAUGUCUCUUACUUCAUUUGUCAGUCUUUUCCAUCUUUGCUUGUCAGGAAUUUUCGAAAAUUCUGAGUUUGAAAACCAUAACAUACUGAUAGAUAUCUAAUUUCACAUUUCUUGUUUAUACUGUUAAUACCAUUGAAAAAGUUGAAGGAAAAGUAAAUGAUGUCAGCUUAUUCGAGUGUAACUUCUUCCUUUCGCUCUACAGCAUUGACAAAUUGCAUUUGAUUGACUUAUUUUGUUUGUAUUGCAGCUGGACAGCAAUUACUCAGUUAGCUCACCAUGGGAUGCUCUAUGUUCCCGUUGGCUAUACCUUUGGAGCUGGAAUGUUUAGAAUGGAUUCCAUUAGGGGAGGGUCUCCUUAUGGUGCCGGAGUCUUUUGUGGAGAUGGCUCAAGACAGCCAACUGAGACAGAGUUGGCUCUUGCUGAGCAUCAGGGAAAAUACAUGGCCACAGUAGUCAAGAGAUUUGCUAAACCUUUAUCGCUUGUACUGGGUAACACCCAUACCUAAUGCUAAUAAAGCCAGCAUUAACUUGUAUAUGUACCAUGUCUCUGUGCUUUUUGUGCAUGUUUUCUCUUUUGUGUCAAUAGAGGCCACGUCUUAGUAUAGCUAACCGAGGAGCUUAUGAUUUUGUAGUUUAAUAUGUUUGUACUUAAAAUUUUUAUCACUUGUUGGCUUCUUGCUCCUUAUUGCUUCCCAAUUUGUAUAUGGUUUGAAACUGUCAUUUGUUGUAUCUGUUUCAUUUUCAUGUAAAUCAUUUGAUGUAAUGCCAUAUUGAUCAAUAAAUAAUGUGCGGUUCUGUUUUUCUUUUCCAAAAUAUUUCUUCUAUUUCCUGUACUUGAUGGAUUUCUUGCUUAACCAUACCCAAAUAUGCUUUUCUAUUUUAAAAUUUGCCGCAUUCCUAGGCCCUGUACAAGUAUGAUUAUAUAUGCAAAUGCAAACACAAUACAAGAAAACGAAUAUCUAAGAGCACUAAAUCUAUCCGAUGAUUGUCUGUAUCUCCUUUCACUAAAUCUGGAAGAUUACCAGUUACCCACUUUGCAGUUUCUGCAGUUAGGAGAUAUCAACAAUUUCCUGUCAUCUAUGAUCCUACUGGAAAGUAAAUUUACAAGUUUGUUCUUUUCGAAACAUCAGCAGCAGCAGGGGCUUCAUACUUCUCUUUUUGCUUGCAGUAAAUUUACCAUUCAUAAUUACGUAAUUGGAGAAGAACCGAUGCAGCUAUUUUGUUUCUGUUUGAAAUCCCCCAUUGGCGUGCACUGACUACACUAGAAAUGCCAUUUCUUUGGCUCUAAAAUCUCUUCCAUGUUGCGUUUAUUCAGUAUGUGUUUGCUUAUAUGAUUAUAGCAGAGAACAAUCAGCCAACACAAUUGCAUCCUGUAACAAUUGCUCGUGAAAAACGAAACUUAUUCAUACUCUGAAGAUAAAUAAUGACUUUACACUUGAAAUUCACUUGCAGUUGCAUAAGUUGAUCGACUUCUAUCUGAAACCUGCUGUUUACUAAUUUCGUAAACUAUCAACAGCGCUCUUUAUGGAUGCACGAUAUAGGAAGAUCGACAUUACAAGAAGAAUACUACUGUAUGGACAGAAUGCCAGCAUGCACAGCUAAGAAGAAAAGUGAAGUCAACAGCCUCAAGUACACAGGUUUAUGUUUGAUUCUUGAUAUCCAUUUCUAUGUAAUACUUCUUGGUUGGGCUAAUUAUUGCCAUUUACGUUGUUUAUGCUAGAGGAUGUCAGAAUUCAAUGCUGUUGCAAACAUUCUUCGGUUACUCUCACAGUUGAAACUUUUCUGCAGAAUACAGAGACCAAACUAUUCAUGCUCAAAAUUCCAUAAUUUAUUGAAGAGUCAUAGUAUAGAAGGUAAAAACUUUUUUUGAUUUUUCAUGUGGGAAAGAGCGGUGGUUGUGUACCUGGCAAGAAAAGGCUAGAUUUUAUACGGGUAAAGUCCUUUUUUUUCUUUUUCCAUAGUGGUGUAUUCCAGCUUGGCCAUAUUAAUCAUCCCGACCCUCCUGAAAUAGACUGGAAACCUCAAAAGGAGAUGNNNNNNNNNNNNNNNNNNNNNNNNNNNNNNNNNNNNNNNNNNNNNNNNNNNNNNNNNNNNNNNNNNNNNNNNNNNNNNNNNNNNNNNNNNNNNNNNNNNNNNNNNNNNNNNNNNNNNNNNNNNNNNNNNNNNNNNNNNNNNNNNNNNNNNNNNNNNNNNNNNNNNNNNNNNNNNNNNNNNNNNNNNNNNNNNNNNNNNNNNNNNNNNNNNNNNNNNNNNNNNNNNNNNNNNNNNNNNNNNNNNNNNNNNNNNNNNNNNNNNNNNNNNNNNNNNNNNNNNNNNNNNNNNNNNNNNNNNNNNNNNNNNNNNNNNNNNNNNUUCACUGCAAUCCUUCAUCCAGAUCUCCAAAAGAUGGACGUGUCCUCGUUAUAUAGACGAUUUUGCAAUCAAAUCAUCACACUCUCUAUACUUCAAUUCCCUAAAAUCUCGGGGCUUCAAUCUCGAGUUCAAGCUCGCUGACGAUCCUAAGAUCGCACUCCAGCGUUACGGCCAGUAUUACUACGAUGCUUUAAUUCUCUUUUGCCCAUACGCAGAACGUCAGUUUCUCAUUUAUCAUUUUUUUUUUCAAUUUUAUUAAUAUAGACAAUGGCAAUUACUUAUUACUUUAUUGUUGUGUUUCUUUUUCCUUUUACUUAGGGUUUGGUGGAUCGAUUGAUCAAGGUGCUAUUUUGAGUUUUGUUGAUUCUGGUCGUGAUCUGAUAAUUGCUGCUGAUAUUAAUGCUUCUGAUUUAAUUCGUGAUGUUGCCACCGAAACUGGCGUUGAUUUCGAUGAGGUUUGUUUUACCUCUCUUUUACUUUUAAUGUUAUUAAAUUUUAGGUCUAAUAAUUUUUUUUUUUUAUUUAGGAUCCUUUGGCAAUGGUUAUUGAUCACACUAGCUAUGCUGUUUUGGAGACGGAAGGAGAUCAUACAUUAAUUGCUAGUGAUGAUUUUAUUGACUCUGAUGUUAUAUUGGGCAGCAACAAAAUUGAAGUAAGUAAAUUAUUACUAGUCUAAAUAAUCUGCACGUUGCUAGAACCUUCUUGUUUAAGUAUUUCGAUUACAAUCAGUUUUUGUUAAUGUUCGUGUGCAAUUCAGAGUUAAUUGCAAUUUCAGUAGUUAGAGAGUUUUAUGAUGUGAUUUCUGAUUGAUUCUCUUAUGAACUUGUUACAGGCUCCCGUGCUUUUCCAGGGGAUUGGUCAUACAUUAAAUCCUUCCAAUAGCUUGGUAAGAUAUGCCUUCAUUUGUUCAGUUGUGGCAGCAUCUGUAACUUAAGCGAUGUUAUUUCAACUUCACGUUUUGAUCUAUAUAUCCCCAUUUUUUCAGGUGUUAAAAGUUCUCUCCGCUUCUCCUUCACCCUAUUCGGCUAAUCCAAAGACCAAGUUGUCGAGUCCUCCAUCACUUACUGGAUCUGCUAUCUCUUUAGUGUCAAUUGUGCAGGUAUAACUUCUUACUCUUCCCUUCUCCAUAAGUUGUAUUAGCAACUUGCACAGUAAGUUUAUGGUUUUUGUGUUGUAUACUUUGUUGAAGUAUCUCCCAACUACUGUUAAGAAUAUUUGAAUGUAUACGAGGUUUGAAAUAUUUUUGGUGUAAAUAAAUUGUGAUGAAACAACAGUUUUUCUUGCUUUGGUACCUUCACUAUGAUGAGCCUUUUUGUGUGUGCUGUUUUAAAGUAUGAAUGAGGCUAAAUGUUCUUUUAUUGCAGGCAAGAAAUAAUGCCCGAGUUCUGGUAGCUGGUUCAUUAAGCAUGUUCAGCAAUCGGUAUGUAGUCGUUGCUUUUUGUACUCCUUAAUUAGUGCUGAAUUUGCUGAAAAUUUGGGGUCAUUUCCAGAUUCCUUAGAAGUUGGGUACAGAAGGCAGGGAGCUCAACGAGGUGAGUGAAGCUCAUUUAUCUUUGUCAUUGUUUAAAUAUGUGACAGGUUGUUUUUUAAUCUAAAACUUAAUUUUACCCUCAAUAUAGAAAACAUGAAUUUCUUAACUAUCUUUUUAUGCUAUAAUUGCUCAAUCACACUUCUACUAUACGUCACUUGAAAUCUAAGGCUCUCUGGUCUAACAUCAGCCCAAGGAUGUUAUAGUACCCUUCCUUGUUUCCUUUUCAGUAUUUCUGCACCAACAUUUCUAGCAAUAUAGACUUGAAUAAGUAUAAUCAUUACCAUUGUUGAAUCUCUCGGAUACUACUGAUGCUUGUUCCACUCCAACAAAAGUCUGAAUUAGACAGUUUUUUUCUUUCCUAAUUUGUGUUCUUUUCUUUAACUAUGACAGACAUGAGAGAUCUGGUAAUGAGCAGUUUUUGACUGAGCUCAGCAAAUGGGUUUUCCAUGAAAGAGGCCAUCUUAAGGUAAGGCAUAGUUUUCAGCUCUUUUUUUUAUCAUUUCUUUAUAUUUUUUAAUAUCAUUAUGUCCAGAUGUUGUGUAAGAAGUAAGCAUUGCUGUUCACUAACUCAUUAGUUGUCAUCUGUACUGCUGAGCCUCAGGUACUACUGUUGGAUAUGUAUCCAUGUCUGAUGAUACAUUUGAUGCUUUCACAAUUUUUCCUUAGAUUUGGAGAAUCAUGCUCAUUCAGUUAUAUCUGAUACAUUGUUCAAUUGUCUCUGACCUUUGGGUAUUAGGGUAAAUUGAGGAGUCAGAGCAAAAAGCCUUGAUGUGUUGAAUGCUUACAUUUUGGGCAUCCAUGUGACACCAAUGUUGAGAUGUUUUAUGAUUUACAGGCUGAAAAUGUUAGAUACAAAAAAGUUGGGGAAGGAGAUGAACCAGCAAUGUACAGAAUCAAUGAUGAUUUGGUAAUAUCUUGUUUUUUUUUCCUCAUUGCACUUAAUUCUUGUUUUCUCAUAUAUUCUGACCGCAUGACGGGAAAAUGAUUAACUGGAAAGUGUUUUGACUUUGCGGUACAGGAAUACUCAGUGGAAAUUUAUGAGUGGUCAGGAACAAACUGGCAACCUUAUGUAGCAGAUGACGUUCAAUUACAGUUUUACAUGAUGAGCCCCUAUGUUUUGAAAAACUUAUCAACUGACAAGAAGGUACUUUACUUGAUUAUUGGACUCAUGAGUACGUGACUUUGCUAUGAUCUGUUAUUAAAGUCUUAAUUUAUUUGAUCUUGCAGGGUCUCUAUUAUACUGCUUUCAAGGUUCCAGAUGUCUAUGGGGUUUUCCAGUUCAAGAUAGACUAUCAAAGACUUGGAUACACAAGCUUAUCCUUGUCAAAGCAGGUAUAUGCUUGCUCAUUCAUCACGAAUAAUGUGUUCAACCUACCUUCUUUUUUUUAAUUUCAUUGCUAAUGUCAAUACAUGCCAGUUUUUGAUGAUGAUGAAUUUUUCAGCACAAAAGAAUCUAAUUGCAAUUUACCACUUCAUAGACUCUGUUGUGAAUUGUGUCGAAAUAAUCACUGAUUUUGAAGUAAAGCAUCAGUACAAUACUGGGAUUCAGAUCCUUGGAUUACUGAGAACAACAACUAAACUAAAGAGCCCCUCUGCUUUAUGUGGCCUUCUUAUAGUCUCUAUGCUGAUUAGUCNNNAAUUAAAUGAUUUUAACAAUAAUUAUGUUCAUUGUGAUGCAUCAGAUGGGUGUUAUGUUUUUUGUAAUAUAGCUGCUAAUGUUGAGAUUUUAUAAAAUGACUAGCAGAUUCCAGUCCGUCCCUAUAGGCACAAUGAGUAUGAAAGAUUCAUUCCUGCUGCUUAUCCUUACUAUGGUGCAGCAUUUUCUAUGGUAUGUUUCACUGCCUCUCAAUUCCUGAUCCAAAAAUUCAUGAGCUCUAUGGAAAGCCAUGGGUAUUUUGUAUACCAGUGGUUUGUUAGACUCCUUGAGAUCUUCUGUCAAUAUCUCGAAACUCAAAACUAAAAAUGCUAGAAUUAGUCUUUAGAAUUUCAGAUUUUGUUCGACUCAUAGUGGCCCUAGACCUGUUUUGACCUGAAAUUUUCAGGCUGGAAAUGGAGUAAUUUUUAUGCUUAUUAGUUUUGCAAAGCUUGAUAUCCAUUCAAAGCUUAUAUUAGAUUUGCUCAUUUGUGAAAUCAGCAACUGCAUCCAUGCAAAAGAUAUGACUAUUUCCUAGGGAAACAUUUUUGUUCAGAAUACUAUUUUUAGAUUUAUAAUUAUAUGUUGAAUCUAUCUCUUCAGUUAGCGAAAUUACUGGUUUCUUUAUUUCUUUUGAGUGUCAGCUUUAGCUUAGAAAACUAUUUCAGGUUUAUGAUUUUAUUUUUGUGGUAUUUUGAUGUGUUCUCCCAUUUCUGUGGUUCCUGGUGGGCAGAUGGCUGGUUUCUUCGUUUUCACUGUAGUCCACCUCUACAACAAGUAGCUGGAACAUUCUUGAUGGACCAGACGAACUUCUGCGGGCCCUCCCUCAAUCCUGCAUCCUCCUCAAACCCUUACUCUUCACCUCCAGCUUGAAGAAAUGGAUGUUACAGAAAAAAGAAGAAGAAAAGAAAUGGAAGAAGAGAAGGGAAGGACAUGAACAUUGUGAAUGUGAGGAAUUUUGAUUUAGCAAAGCCUUAUAGGAUGCUAAUGAUGACGCGCUGAUUUUUUUUCUUUCCCUGAACAAUGAAUGCAUUUAAUGGCCCUCUCGCUCUCCAAGGAAAAUUAUAAUAAUAUCUAAUUUCUGAGAUAUUGUUUGGUACGUAUUCAAGUCUCUUUUCAAAAUCAAAUUUGUCAUUUGCUUUUAUAAAAUCGACGGGAAAAUGUCAUUACGGCCAAUAAAGAAUUAAAUUAUUAAAUUGUCAAAAUUAAAAGAAAUAAUUAUAUUUUUAGUGUCUCCAAACUUAAAAGGGAGAAUUAAGUGUUGCAAUUUGUAUAAAAAUAAUAAUAAGAGAUAACUGAGUGAUAAUUUGUAUAAAAAUAAUAGAAUGAUGUUUAACAAAGUGUUGUUUUUUCAUUUUUUUUUUUAAUUUUUAUAUAAAAAUUAUUGAAUAUAAGAGAGUAAAAAUUGUUAAACAUUAAAAAUUAAAAUAAAUUUAUUAGUGAUACAGUCUUAAAAUAAAUUUUAUUUUAUUUAACUCUUUUUUUUCUAGUCUCUAUUAGUAGUCAAUUUAAUAAUUCUAAACUCUUUUUUUAAUCUCUAUUAAUUUUUAAUUUAAUAGUUUUAAUUCUUAAUUUUUAAUUUAUAAAUCUUAAUAUUUAUUGUGCUAAAAUAACUUAAUAAAAACACAUCUAUAUAAUUUGGAUAAAUUUAUUAUUUUAUUAUUUUUACAAUAUAUUUAUUAUUUUUAUCUAAUUUAACAUAAAAAUUAAUAUCGAUAUUUAUACCAUAUGAUAAUGCUAAAAAAUGCUAUUUUAUUAGUAACACAGUUAAUUGAUAAUUUUAAAAUUAAAGUUCAGAAGAGCUCAUCUCAUAGAUGCAAAUAGGUUAUACGUUUGUAGCCAUUACCAAUUGUUUUCCUGGCGCUUUUGUAUUAACUCAGCGCAAAUAAACUAUCAAAAAACACUUUAAAACAAUUAAAACAAAUUCCUAGUUAGAGCAAAACGCAGUUUUCAGAGGAUUCAGGGAAUUGCAGAGAAAUGAGUUUCCAAUCAACUCUGAUUUGAAGUCCGAUCAUGUUCCGUCAAAAUAAAAAUAUUGGUUCAAUUUGCCCAAAGAUUUUCUUUUUAUUUUCUAAAUCAAAGAUCAGUAAAAUAUGUUCAUAAAGUAAAUAAACAAUCACAACAACAACAACAACAAAAAGACUCUUGGAUUGGAUGGUUGCAGAAGUUGCAAAACAUUUGAAAUCCAUAGCCAAGAGUAUUGAAUAUCAAAUUUAGGUGGAAAAACAAAAUGACAGGGAGAGUAUCGCUUCGAAUAAAGAUAGCAUGUAAAUGCUAGUAAAAACAAAAAAGAGAGAGUUUUGAAGCAAUGUUAUGUAUGGCGAAGUUACUAACAAAUGCCUUUCAAAGCAAUCUCAAACAGAAAAGAAAAAGGCAUUAUCAGCGAAACUUCCAGCAUUAUUAUCGGCCUCCCAUGAAUCAGAAAAGCACUUAAAUACUCAGCUUAUCUGGGAUUAUGAAGACCAUUAACCACCAUAAAAUAAUGAAAACCUUUACUUCAACAAACCCCACAUAUCGGAACUGCAUCUUAACUCAUUUUUCUUCGCUUCUCUGGCUGCUUACUUCUCUGCCUGCUUGCUUCUAUUUAUAGUUAGGGUACAGCUGCUCUCCGUAUUCGAUCUCCUUUUUUUUUAAAGAAAACAAGUUUAGGGCCCCGAUUCUUCAGUUUUAUGACAAAUGGGUUGAAGUACUGACCCAGCCCAACUCAAACCCUAACCAGACUGGACUAAUGAUGACACGAUAUUAUCGUCGCGCCAUUGCCAGACAAGAAUGAGCUAUGAGAUUAAGAGCCUUUUUUUCUUUUUUUUACCAAUGCAUAAAGUUUCAUGCUCGCUUCUGAUGAAACUGAAUUGUAACUAAGGGUAAUGAAAAAGUUACUUUUAGUUAAGAAAUGCUACUUGUAAAGUUAUAGGUCUAAAAUUUUAUAGCUAAGAAUUUUACGCUCUCCCAAAUGAUGGCACAGUAAAUUUUACUUAUUGUGCCAUCCUUAUUAAAAUAUUAUUAGAGACCCCACUCUUUGGUUCAGUUGAUAAUACAACUGGUUAAGGCUGAGCAGUGAUCGGUCUGAUUCGAUUAUCUAUAAAUCACCAGUACCAUACAAAAUUCUGAUUCUUUUAAAGUUGAAGGUAUACCAUACCAUAUUGUACCAAUUUUUACGGUUAAAUACAGUUCGGUUCGGUGCUAUUUUCAGUUCUAAAAAAUUUUAAAAACACAAUUUUAAUCUUAUCUUUAAUCAAAUAUAUUUAGAAAAAAUAAAAUUACCAACUUAAAGAAAGUAGCAUGAAAAUAUGAAUUAGAAUUGCAAUCAUAUUCUUGAACAACAUGUUUUACAAUUCAGUUACUUGUAAAUAUAAUAAUUCAUUCAAUGUUCAAAUAUAAACUAUUAAAAUAUAUGUUACUGCUAGCAUAAAAAUAUUUUACAGAUGGCAAUCAUUAAAAUAAAAUAUUUUUCGUAGUUACAGCUAACAAUUUACCCAGCAAAAAUAAAAGUAAAAAAGUAAAAAAAAAAAAAUACCCAAGACUGAGUAAUGACAGCACAGUUAUGAGAAAAGAGCGCUAAAGAGGAAGACAUCUACGCAAGCCAAUUCUUGCUUCUGCCUUUCUGCGAGCCAAUUAUGUGUGGUGCUAAAGAGGAAGAUGUCUAGGGAGCCAAUUUCUUCCUUCUUCCUUUUGAUUUUCUGUCCAGAAAUUUGCCUCAGGGAUUUUAUCUUUCUGAAUUGAAAAUUAAGAGGUGCGGCAGUGUGUUCUAAAUAGGAAGACGUCUACGUGAGCUAAUUUCUUCCUUUUUCCUUUUGAUUUUCUGUCCAUAAAUUUGCCUUGGGGAUUUUGUAUUUCUAAANNNNNNNNNNNNNNNNNNNNNNNNNNNNNNNNNNNNNNNNNNNNNNNNNNNNNNNNNNNNNNNNNNNNNNNNNNNNNNNNNNNNNNNNNNNNNNNNNNNNNNNNNNNNNNNNNNNNNNNNNNNNNNNNNNNNNNNNNNNNNNNNNNNNNNNNNNNNNNNNNNNNNNNNNNNNNNNNNNNNNNNNNNNNNNNNNNNNNNNNNNNNNNNNNNNNNNNNNNNNNNNNNNNNNNNNNNNNNNNNNNNNNNNNNNNNNNNNNNNNNNNNNNNNNNNNNNNNNNNNNNNNNNNNNNNNNNNNNNNNNNNNNNNNNNNNNNNNNNNNNNNNNNNNNNNNNNNNNNNNNNNNNNNNNNNNNNNNNNNNNNNNNNNNNNNNNNNNNNNNNNNNNNNNNNNNNNNNNNNNNNNNNNNNNNNNNNNNNNNNNNNNNNNNNNNNNNNNNNNNNNNNNNNNNNNNNNNNNNNNNNNNNNNNNNNNNNNNNNNNNNNNNNNNNNNNNNNNNNNNNNNNNNNNNNNNNNNNNNNNNNNNNNNNNNNNNNNNNNNNNNNNNNNNNNNNNNNNNNNNNNNNNNNNNNNNNNNNNNNNNNNNNNNNNNNNNNNNNNNNNNNNNNNNNNNNNNNNNNNNNNNNNNNNNNNNNNNNNNNNNNNNNNNNNNNNNNNNNNNNNNNNNNNNNNNNNNNNNNNNNNNNNNNNNNNNNNNNNNNNNNNNNNNNNNNNNNNNNNNNNNNNNNNNNNNNNNNNNNNNNNNNNNNNNNNNNNNNNNNNNNNNNNNNNNNNNNNNNNNNNNNNNNNNNNNNNNNNNNNNNNNNNNNNNNNNNNNNNNNNNNNNNNNNNNNNNNNNNNNNNNNNNNNNNNNNNNNNNNNNNNNNNNNNNNNNNNNNNNNNNNNNNNNNNNNNNNNNNNNNNNNNNNNNNNNNNNNNNNNNNNNNNNNNNNNNNNNNNNNNNNNNNNNNNNNNNNNNNNNNNNNNNNNNNNNNNNNNNNNNNNNNNNNNNNNNNNNNNNNNNNNNNNNNNNNNNNNNNNNNNNNNNNNNNNNNNNNNNNNNNNNNNNNNNNNNNNNNNNNNNNNNNNNNNNNNNNNNNNNNNNNNNNNNNNNNNNNNNNNNNNNNNNNNNNNNNNNNNNNAUUAUAAUAUUAUAGUUACUUUUAAUAUGUAGUAUUUUUUUCUUAUUUCGAUAAUAAUUGUUUGAAUUAUAUAAAAUGAUAAAUAUAAAAUAAUUUUUUAUAGAGUAUAAAGUAUUUUAUAAUAUUAUAAUUAUUUUUAAUAGGUAUUAUUUAUAUAAUAUAAAUAAUUAUUAAUAAAUAUAUGUAAAAAAUUUGGUUCUACAGUUUGGUCCGGAUUAGUACAAGACAGAUCGGUUCUGGUACGGUUUUGGUACGGUUUUUACUAAAGAACCAGUACCAUACCGUAAUAGUAAAAAAAUUCGGAUCAGUUCAAUUCGGUUAUAAAAAAUUUCAAUUAUUUCGGUUCUGGUAUUUUUCGGUACGGUUAUUCGGUUCGGGCGGGAAUCACCGAGAUCCAUGAUCAGCCUUACAAGUAGUAGCUGAUAACUGAUAAAUUAAGCUGUUUGAUAAAAUUUUAUUAGUAAUAUUAUUAGUAUGUUAAAUGAUCAUUUAAUGUAUAUCAUUAAAUAUGUUUUAUUUUAUUUUAUUAUAUUAUAUUUAAUGAUACAAAUUGAUGAAAAUAACUUAUAAUAAUUAAAAAAAUAUCUUAGUUAAUUUUUUUUAGCUCCAUUGUAUGUAUAUAUUAUUAAAAAUAUUUAUAAAAUUUAUUUUAAAAAUUUAAAUUUAAAUUCUAUUAAUAAAAUUUUAUAAUUUUAAAUACCAUAAUUAUAAAUAUUAUUAUUAUUUAACUACUAAAAAUAUUUUUAGAAUAAUUAUUAUUUUUUAUAAAAUAUAAAAGUUUAAUUAUAUGAUAUCAACUUAAAGUAAAUUAUUAUUAAUAAGUUUUAAUAACAAUAUUAGUGUUUAAGUAAAAAAAAUUAAAUCAGAUAUCAGUUGAUAAGAAAAAAAAUUUAAAAUAGAACUAAUACAAUCAACAACUGAUUGAAUUUGAAACUAAAUUAACUAUCAGUUGUUGUUUCUUAAAUCUUUUCUAAACGUUUAAUGUAGUUAUUCAAUGAAAAACAACUAUCAAUUACAUUAAAUUUUUGAAUUAAAUACCCUUUUAAUAAGAAUGUGUCAAAAUUGGUGUAUAAUUAUUACAUUACAAAAAUUAUGUAUUAUGUAUGUAGUAGUAUUAUAUAGAAAAGAAAAGUUUUAUAUAAAAACAGUAUGAGCUGAUUUUCAAAAGAUAACCUUCUAUUAUUAUCCAAAAGAAAAAGAAAAUAACCUUCUAUUUAAAAGAAAUAAAAUUAGAAAAAGAAACAAAAACAAAAGGGUUUUUAUAUUUUUCCAUGAUACAAAAUUAUUUUCCAAUAUUGGAUAAAACUUUUAAUAUUUUCUCAAAGAAUUUAACUUCAAUUUUCAUAGAUUAUAAUAUAAGUAAAACCACAAUAUUUUCUUGUCAAGAAAAUCAAAAUCAUUUUUCACUUAUAUCCGUACCAUGUGAAAUCGGCAAGUAAUAAAUUUAUAUAAUUUUAUAUUUUCUCUCAACCCAUAAUAAUUUUUCUUAUUAUCUAAACACAAUAAGCCAGUAUUUAUGAGUUGCAUAAUUUUAAAUAGUUUUCUUUUUAAAAAUUAUUCAUCAUUAUAGUUAUAGUUUCAUUAAAAUUGAUAUUUAAGAAGACUCAAUUUCUUUUUUUAAAGAUUAUUUAUCAUGCACAAGUAUGAGGAGAUCAAUAAGUAUAGUGCAAUUGAUAUCUUUCUAAUGAUUUCUCAAUAUUUAUGUUAUUAUAAGUUAAUAUAAUGCACCCCCUCACAUUGGUUAAUUCAGUUUAUUAUAAGGAAACCAGUAUUAACCAAUAAUGAUUAGAAUAUCUAGGGUAAAUUGCACUAAUGGUCUCUCAAGUUUAUUCUAUGUAUUACAAUAGUUUUUAAACUCUAAUUUGUAUCACUAAACCUCUUAAAUUUUAAUUAGGGUAUCACUAAAUUCUUUUCCGUUAGUCUUCGUUUAAAAAACAGUUUGACAGUCCAUUUAGUUAUUUACAUAUGUCACAUCAGUAUUAUAAAACCAAUACUAUUUAAAUAUCUAUCAUUCAUUUUGAAAUUAAGAAAAUUAAAUUAGAUUAAACAAAUUAAAUCAAAUAACAAAAUUUGAAAAUAUUAAAAUAAGAUAUAACACAACUAAUUUCUCUUUUAUUUUUCCUUUCACUUUCUCUCAAUCCAAACAAACAAAAUCUUUUUCUUUCACUUUCUCACAAUCCAAAUACCUAAAUAUAAACAAAAAAACAAAUAAAAAAAUAACAGUAAAAAGAAAAGCUUCAUCUUUAGCCUCACAAUCCAAACGAAAAAGAAAUUUAAAUUUUAUCAAAUCAAUCAAAUUGAAACCUAAAGUCUCAAAUAUACAACUGAAAGUUAAUUUUUUUUCAACAAUUUCUCAUUAACCAAAUACCAAAAUAACAAUCCAAUCGAGAAUUAUUAAUUUAAAAAAAUAAAGAAAAGCUUGAAAAAGCAUGCAAACAAAAUAAAUCCAAUAGCCUCACAAACAUAUCCUAACACAGACCAACAACUAAAUCAAACUUAAUAAUUGAGAGAGAUCGUGAAGAUAUUAAUGUAGUAAAGAAAUCAAACGUAAUGAUAUUAGAUGCAUUAACUCGUACUGUGUUAUCCAUACAAAUAUCAACGCCGUUGUGAGCCACUAUGAAGAGCAUUUCAAAUACCACCUUGUAUCAUCUUGGGCCGCCGUGAAGAGCAUUUCGAGGACCGGAUCGCAGUAAUGCUAUUGUGAGCCAUCGUGAAGAGCAUUUCGAAGACAGAUCGCCAUUCCAAAUAGGUUUGUUCUUCUCCCUUUGCUUCGAUUUCCAUAGACUCGAACCAAACUUGCUCCUCACUAGCUUGGUGUUUGUUCUCCCACCUUCGUCGUCGCUUAUGGUGUUGCUUUCUGCAGCCUUCAUCGUCGCCUUUAGCUUUUCCAGCCUUCGUCGUCGUUGUCGCCCCUUGACAGUCCAAUCCUACUGUAACAUAACUUGAAUGCUACGAAUCAAAGCUUAUAAUGGAGGUUCUAGUGGUGAUGGUGCAGGUGGAGGAGGAAGAGCCGCAAUGAAGGUCUGAGACCAAUAUCCCCAUAAAACCCUUGUUUGUUUUCUAGAAAGUUUGAUUAUGUUUUCUCAGGAAAAUUUGUUGCUAUCCCUCUUAGCAAAAUUUUUUUAUGGUGGAAAUUAAUUCUUUUUAUUUUUUAGAAAAUAAUAAAAAAAAAAGAUAUGUGUCAUUAUUUUAUUAGUUUAGUGUGGUGUUGAUGUAUCGUGUUUUAGUGACAUAUCAUUUUUUAAAAUAAAAAAUAACCAGAUGAACUGUCAUAUCAGAUUGUUAUCCGUCUUUUAAAUAGAGAUUGCACAAAUGAAUUAAGUGAUAUUUCAAUUAAAAUUUAAGGAAUUUUAUAAUACAAAUUAAAAUUUAGAAACUAUUAUAAUACAUAAAAUAAAUUUAAGAGACUGUCGAUGUAAUUUAUACAAAUAUCUAUAAUGCAUACAUUCUUUUAGAUAGAGUAUCCUAACAUAAUCGGAAAUCUAUGCAUAUUUGGAUAACCACAUUUAUUGAAAUCCCUAAAAAGUAUAGGGGUUUUUCUUAAUUUAGGAUUUCUGAGGAACAUAUUUCUCAUUAUAGGGUGAAAUUUAGUUCAUUUGGAUAUAUUGACAAAACUAUCAAUUUUGUACUCUUUUCUGAAAGUUAGUACAAAACAUAUCAUAUACAUUAGGACUAGCCAGGAAAAAAUAAUUUUAAUUAUGAAUUUAGAGCUAAUUUUUAUUGUUUAUUUGUGGAUGAGUAUUAUACAAUGAAUUUGGAUAGCAUCAAAAUUUAUAUAUGAAAAUAAAUAUUAAUUUUCAUUUUAUUAUUUAAAGUUUUUAUCGGUUAAAUAGUCAAAUUGGUAUUGGAUUUUUUUUUAAAAAAAAACCCUGACAUUUCUUUAUUUUUACUUGACUCUUAUAUAUAAACUAGUACUUUGCUCAUGUUAUUAGAUAAUUAUUUUAUUUAUUUUAUAUUUAGAAAUUUUAUUUUAAAUUUGUAUAUAAUUUAAUUUAUAAUUAUAAUAGUAUAAAAUAAAUUUUAUUUUUAUUUUUGUUAAUCUUUUAUAAAAGUCAUGAAAUAUAUUUUUGUGACAUUUUUGUAUUUUACAUGUUAAGGUAAAUAAACAUGAGAAGUAUAUAUACUUAUCAAUUUUAUUUCUUUUAUCUAUUUCAUUGCACUAAUAAAUUUUCAGUUAAUCUAAAUAAUAGUUAUUUUUAAUAAAUAAGAUAGUUAAUAUUUUUGCUAUUUUUUAAAAUUUUUUUUUGAUAUCACAUAUAUAGAUUGAAAUUAUUUAUUUAUUUAUUAUAUUGGAUUAAUAAGUUGUUCAACAUAUCACAAAUUUCUUUAACUAUUUUUAUCAUCCAAAUUUAAAAUUUAUACUCUUUUACUAUUUUAUUAAUUUUUAUUUGUAAAUAUAUAUAUAUAUAUAUAUAUAUAUAUAUAUAUAUAUAUAUAUACUUUAUAGAAAAAUAAUAAAAUUUAUUAUUAAUUUGUAGUAGCUAUAAUAAUUAUUGUACUAUAUAAUAAUCUUGUAUUCAAAUAAAUCAUAAAUACCAUAUUCAUUAUUAGCAUUUAAGACCAUAUUUAAUUCUUUUAUAAAAAUCUAUAGUUAAUAUUUUUGUGAAUAUGUCGUGUGUCAUUUUCUUAUUGAAAAAUAAUAUAACAUGACUUUAUAGAAUUUUGCCACGUGGAGUUUCAUGAAAAAAUUCAAUAUUUUAUUUAUUUAUAUAUAUAUAUAUAUAUAUUAGCAGAUUAGAUUAAACUUUUAUGGUAAUAUUUGUUUUGACUGAUUAUUGGUGCAUGCGCAUGAGUUUAUUUUUUUUAUAAUUUUCUUUUAUCAUUAUCAUUAGCAUUAUUUUGUUUCUAAAUGCUAGCAGGGUGUAAUGCAGAAACCUGCCUUAUAAAACUGUACCAUGAAUGGCAAGAUGUUGUAAAGGCAGUAUUAAUAUUUCUGGGUAUACACAUGUUAUCCUAUCAAACCAGGCAGCUAGAGAGCUCUCUCUCUCUAUAUUCAUCUCUCUCAAGUGCCAUUGGCUUUUUUAUUUUCUCUGAGACUCCAAAUUAAACCAGGUUCCUUUUUCAUACUCCACUCCUCCCUUCUCUUUUCGUUGCCUUUUCAAUUAUCUGUGUGCGUUUCUUAAACCCUGGACCAAAUAUCUUUUGUUGUUUUUUUCAAAUAUUUCUAUGUUGCAGGAAUACUUUACCAUUAUUGUUAUAAUAUCUCUGUCACAAUAUGUCGUCCCUUUCAUUGAACAAAGGUAUAUAAUUAAUAUUAGAAUUAAGAGGCAGCAUCACUCGUUAUCCAUGUAUAAACUCAUUGAGGAUCAUAUAUAGAUUUAUGAGUGGGGAGAACUGUUUAUUUUGCAUUCUAUCACUCUAUUCAAUUCAGCUAAAUCAUUUUACAUAGAUUUUUAAGUUAGUAAAAGUUUCACUUAUAAAGUGGUUUUCGUUCUCAGUUUAUUCAAUGUUGCAUUUAAUCUUCAAAAAGGUUGUUUACUUUAGUGGGUUAAGAUGUUAAAACAUAAAAAUAAAGAUAAUUAAUUUAAUUAUUAUGUGUAACAAAAAUAAAUUUUCAAAUAUGGGUUUUCUAAUAUUUAUUUCUUAAAUAAUAUAUAUUUAUGUCUCAACCAUUAUGUUCAACAUACAUCGUACUCACACCUAAUAAUAGAUGGUUAAUAAAAAAUAAAAUUUGCCGAACUUUUUCAUUUCAAGUUAUUCUAAAUUUAUAAUUUUGAAUAAAUUAAUAUAUUAAAUAAAUAAAUAAAUAAAAAUAUUUUUCAAACAGUUAUACCAUACUGACAUUUAAUAAUAAAAUUGAUCAUUUUAAAAAUAAACAAUAAAUUUCGAUAUAUGUUCGUAAUAUUCUAUUCCAUUUUAAGACAAAUAGUUAAAUACAAACUAAUAAUUAAGAAAUCUCUUUUUGGUUUUUGAUCAAAUCAAGGCCAGAUGUUUGAAUUUUGGCACGAUGAGACAUUAUUUAGAUUGUGUUAUGACCUCAAUUGUGCUUUACUGUACAACUUUUUGCUUGUACUUUUCUAAGUAGCCUAUAAUCCCAGACAUUGAAUUGCAUAUCCAUAUUAAAUAUAUGUUACUGUUUAGGCAUUGACACCAGGCUGAGGUAGCAGCAGCAGCAGCAGUUGUUGUUCCCUGCAAAGUCAAUUCUUUCAAGCCAUGGAAUUUGCUGUUUCGUCAAUGACUGCCUCAAGGUUGCCAAUGUCUUCUCCUCUUCUUGCAAGAAUGAGGAAGUGGAGUAUAAUCAGGUCUUCUAUUCAAUCAACAUAUUCCACUCUGUAAGUAUUUUAUAUACCUGCCUAAAAAACUUCUGCUAACCACUCUUAUUUGCAUAAAUAAUAUAAUAUAACUAAUUAAUUAUUACUAUUAUUAUCAGUGAUAUUAUCAAUUAUUAUUAUUGGUCUUUUUUUUUUUCUCUAUUUAGUGGGUCGGAAAGGGGUUCAGGUGUUGAGCUAAACAAAGACAGGUAUAUUUAUUCAUAUCAAUUAUUUAUUUUAUGAUAACCAUGAUUAGAUUAAAAGAUUGUUAAGCCUUCAUAUUUNNNNNNNNNNNNNNNNNNNNNNNNNNNNNNNNNNNNNNNNNNNNNNNNNNNNNNNNNNNNNNNNNNNNNNNNNNNNNNNNNNNNNNNNNNNNNNNNNNNNNNNNNNNNNNNNNNNNNNNNNNNNNNNNNNNNNNNNNNNNNNNNNNNNNNNNNNNNNNNNNNNNNNNNNNNNNNNNNNNNNNNNNNNNNNNNNNNNNNNNNNNNNNNNNNNNNNNNNNNNNNNNNNNNNNNNNNNNNNNNNNNNNNNNNNNNNNNNNNNNNNNNNNNNNNNNNNNNNNNNNNNNNNNNNNNNNNNNNNNNNNNNNNNNNNNNNNNNNNNNNNNNNNNNNNNNNNNNNNNNNNNNNNNNNNNNNNNNNNNNNNNNNNNNNNNNNNNNNNNNNNNNNNNNNNNNNNNNNNNNNNNNNNNNNNNNNNNNNNNNNNNNNNNNNNNNNNNNNNNNNNNNNNNNNNNNNNNNNNNNNNNNNNNNNNNNNNNNNNNNNNNNNNNNNNNNNNNNNNNNNNNNNNNNUAGAAGUGGAUAUAGUUAAGGCCAGAGACAAAAUUGUUAAGGCCAAUGAUUUUAUAUUACGAAUUGAGCACCUAAACUUUUAAAAUAUUAGUUUGCAUUUUAAAAUUUUAAUAUGUCAUUUCCUUUUAUAUAUUGUCAAUUUUUUUUUCUUAAAAAGAGUUCAUUAAGCAAAAUAAAUGAUAUUUUAAUUACUAAAGAAAGUCUUGGAACUAACUUGAGUUCUUUUACUUAAUUUAUUAAACACUUAGAAUCAUAAAAAUAUAUAUAUAUAUAUAUAUAUAUUUGGAUAAAAUACCUAAUACAUUUAUAAUCAUUUAAAUGAAUGUAAAUAUAUUUGGUAUUUAUCUAAACCAAAUAAAUACUUAAAUACUUUUUUUUAUUAAAUUAAGUAAGAGAUAAUAUACGGGUUAUCCUCUAUUAUUAAAUCAAAGUAUUUUAUCCAAAAAAAGUUUAAUGAUUUAAAAAGUAAGCAUGUAGUAUUUUUUAAUUAGUUUAAGAUAAUAAUACAUAAUAUAUCAUAAGAAAUGAUAACAAACCAAAAAUUAAAAGAAAAAUAUUUUAAAAUUUAAGUAUUGUAAUCGUAAUACGAAAUAAGUGGCCUUAACCACACCCUUAAAAGUGAUCUAAAAAUCAUUAGCCAUUUCGAUAUAUAAUUAAAAGUUAAAAUUUCGAGCUCUUUAUAUUACGGCGUACAAUCCCUUUUAAAUCCUUUAUCAAGUAGAAAAAGAUAACACUGUGCAUUAGGGAUGCAUGUUUUUAUCUUACUAUUCGUCAGUGAUCACCUUCAUCUCCAUCGUUAAUUCGUAUUCAUAGUUAUAAGUAAACCUUUUUAUCUGUAUUUGGGUGUACGAUUAUUGUAUAGUCACCAUAAAGUAUAAGAUUUUAUGCAUUAAAGAUAGCAAAUCUUUUUUAUGUCACGGUUGUUCACCUUCAUCUCAAGCAUAAGUUCAUAUUCAUAAUUAUAAUAGUUGAUAUUGCCUAAGUAAACUCGAUCAAUUUCUUUUUAUAGUCAGGAAUUCUCAGCUGGUGGGAGUAUGCAUCAAUAGUCAUCAUUAGAGAAUAAAGAAUUUUCCCUUCUUUGCAGUUUGCGCCCUUUACAAAGCAUAUAGAAUCUCCUACAUUGUUUAUUUUAUGUUAUUAACUUACAAACGCAAUAUAAUUAUAUAUGGCAUCUUACUGUGAUUGUUUCCAGUGCUGCAAUCAUCACAAACACAACUGGGAGAGUUGAAAAUCAAGUUAACAAGAAAAAGACAGUAUUCAUAUUAGGAGCAACAGCCACAGGAAAAUCAAAACUCUCAGUCGACUUAGCAUCUCAUUUCGACGCUGAAAUUAUCAAUUCUGAUAAAAUUCAGGUUUAUAAAGGUCUCGACAUUGUCACCAACAAGAUCCCUGAAGAUAAUCGCAAGGGUAUCCCUCAUCAUUUGCUAGGAUUUAUGGAUCCUGAAGCAGAUUUUACUGCACAAGACUUCUGCAACCAUGUAUGCAAAGCCAUGACUCACAUUACAGAAUACAAUGGGCGCGUCCCGAUCAUCGUUGGCGGGUCGAACAACUUCAUCAGGGCACUUGUAGAGGACCCACAUUCAAGCUUCAAAGCAAAUUAUGACAGUUGCUUUUUAUGGAUGGAUGUUGCAUUGCCUGUUUUGUACAAGCAUGUAGGGAAAAGGGUUGAUCAAAUGGUGAAAGCUGGUCUUGUAGAUGAAGUCCGAGAAACGGCCGUCUCUGGUUCGGAUUAUACUCGCGGAGUUUGGCGAGCUAUUGGGCUUCCUGAAAUGCAUGAGUUCUAUUAUGCAGAGAAAACCAUGUCUGAUGAAAAUACCAAGAAAAUGUUACUCGAUGCUGCCAUUGACAGGAUCAAAGAAAAUACAUGUAGGUUAGUGGAUGCACAGUUAGGUAAGAUCGAUAGGAUGAUACAUGAAUUAGGCUGGAAAAUACACAGGAUUGAUGCUACUUGUGUUGUAGAGAAGAGUGAAGACGAGGCAGUUGAGGCAUGGAAUAAGGUGGUGCUCAAACCAAGCAUCGAGAUUGUUAGGGGUUUUCUUGAAGGAUAGGUAAUUAAUAGGUUAGCUUUUGCUAAUACUACCUUCAUAGUUUAUUAAUAGCUGCAUGUAUACCUGCUGGAAAGAGCAACUGGAUCCCAUUUUUUUUUGCUCUUUCUUCUUUCUACCAAUGGCAGUUUGGUUUAGAAUAAGAUCACAGAAGUAGAACUUGUGUCUACUCUUUUCUUUCUUUCUUUUUUUGUGGCCAGAAACUUUAUGUCUACUUCGAUCUUGUGUCUGUCUCUCCAAAAAAAGAAGGCGCCCAUAUGAAAGGUAUCCAUGUUCUUUGUUUCUUGUUGCUUUUUCCGGAGUUCAAAUACUAACAUAUAUAGCAUUAUGAAAGACACUUAUAACUCAAGUAUUUGCUUGUUUCCUUAUUUUCAUUUGAAUAGAUUUGCAAGUGAUCUAACAGUUUGCCUUGUCAUUUUAAUCCCUUUCUUUCAUUAUCAUUUGAAUACUAUUCUUUCCUGCUUAUUCUCACGUACACUAAUUAUAUAUACACAUUUCAGUAAUAAAAUAUCUAAAAUAUUUGUUAUCUACUUACAUUCAUUAGUUUAAACAAUUAAGUAAAUAUAUCGAUGGUAAUUAUAGUCUUAUGUGGCCCAAUAUUUGAUGUGACCUGGACUUAGAAUUUGCGGAAAUGACUACUUGGGCUUAGAUCUCAUUGUUCGUAAGGGGAACAUUCAGCUCAACAAAGCACGAACCUCUCAUAAGUCAUAACUGGUGAUUAUCAGAUAGCUUCACAGCACUUGAAGAAAAACAAGAAAAUCUUCUCUCACAAUUUUAUUUUUUUAAGAAAAAUACUACUGUGGUAAUUUUACUGCUAGAUGGGCCAGUUCUUUCCUCUUAAAAAUAUAUGUAAAUCAACAAAUGAGUUGGAGUAUUCAAGCAAUCACUUCCUAUUCUUCAAUUUAUUUCAAAAACUCUCCUAUCGACUAGAGGAAUUUUCCUUAAAUCAGACUCAGUACCUUCUAACAUAUGGUUGUUCUGUGGCGACAGUUUGAAGAUCUUCUUCUCUUUCAAAAGCUCUAAAUGAGGAACACAAAAGAAAUGAAAUAAUUAAUAAAGGUUGAAUAAAUUAUAUAAGAUCCAUUUACUAUUAUUAUGCGCCCAACCUCAGACGCGACAACUUCAUUCAACAGCAGUUAUACUAGGAAUUUCCCAAGGCAAACAACAAAUUCACAAGAAAACACACACACACUCCAACUUCCAUACAACAUAAAUGAGUAAAAUAAAAUUAUACUUUAAAUAAAGAACCAAAUCCAAGACAACAAACAAGCACGAAACAAGUUAAAGAGGAAAAGUAAAAAACACAAAACAAAUUACAUUGCAAUAACUCAUGGAUUUUUAUCGUUUAGCAAUGGAAAGACUCUCCAACAAGUUUGCACUUGACAGGAAGCUGCAUGGCAAGGUUAGGGUCAAUCUUGUAGGAAGAUAACAGCCAAGGGUAAUUAUUCUUGUAAAAACAUAGGCAUUGCAGGUCAGCUUUGGACAGAGCUGCACAACAUGCAUCCGAUGGGGCAGCAGGGUUUUGGCCUGUCACUGAUGGUCGACAUGCUUCGAUACCUUCAUUGGUCAGGCGGCACGGGUUCUCCCCAUUGACCACAAUAGCUAAUACUAAGACUAGCACAAGCGCAACAAUGGCAAUCUUCAUUCUGUAUGCCUCUUUUACUAUGUUUAGAUCUCAAACACUUGCCCUUCUGCUCGUUUGCAUAAGGGGUUUAUAUAGAAAAUGAAGUAAUA
rnacentral:lncRNA from 1 species